CACACAACUUAUUAUCAAUGUUUGGAAGCUUCAACGUGAUCCACAUGUCUGGGAAGAGCCUUGUAAGUUUCAGCCAGAAAGAUUUUUGACAAGGCACAAGGAUAUUGAUGUCAGAGGACAAAAUUUUGAAUUGUUACCUUUUGGUAGUGGUAGAAGAACUUGUCCUGGAGUUUCAUUUGCCCUCCAAGUUAUGGAAUUUACACUUGCUGCUUUACUUCAUGGCUUUGAUUUUGCAACCCCAUCAAAUGAACCGCUGGACAUGGGAGAGGGACUCGGGUUGAGUAUCCAGAAAGCUAGACCACUUGAAGUACUCAUUGCUCCACGUCUUUCUGCUUCUUUGUACGGCUAAAUUGGAUCUCAAUACAAUCAAUCUAAUAAACUUUUAUAACAAGUAUUCACGUAUUUGUUUGCUUGUAUACUCUUGCUUAUUACGCCUUCUUUGUAUUCAUUAUUAGACAUGAAUAUCUAUUGUUAAAUAAAGUUUUAUCAUGGCUAAAUUGUCAGGUGAUGACUAUCGGGGCAUCCUAUGGUGUUCAAUCUGAUGUGUUUGUCUAAAAUCAAUAUAUUAGGUAAGCACUCUUAUCGGGACUCAUUUUAAUUAAUAAAGAACCCAAAACUAGUUAUGUCAAUUAGAGUGCUAAAAAAUGCUGGUCUAGUGUGCAACAUCAGUCACUGGAUCAAAAUCAAUUAAAUAAAAUUGACUAGCCGCCACUUGUGUUAUGUAAUAGCCUAGUGGUACCUUUCCUAUUAACAAAAGUUGACGGAUGUGUGUCAAGACGCUAGUUCGCUUUCCAUAAUUGGUAGGAGUGAAUUUUCUCUCCUAGUAGUAAUGGAGGUAUACAUCUGUAUUAUGUUUAUAAUACAAUAGAAGUACAUUAAGCCCACUAGAUGGUAUAUAUUUCCUUGAAGUGGAGAUAAAAAACUGGACUGUAUUAUGUAGAACUGACUUAGGUUAGUUGCUAUUGGAUUUUAGAUUGUAUAGUCCCAAUAAAAGAUAUAUAUUUCCUCGAAGUGGAGAUAAAAAAUCUAGAUUAUUGUGUCAUAUAUAACUUAUUUAGGUUAGUUACUAUUAGAUUUCAGAAUGCAUAGUUCCGAUUUGAUCCAAGAUCUUGAACUUUAUUAAAGUCCAAGAAAACUAUUAAGCCAUAUAAUUUAAUAGAAUUAUACCAUUAUACGAUUAAACCUCACAGCUUCAUAACUUCCUCGGACUUUAACAAAUUCAGGAUCUUGAAUUGAAAUAUUUCCAUCAUAUUGUGUGUGUAUGUUGUAUAAAGUAAACUUCUAAUUGUAAAGACAUAGAUGUUAAAAACAUAAAACUAUCUGAAUACAUAUAAUUGGUGUCCUUAAUGAUCGUGAUAGAUAAAAUUCUCUAUACUAUUAUUUAAAAAAAAAAAGGGAAAAAUCCAACCGUAGUCUCAAAAUUUGCUUAAAUAGUUACAUAGACUUUCUUAGUUUUAUAAUUGGUCAUACAUCCCUUUGAACUAUUAUGUCUUUUGAUUAUAGCAACCAAAAAUUAACUUUAAAUAAAUUUCUAUAAUAAAUAAAAAUAAGAAAUUAAAAAACGUAAUACAUAAAAACUAAAAAAUUUAUGAAUUAUUUUGAAUAUUAAAAAGUUAUUUUAAUAUCAUUACUCUAUCAUUUUUUUAAUAAUAAUAAAAUCUCUUUGAUAGAUUAAUAAUUUUAAGUUAAUGAUAUUUAACAUUCAAAAAAUUGGAAAAUAUUUAUUACGUUAUUUACAAUAUUUUUUAACUAUGUUUAUAUUACUAUAAAUCUUAAUGUUAAUUUUUGAAUUAAUAGAUUUUGGAAUUAGUAAAAUCAAUCGGGAUAGACUGAUAGUAGUUUAAUAUCAAAAUAAUUUUUAUUAUAUAUAUUUCGUUUUAUUAAUUAUACUUAUUAUAAUAUUUUAUUUGUAUUAUAUGAUAUUUUAUUUAUUAUUUUUAUCUCAUUAUUAUAUAUAUUUGUAUUUAUUUUUAUUAUAAUCAAAGGAUAUAAUAAUAAAAAGGGGUUAUGUGGCUAUUUAUAAAACUAUUGGAGUUUAUAAAAUUAUUUAAACAAACCUUGAGAGUAUAGACAGCUUUUUCUCUUUAAAAUACCCCAUUAUUAUAAUAAAAAAAAUAGACAUGCACAAUAUCCUCGAUUUGUCUUGAAUGUGAUUGCAUAUUAACCUCACCACUGCUGUACUUGGCAGAAGAUUGCAACUUUCUUAAAAACAUUAUUUCGUGCAUCAAAUAUAUCAUCUUUUUUUUUUCUUUUUGAUACAUAAGGACUUAGGUAAAACUAGGCAACAACUGAACGCGAGUACGCAGUCCCGGAGACAUCAGGUAAUAGCCACCCUUUAGUUCUAGUUAGAGGAAUUGGAAAAAAAAAUGGAUCCCAAGAGGCAAAAAGAGAGUUUAGCUGGUGAGGUAAUCAGCUACAAAAUUGAUUUCAUGAUAGCUAGCAACAGAGAUACCUACUAAUCCCUGUUGAGGAGUCCGUUAAGUCCCUCAUUGGGAUGACUUUUCUUCGUGGCCAAGAUCUCAGUGAUGGACUGAAUAUUAACUUCAACUUAUAGUUGUCAAAUCCCAAUAUUCCAAGCAAGUUGCAAACCUUGAAAUAAACCCCAAGGCUCUGCUCCAGUAAUAGUGCAAUGGCCAAUAUUCAUACCAAAACCAUGAACCCAUUCCCCACAGUAAUAUCUAGUGAGGCCACCUGCACUUGCAUGGCCUGAAACCUUUCCACCACCAUAUGUAUUAAUUAUNNNNNNNNNNNNNNNNNNNNNNNNNNNNNNNNNNNNNNNNNNNNNNNNNNNNNNNNNNNNNNNNNNNNNNNNNNNNNNNNNNNNNNNNNNNNNNNNNNNNUCCACAGAGCAACACCCAAAAUACAGGGUCAUUUUUCAUCUCUCUCAAUCAUCCCCAUGUUCUUAAGAUCGUAUUAGAUCAAAUUCUUUAACUCAAAUUCAAAAAAAUGAUUCCAUAAAUUGUUAGGGACCAAUUUAAGCGACACCUAUCAAACGAUAUCACAAUCCAUGAACACAUGAAUGUGGUAUGUUCAAGGUGGUGGCCACGUUGGUAGAAAAUAGCAUUUGAGGUAAUGUAUCUUCAAGAGAGCUCAGACUUAGUUUUUAGCCUAUUACUUAUAGCGAGCCACAUCAAGGUUCUGAUACUUUGAGGUCCAUUGCAUUUCUAACCACAUUCUAUAAAGAGUUUUUGGCCAUAAUACUCGUGAAUUGCUCUGUAUUGGAGUAAGCCUAGUCACAUUGAUCUUCACCACUAUUAGUACAAAGAGCUUUAGCAAAGUUUAGUUCAUGAUUUGCAAUAAAACAGUAACAAAAAUCAUUAUAAUUAUCAAAUACAUUCCCAUAAAUAAAUAAAAACAAGAAAAUAAGAUGAGAAAUUGAGUUACAGCUACUUCAAAUUUAUUAAUUAGUUAACUUACUCAGGAAGGUAAAUUUUGGCGGUUUCUUUUAAGAUAAAUAAAAAAGCUUAAAAUUGACAAGCAUGUUCCCUCUAUAAACUGUAAGUAAUAACGCUAGGAUUACGAAGUUAGGAUUAGGAAAAAAAUUUUGUACUCAAAAUGAAGUGUCACCAUUUAACGACCGUCAUGUGCUAGUUAAAAAUAAUAAUUUUUGGAUUAUCAUUAAUAAAAAUAAUUUCAUAACACUAAUUAAUGUAUGACACAUCAAUUAGGAUGUAAAUUUUGUAUCUCAACUUUAUAAAUCUAAUAUAAUUUUGUUCAAAUAUAGUACUCACUCCACCAUCUAACCUCAAUCGGACUAAAUUUAUUUAAAUUCUUUAUAUUGACUUUUUUUUUUUAAUUUAUUUUGGUCUGGGUGUGGUUCGGAUGGAUGUUAGUGGUUAGAUAAGUAACAUUACAAUUUUUUCUUUCUUUUUUUAUGAACUCAAUCUACUCUGAUUUUCUUGCACUUUCUUACUGAUUACCAAUUAGGUUCGAUAAAAAUGUUGUGAACUUUUAUAUAGGUAUAAUAUAAAUAAUAACAACUCAAUUCUCAAUUCGUACAUGUGAACGAAGUUCGCAACUAGUAAAUCUUACAUCCCCUCUAGAGAUUUUGCUAAUAGAACUACCCGCUAAUAAUAUAGUUGCUCACUCAUCAAUACCACAAUAGUUUGUAUAAGAAUGCGAGUUGAUAUAUUACUCAGGUUUCGCAAAAGCAUUCAAAGUAAAUGCUACCAUUUUUUAUGACAUGCAACUGGAAAAUUAAGAAAUAUUUCAAACCUAAUAGCAAAACAUAUGUAAAAUGUAAUGUGCCUCUGGAAUAACUCAAUUUGCAAAAUAACUUCAACAGACUUCACAUAAAACGUAUAACACCUAUAAGAAUCCACCAAUAUCUUGAUAACAUUAAACUGUUCUGUUUUUAAUAAAAUUAUCAAUUAACUACUUCCUCUUAUUUUGUACACUAUUGCACAAUAAUAAAGAGGUGUUAGCAAGUUCAGAAUUCUAUUGUCUGUACAGCUACAUUAUCACCACUACCCAUCCUGUUUUCCAUUUAACCCACUAUUUGUUUCAAUGCAGUAGCAUCGCCAGUUAAAACACUUAGUGCAGCAGCAUUGCCACUUAAAACACUUAGUGCAGCAGCAUUGCCAGUUAAAACAAUUAGUGCAGCAGCAAGGUCUCAAACAUUUUGGAAUGCAGCAGCAGGGUCUCAAACAUUUUGGACAUUUAGGCCACCGGCAACAGUUGACAUAGCUUGGUAUCCAACAUUUUGGCCAUUUAGGUUUCCAGCAACAUUUCGUGCAACUAAGUUUUGGACAUUCUUGGCAUUUGGGUUGGCAGCAUUUAAUUCUACAGCACCUGUUCGCAGACCCUGUGUUGGUGUUGGACCUUAUACUUAGUUUUUGUAAUCUCUCUUCUUUUUUCCUUGCAUCCUCUGUUGCGGCCCUCAAAUCUCUCUUCUUCUCUCUGUUUUCCUUUUUGUUUUUCUCUAUUAUUUUUUUUGAAUGACGGCCACCUCUUUUUUUUUCCCAUUUGUGCUAUUUUUAUAUCUUGAAAUUAGGGCAACCAAAAGCAUGUGGUUGCUUGUCUCCCAUUUUUGGAAACCUUGGAUCGCAAUUUUUCAAUUAACACGCGCAAAAUCUCAUCUACAAUUACUACAGGAUUGCUGUAACAACGGCUACGACAUCUUCUCUAUUCUAGACUUGUCAGCCAAGUUUUUUGCCAUCUUUGCAAGUUUGCUGCAGCAGCAUUCCAUCCAUAAAAAUUUAGCUUUUUUGAUCCCUUGCAAUCAUGCACAUAAUCUGAGCACAAAGUGAUCUAAAACAAAAUUAAAUUUAAAAAAAUGCUCAUGCAAAAUGUAAUAAAAAAUGUAAUAAAAACGCAUCAUUUACUCUCUAAGUAAUAUUAAUUUAAGUCUAAAAAUGCCAUGAUAACUCUCAUUUCACAGAGUUAUCAAUGACCAAGCCUUUUAUGAAGCAAAUCCACAUUGACUAAUGAGAAGACACUGUCAUAGUACUUGAAGUAUAAAACUCAUUUUAUUUAAAGAACUGAAAUGACCAAAAUUAGAACAAGUUGACCCGUAAACCAGACAAAUAAGUAAGAAAAGGCAUUAGUUUAUAAAAAUUUGAGUAAAACAUAAUAGUUGUGGAUGAAUGUUAAGUUGAGACAAAUGUUGUUUAAACUUGAUAUAAGCCUUUCUGAGCAAUCCUCUUAAGCAAGAUAUUCCCUAUUUUCCUGGCCUUAAUGUAACAAAAAUCGGUAACAAAUUCAACAAACACAUUAUUAUCAGUGCGUAACUUGGAAACACUCAAUAGGUUUUUGGCUAUAUGAGGAACAAAAAGAAUAUUUGGCAGCAUAAUCGGAUCAUGAGUAAGUAGUAAGCAUAAUAUAUUUAUUAUAUGAAAUUUGUAAUCCACUAUCAUUAGCAACAAGCAAUUGAUCAGCACCAAUGUAAGGUUAUAAAUGAAGUAACAUACUUGUGUUAUUAGUAACAUGUGUAGAAGCUCCACUGUUAAUAUACUAAGAAAGAUCUUCUAUAGUCUAAGGUGGGGAAAGUGUAAGAGGAGAAGGUGUGACCUGCUUGGCUGCACUAGCAAAUGCACUAUUGUAGUAAUUGAAAGUAGCUAGAUUGAUAGUUAAAGAAGUAGCUCCAAGAUUAUAAAGACAACGAGUUAAGACAUGAUAUGAAUUUGGAUAAAUCGUGUUGCUUUGAUAGCCAUACCUCUGUGAUUAUACUAUUUCACUACAAGAAAACUGUUAAUAGAUGACAGACAACUUAUGAUAAAUUAUGGGUAUAUCAUAAAAUUAUGAUAGACUUGUGACAUAAUUUUCAAUCUAUCAUAAAUUAAUGAUGGCUUUGUGAUACAAUUAUUUUCUAUCACAGAUUAAUGAUGGCUUUGUAAUAGAAUUAUUUUAUAUCACAGAUUAAUGAUGGUUUUAUGAUAAAAUUAUUUUUUUUAUCAUGGAUUAAUGAUGGAUUUGUGAUAGAAUUAUUGUUUAUCAUGAAUUAAUGAUGGUUUUAUGAUAGAGUUAUUUUUAUCACAAAUUAUUAUUUUUUACUUAGCCAUGUGUCGACUUAUAAUUCGUUACUUCAUAUGUGAACAAUUACACUAUAUAAUUUCUAAAGUAUAAAAUGAAAAAGUGAACCCUAAAUCUAACCUAAUUAAACACACGUUAAGUUGUUGCUGCUGCUCCCCUGCUGCUCUUCGAUUUCAUUGCCGCUUCAGGAAGGAACAAGAGGAGUCCCCGUGCGGUUUCAGUGGAGAUGCCGGUGAUGGCGUUGGGGACGAGAGGGAGCUUGUACGAGGUGCUGAGGGUGGAGCCAAAGGCGACGAUUUCAGAGAUUAAGACGGCGAAAGUUUAUCAUCCCGAUUUGUCAGGUAACGGUCGGGAUUUCACCGAGAUCCACAACACUUACGAGACGCUGUUGGAUCCAAAGGCCAAGGCCGUUUAUGACAUGUCUUUGGUGAGUAGGAGGAGGACGAGAACGACAUCGUUUGGGUGUUCAGGUAGGUCUGGGUUUCACCCGACCCGUAGAUGGGAAACUGACCAGUGUUGGUAUGAAUUUUCAAUUUAGGGCCCGACAUUCUUGUUUAGGAUCAAUACCGUUCCUCAAAGGCUUUCCAGAAUUUUCCUCUCACGCUUUCCACGCUCGCUAUUCUCCUUCUUCACUAACAUCACUUGGGUUUUGCAGUUGUGGUGUUCUGUCACAGUCUAGUUCAGAUAUGCUUUUCACUGUGAUGUUGAUACCAAUGUUAUCUGGCUGUUCUAGAGUGAUAAAUGAUAAUCUUGUAUGUUUGUUGUAUUUAACUUUGAGUUAAAAUACAUGUCAAUGCUAUUAUUUUUAUAUAUUCAUGUGCAUUUUCUUUAGGUAGGGACUUUAUUGCUCCUUACAAGUGCAAAGGAACAUCCAAGUAUGUACACCGAGAAUGUUUGGAUAAUUGGCGAGCUGUAAGGGUAUUGAUGCCAUCUCAAUUUUCUGAUUUAGAAAUCUAGAACCUUUUGCAGUAAGCAUAGUUUAUAGUUUCUGUGUGAUCUCAGUGAUCUUUGCAUAGCUAGCACUUGAUUUAUUAUAGUCUGUAACUGGUUUUAUAUAAAAGUAUACCAAAAAAUAACAAUGCUGUAAUUUAUGGACACUCUAAACUUACUUAAUGGGAUAUAGAACAUACUGUACUGUUAUGCAACCUUUUGAAAUGCUAUCUUUUAUGUUUCUUAGUUUGUCCUUGCAAACAAUCUCCAUAUGGUAAUAUCAUUUUCGUCCAUUUAAGAAUUACUGCUUUGGCCCUUUUUGGAUUUUUCCCAGUAAUUUCUUUUCUAGGAAGACUUUUAUGAUCUUAAGCUGCAUUGUGGUUCUUGCUUUUAUCUAGAAUGGUUCUUUUUAUAUGUGUCCUAUUUUUAUUUAAUCAUUUUUUACUUACAGAAAGGGUUUGCAUUUGCUCAUUGCACAACCUGUAAAGCCCCUUACCAUUUGAGAGUUCAUGUUGCUGUUGAUAGGCGAUGAAGAACCUUGAAAUUUUGUUUCUUUGUUAUCUCUUCUCUCUUUUAGCACAGGUAUGAAAAUAUUGGUAUUAUUGGUUAUUGCUUAUAUUCUUCUUUGUUUUUUUAAUUUUUAAUGUUAUCUUUUUUUUUCCUUUUUUUCUCCUGUCUCUGCGAGAUGAAACUAUUGCUAUUACACAUACAAUUGAAGGUACAUUGGCUAGCUUAAAUUAGCCGAAGAAUUCUUUAAAUUCUAGACAUAAAAUAGUAGCUUAAUGUUAUUAUUCUGGUUGGUGUUUGAAUCAAUUUUGUUCACAGGAAGCUUGCAGGUCGCUUUGUAAGUUUCAAUUUCUAUUUAGAGUGCUAUCGGAAGAUGAUAUUGUUGCUGGAAUUUUUGUAGGACGUCUUGCUAGAAAUCUUAUUGUUGGAGUACUUGCAUUAAUUUUUGAAAGUUUUGUUGGGUAACUUGGCUUGGUGGCCAGAAUUCUUAUUGUUUUUCUUAGAGUUUGAUUGGAGUUUGACAGUAAUUUUAUACUUUGGGAGACUUUUUCAAUUUGGGAUGUUUUAUUAUGUAUUAGUGGAGAUCACAUUGGAUAUUAGAUGUAUUUAUUUUGAAAUUAAUUUUUGGAUUGAAUGAAUGUUAAUUGAUAUUAAUUUUUUAUAUUUGUUUUAUUAAUUAAUAAAAUUUGUAAAUAGGAAUUCAUCAAUAAAUUAUAAUUAUAAUAUAAUUUAAAAAAAUCAAAACUUUAUGAUGGAAAAAGCCAUCAUAUAUUCUAUCAUAAAUAGUUUCCCGCCAAAAUUGAAUAAUAAAUUUUCAAAUAAUAAUUGAAUUUCCCACCAAAAAUUUAAAAAAAAAAUCGUACAAAAAUUUAAAUAAAUUCAAAUUUUAAUUUAAUUAUUUUUUUACAUUAAAAUAUUGUGUGACAGAUAUAUGACUAUGAAAUACCAUCAUGAAUUUAUGACGGAAAAUAUUCUGUCAUAAAUUAAUGACAGUGACAUAGAUGAUAGAUGAACUGUCUGUCAUGCACCCCCUUUUAUGAUAGUUAUUCCCGUCAUUUAUUGUUUGUUUUCUUGUAGUGUUUAUUAAAGCCUCCGAUGACAUCAGUGAAAGGACUAGGAACAAAUCCCCUGCCAUGACCAUAAGUAGGCCUAAAACCUCCUCUACCUCCUCUAAUAUAGUGUCUUUGAAGUACAAAUGUAGGAUUAAACCUAUUAUUGGACUUAUUUAUCCCACAUCCAGGGAUAAACCAAACUUGGCCGAUGAUGGAGUCAAAAUUGCUGUCAUUUUUAUUAUUUUGUCCUAGAUUAGACAUGUCUCUAUUAAAUAAAUCUAGGUUUCUAUUAUUUUUCUAAUUUCCAAAACCAAGCUUAGAGAAACCUUAAUCUUUUUGGGCAAAAUUAGUAGCUAAAUUGGGAUAACAUCUGAACCGAGUUUUCCUCUCUUCUGUUCAAACCUCAUUUUAUGACUUAAGAAUAAAGCACACAAGUUAUCCAGAUUCAUACCUUUUUCCUCUAGCCAAUAAAAUUGUAAUAAGUGAUUCAUGCUUUUGAGAUUCUAAUCCAGACAAAAUAUAAGUAAAAAGAUUAGCAUGUUAAACUAGUUUACCAGUAAUAGUAAGUGCAUCUGCCAAUGUCUUCAUCUUAGUAAAAUAGGCACUUAUAGUCAUUGAUCCUUUUUUAGUGGUUCUAAUUGCUUCUAAUAGGCAUUAUAUAAGCUUGAUUUUGAGAAAGAAACAUACAUGUCAAAGAAUUCCACAGCCUUUGUGAUGAAACAAAAUGAAUCCACUACAAGAAAACAGACAAUAGAUGACGGGAAAUAAGAGGGGUUCAUGACAGACAAUUCUUUUGUCAUCUAUGUCACUGUUAUUAAUUCAUGACGGAUAAAUUUAUGAUGGUUUUUUACUGUCAUACAUCUAUCACACAAUAUUUUAAUGUAAAAAAAAAUUAAAAUUAAAAUUAAUUUAAAUUUUGCCAUUUUUAAAAAUUUUGGCGGGAAAUUCGAUUAUCAUUUGUUAAUGUAUUAUUCAAUUUCGCGGGAAAUUAUUUAUGACAGUAUUUGUGACGAAUAUUUUCCAUCAUAAAAUAAUAAAUUUUUUUAUAAUUACAAUUUGUUUAUAAAUUCCUGUUUAUUAAUAAAAUGAAUACCAUUAAAAAAACCUGAAAACAAUUAACACAUUCAUUCAAUCCAAUAAAUUAAUUUAAAAAAAAUACAUAUAUAAAAGGUCCAAUGUGAUACAUAUAAUAGAGCAUCUCAAAAUUUAAAAAACAUCUCAAAGUAUAGAACAACUAUUAAAUUCCAUUGCAUGUACAACAAAAGCAACUAAAAUUCCAACCAUCAAGCCAAGUUUCUCAACAAAACUUGCAAAGAAUAAUGCAAGACUUUCAGGAGUUCUAGCACUCUUAACUCCAGUCACAAAGCCAGGUUUGUCAACAUUCCAAUUCCAGCCAUGCUAGCAAUACUCCAACCAUAUCCAGCAACCCACCACCUUCCAACAGCACUUCCAGCCAUAUAUCCAGAAACAAUUCAACCCAAACCCAGCAAACCAUUCUAUGCAAAAUCAAUCAAAAUACCCAAAGUUAUCAAAUGCAUAACAUCUACAGUACAAUCCUUAAUAGCAACCAUUAUAAUUUGAUACUACAAAUUCAUUUCAACAAUUUGUAACAGCUAACCAUUUUGUUACAAAUUUCAUACUCAAUACUAACCAUUUUGCUGACGCAAUGAGAAUGUCAGAAAAAUGGUUAGCCCACUCCAAACGAACCUCAUCUAAUUCAUCCUGAGUGUAUGAUUUAUUUCCAUUAAACUGUUAAUCGUAAGAAAUAAUAUUGUCAAACUUUAAAAAUAAUGUCACAUGUAGGAAAUAAAAGAAUGUUGACAUAUCUCAUCAUCAACUUACAUUGUUGGUUAACAAACUAACAUCCACUAUUAUUUCCUUCAUGUACCUUAACACAAAAUAACCACACUCUAAUUUUGCGAUAUUUUGUUUUGGAGCCUGUUCAUGAAAAAAAAAAGAUGAAAAUUUACAAAACCCAUCCAUUUUAGUUAAGGUACAUAAUCAAUAGGCUACAAAAAUACUUUUUUUCUUUUUUUUUACCUUCACAAUUCUCAUCUUGGUAUUAUAAUUCCAUUUUUCCUUACCAUCCUCUAAUGUGAAGAGUGUCAUGGCGCUGGAAACAAAACUAUACUGUUAUCUCUUAAUCAUAUUGAAGAAACUUAAACUAUCAAUUGCAGGAAAUAGACUAGUAUACAUACAUUUUAAGGAGCUGUUCUAAAUCAGUUUCAGGUCUGGAUUGCAUAGGAUCCACAUAAAAUACUUCCUUUUUUACCACAUCAAACACAACUAAUACCCAAUGGUAGCUAUAAAAGCCAAAAGCAUAACCAUUAAUUAAGAAACAGCUGUGAACGUAAUAUGAAUUUAACAGCUGUAAAAGUUUUCAAUAAAAUUUAAACUUACGAAGGAUUGUAUGGCAUGAAAAUGAGUUGUCCUUUUUUGGCCUUUUUCAAGCGGUCGCGAAUAUGCUCAACUCUCUUCGAGCGAAAUUGUACUGCAGCCUUUGGAUUUGUUGGGCAAACCAAACUAGGACACAUGAAUCCAAAUGGUUUUGUUCCUUUUCUGGUUGGUAGAAUGGUAGAAUCCAACAUCCUUGACAGAAAAUCAGUGCAUCAAUAAAAAAGUAUAUCAAAUUGAUAUUAAAUAGUGUAAAGGAAAAUCAUAAAACCACUUACGCCAUAUAUACUUGAAUAGCAUUCACUCAUAGCGCUUGCAUUGACAGCAGAUCGUUGCAAUCUUUCUUCCCAAUAUAAGCACAAGCCUCUGUCUGGAAUACAUUAUCAUCAAUUAGAUAUGUCAGAACACCAUCAUUUUCACUAGGCAGGUAUUUCUCACACAACUUCCCAAAUAAUUACAAUAUCGAAUGACUAUUCUGGUGCUUGAGUAUCACCUUGUGUUCCUCAUAGGCUGCACUACAAUUUUUUUGGCUUUAUCCUUCUUCAAAAGUGCCUUUUUUGUUGGGCUGUUAGGAUGAAUCUCGCAUAUACCAUCAGCAUAGUCAAAGUCCAAUUGCUUUUUAUUGCUUCCAGCUCUUUUCCUCUCAUCAUUUGCACAAUCCUUUGGAAUUAAAGGAUUGAGUCUUGGACUUUUCCUUGAAAUGGCUGUAGUAGCGUUUCUUGGCGAGUUUAAUUAUAUGAAUAUUAAUUAUAUGAACUAAUAAGUUUAUUAAACUAAAUUGAAUAGUAAAUAUACAAGGCAGUAACUAUAUUAAACCAAGAAAAAUACAACUAAUUAUUUAAAUAAUCUAACCUUCUGUGCAUGGAGUUCAUUGUCAUCAUCGUAAUCAUCAUUUCUGGCUGACUUCAUCGGAAUGGCAGAAGACUUCAUCGGAACGGCAGCAGUGGUGUUUUUUGGCAUCUCUUCGUUCUUCUUAGUUUCUUCCUUCUUUCUCAGUGUUGAUAUUCUAGGUUGCUAUUCUUUCUGACUGGACAUCCAUUUCUUCUUCUUCUCAACUGACUUGCCUAAAUUUCCUGGCUCCUGUCAGCAUUAUUGGCAAAAAGUAAAUUAAACUGUAUUGAGUGACAGAUAUACAAAAAAAAAUAAACUAGGAAAAAUUCAGUUAAUUUUAUAAAUGAAGCAACCUGAUGUACAUCUUCCUCACUGUCAUUAUCAAUGCCUUUAUUAUGUGGGAAAUGAACUUCCCACAUCUGAAUGGCGAGGUGUCCUCUUCAAUUCUCUACAAAUUUCUUGCAACUGAGCAUCAACUGAUUUUUUCCAAGCAUCUAUCUCCCUUUCUCUAUCACUUCGGAUGGGUCCACGAAUGGUAUGAAAGUAGUUAGAAGCAGAUAUAAAUUUGCCCAAGCCUUGCAUAUGACCAGUUUGAGGAAGCUUUCUCAAUGCUUGUGCAAGUAAGUGAUUUCUUGCAUCUGAAGUGAAAAAGUCUUUUUGGUCCUUCUUUAGCUUUUUCUAAAACCACAUCAUAAGGAAACUAAUAUUAUUAAAUGAGCAUAGUUCUAAUAUCAUAACCAUUUUUGUUCUGGUUAAACUUGAUUACCAAUUUCUUAAUGACUUGCUCAGUCUCAGGGUUCUAUCCUCCAUUCUUUAGCAUCCGAGCUCUCUUCCAUAGCUCACUCCUAUCAAUUAAGUCUUCAGAAAGACCCGAUUCUGCACACUGUUUCGAUAAAAGAAAUUAGAUUAGUAAACUAUUAGAAAAAUGUAAUAGUUAAAAAUACCAUUUAUACCAAUAUAUACGAACUUACAAUUUCUUUCAUUAAUCCAACAUAUCCUUUUCGACUAAGAUGGUGAUUACACUUGUUCAAAGCUCUCCGAUUCUUAUUAACACGACUGAUUUUCUGCAUAAGAAAAAACAUCCUUUUAACACAAUGUAAAUGUAAAGUAACUAUUAGUAUAUUACUUGUCCUAACUUUAAAAUACUUACUUCAAAUAAUUCGGAUAAACGUUCGUCGACAAACUUUAUCCAAACAUGCCGCUUUAUUUGAGGGUAAUCAAUUGGUGGUGUAUACAUUUUCUUUUUAUCAUUUGGGAACCUCCAGAUAUAGUUUUUCGUCAGCAUAUAUUUGAAGUUUCGAAAUGCUAUUCCGAUUGACUGUAUUACCUGCUUCAUACUUCUAGGAUGAAUAAUGAAAUGACCCUAAAUAUGGAGGAAGAUUUUUAAAAUGUCAUUUAAUAAAAAUCCAAAUCAUAUAACUAAUAAGUGAAAAAUGCAAUAAGUUUUUCAAGAAUUACCAAAACAGAUUUCCACAAACGCUCCUUUGUCUCUGGAGGAACUUUACGUCAAUCGAAAUAAAGAAUAUAAACUGAUGUACGAGCCAAUACACCAAGAAAAGAAGCCAACUCAAUCGCUUCAUCCCCUCCAGGAACACCCAUUUCAUUGUAUUGCACCACAAUCUUUCCAUUUCUUGUUUUAAGUCUUUUAUUUUUCCUAGUACCCAUAUUCAUACCUCUCCUGGAGUUACUACUUUCAGGAACAUCAACAUUAGGAGCAACACAACCAUCUCUCUCAAUACCAACUAAAUCAUCUCUAUCCAAACCAGCACCAUCAAAAUCUCCUCCAUCAAACUCAACUCCAUCUAUCUCAGCAACAUCCAACUCAACAACACCAUCCACACCAGCCUCAUCUUUUUCACCUUCUAAAUCAACGUUAUUGUCAAAUAAGUUGCAGUAAUCAUCUUUUAAAUUACAAUCCUGAUCAGAAGCACCAUCAACCACAAUAUGUUUUCCCUUAGCCAUAUUACUGCCCCUGAAAUAAAUAAAUAAAGAACAUUAGUUCAAUGAUUUAAUCAACCUAUAUAACAAUUAAUCAGCUACACGAACAAAAAGUUAAUCAAUUUAAUAUCAUAUAAAUUCGUAAUUGAAAAAUAACAGAAGGAAAAUAGUUUUAAAAAAAACUUACUAUAAGAAGCUAAUCAAUUUGUAACCCAAAUUCCCUCUUUGUUGUUACGCGCAUAGAUCGCUCGAUCGCUAUUAGUGGAAUAUAACAAAUCAUUAGUUGGUAAUUCUCUAGUGAAUGGAGGAUAUUCUACUACAUUAUUAAAUUCAUCUUCGUUUAUUUGAUUAGAAUUACUUCUAAUAGGCAUAUGACAUACAAUAGACUAUUUUGUUUGAAUUUGAUCAUUUACAUAAAAUACUUGUUUGGCUUGAGAAACUAAUAUAAAUGGAUUAGAUUUAUAUCUUAAUCUGUUUAAGUCUACUAAUAUGAAUCCAAGCUCAUCUUUCUUGACGCAACUAUUUUGAACCCAAUCACACUUCAACACAAGGACUGUUAACAAAUGAUAGUCAAGUACCCAAUUCCCAUCUAUAACUCCAUAAUAUGUCAGGUCACAUAUUUCAUAAUCAACUACACUAACUCCAUUGUUUUGAGUUACACGACUUGAGUCUCGGUCUCGUGUAACAAAAUGGAAACCAUUGAUGUCGUAACCAUUAUGUUUAGUUACAAAAGGAAGAGGCCCUUGUGAUAACCAACGUAAGGUAUCCGAUAUGUGAUCACCUUUUUCAAUUAAGUCAUAUACCUAGCAAGAGAAAAAGGAUAAGCAUAUUUAUAUUGCUAGGUAGGGGGAAAAAAGGGGUCAACAAACUUUGUAAAAAUUAAUGAUAUAUAUAUGCUUCAACCUUAUCAGCUAGCCAAUCGGCAAAUGUACGGUUGUGUUCCUCUUGCAACCAUUUGUCAUUUUGAUGUGGAUAACAUGUUUUAAGCCAAUCCAUGUGGUCACUAAAGAUUCAGAACAUGAAAAAUUAGUUUUUCAUAUUAGAAAAAAAAAACAUCUAGAUUUGAUUCCAACAAAUUAAGCAAAUUACCUAAUGUAUAAUACCACUUCUUGUGUGUUAUGCAAGAUGUACAGGUGUGCUUGAUCUAGCAAAUUUACAGGAAUUUGCACCAUUUUCCCACCACACAGUGACUUAUCUUUUGAUAGCUUUUGCACAUCCCAACUGUACUCAUGUUUAACAUGUAUUCUGCACAAAAUUCUAAUGCUUCUUCCGCAAUAUAACUCUCCGCUAUACAACCCUCAGGACAGUUGCGGUUUCAGACAUAACUUUUAAGAGUUUUCAUGUAUCUCUCGAAGGGAUACAUCCACUGAAGAUAAAUCGGGCCACAUAAUCUAACUUCAUUGACUAAAUGCACAGUCAAGUGCACCAUAAUGUAAAAGAAAGAAGGAGGAAAACAUUUUUCUAACAAGCAUAAAGUCACCAUAUGGUCUACCUGUAAUUUAUCCAAUGUUGUCACAUCAACCACAUUGGAACAUAACGAAUUGAAGAAACAACACAGCCUUAUCAAAGCUCCUUUCACAUGCUUUGGCAAGACACACCUAAUGGAAAUAGGGAGAAGUUGUUGCAUAAGAACAUGGCAGUCAUGUGACUUAAGGCCCUGAAGUUUAAGGUCCUUCAUUGACAUAAGAUUUCUAAUGUUUGAGGACUAUCUAGCAGGAACUUUUAUACUUUUCAAAGCUUUGCAGAACCUUGUCUUUUCAUCUCUCGUUUAUGUGUAACAAGCUGCAGGAAGGAAGGUGCGCUUGUUCUUUUGUAAAGUUGGUGCUAGUUCAUCCAUGAUUUUCAUGUCCACAAGAUCAUUCAUUGACUUAAGACCAUCUUUGGUCUUUCUCGGAAUGUGGAGUAGUGAUCCAUAAAUGCUCUCGCACACAUUCUUUUCAAUGUGCAUAAAAUCUAAUUGAUGACGCACAAGCAAAUGCUUUCAAUACUCUAAAUUAUAGAAUAUAGAUUUUUUUCCACCAUAUGUGGUCAUCAUUUACUGAACUUUUAUGUUUGAAUGACUUGUUUUUCCCCCAUUUAUAAUCAAUAGAAUCAACCAGCCCUAAAAUAACGUCACCAUUCAACGGUUUCAGAGCAAACUCUCUCUCUAUUGUGUUGUCGAAGGCUUUAUAUCGGUCACAUAAUUCGUGAUCAUGAGGAAGCCAACGACGGUGACUGAUAUAUGCAUUUUUUUCAUUGUGUUUAAGUCUACAUUUAGUAGUGUCUACACCACAAUAUGGACAAGCAUUAUGUCCUUUAACAGUGCAACCAGCUAGAUUUCCGUAUGUCGAAAAGUCAUUUAUAGUCCAUAAUAACACAACCAGCAUAUUAAAAAUCUCCUUUCGAUAGGGAUCAUAAGCCUCCACCCUAACUUCCUACAAAGUUUGCAAAUCUUCUAUCAAAGGAGCCAAGUACACAUCAAUGUCAUUGCCCGGUUGUUGAGGACCAGAAAUCAGUAGGGACAACAUCAUGAAUUUCCGUUUCAUAUACAAUCAUGGAGGAAGAUUGUAUGUUACUAGAAUAAUUGGCCAGCAACUAUAUGUACUACUAAGAGAGUUAUGUGGAUUUAUUCCACAGUUGCUAAGGCAAGGCGAAGAUUUCUAAGAUCUAAUGCAAAAGUCGGCCAUUUGUUAUCUACUAAUUUCCAUGAUAGUGAGUCUGCCGGAUGUCAGAGCUUACCAUCAUCGGCUCUCUCAUUUGCAUGCCAAGUCAAGUCUUUGGUAGUUUGUGAGGACUGAAACAUGCGCUUAAAUCUAGGUAUAAUAGGAAAAUACCAUAAAAGCUUCGCAUGAACCCCUUUCUUAUACUGGUCAACACUAUUAUCUUUUUUUUUUCCAUCUAGAUAAACCACAACUAGGACAUUCAAAGAGGCCUUCAUACUCAUUCCUGUAGAGUAUGCAUUCAUUUGGGCAAGCAUGUAUUUUCAUAUAUUCUAAGCCUAAAACGGACAUUGUCUUUUUGACCUCAUACAUAAACACGAGAAUUUCAUUACUUUCAGGCAACAACUUGGCUAGAAGACCUAACAACUCAGUAAAACUUGUGUCAGACCACCCAAAUUUACCUUUUAUAUUGAACAAGCUAACCAAAGUGCCUAACUUAGUGAAAUUUGUGCAUCCCGAGUAUAAAGGCUACUCAGUCUGUUCUAGAAGUUCUUUAAAUGCUUUAGGAUCUGCAGCACAAUCCUUAUAAGCAUCAUUAACCCUAUCUACUGUGUUACCAUUAUCGUAGUCCAUAAACUCAAACGGAACAUCUACUUCUACAUUAGGAAGUGGCGUGUCAUGGACAUCUUUCCCAUGCCAACUCUAGGUUGUGUAAGAAACAUCAAAAUCAUAAAAAUACAGAUGUUCGAGAACAACCGUAUGUGUACGAAAGAAUAGAUUCAUACAUUUAGUACACGGACAUCUAAUGACACUACUACCUUCGGCAUUAGCAAUAGCAAACCUCAUAAAAUUUUCAACCCCAUCUUCAUACUCUUUUGGCAUUUUACUACAAUGAAUCCUACAAUGCAUCCAUGACUUAUCCAUUUUUAGUUUUAAUUAGAUCUGAUCAUGACACAUUAAGGAGGUAGAAUAAAAAAAAAUUAGAAUAUAUUACCACUACAUGUAUGCAAGGUACAAAUUAACAAUGACUUAAAUACCUUUGCUGCAACAUAAACAAAUAAAGAUGAAAAAAAUCCAAAAACAAAUGAAAAACACAUGGAAGAAUACAUAAACUAAAUUUUUCUUGGCACAUGCUUAUCUAUAUUUUGUUCUGAUAUGAAUAAGACUUAAGUCUAAAAAAUAUCAUGAUCACAUGUUUGGUCCAGCAAAGAACACAUAGACUAUUUGAGAUCUAUAACAUUAUAUUAUUAAAAGAAAACAAUUGUUCUACUAAUAUUCUUUGCCAAUGCAAACAUGGUCAAAGUCUUAAGACUGAUCUAAAACUAUAUGAUUUGGUGAUGUUUUCUGUUUCAAAACUCAAAAGCAAGGUUGUUGUUUGUUUUACAUGUCUAAUAUUGCUUUAAACAUGUGGUUUGGUGAUGUUUAAGUUACUAGAAAAUUGAUUAUAGAAGUGAAAGGAUGAUAAUUAUGGAUUCUCCAAAAAAUUUGAGAAUUGUUGGACUAUUAUGGUAAGUUUUAUUGUUUCAAAAUGUGACUAAACUAUUCUUGAUUGACUUGAAAUUUUGAGCAAUUAAAUCUGAAUAUGUAUGUUUCAAGUUUGCAGAUUUUGGAACUAAUAGUUGAUUUUUAAUUAAUUCAUUAAAUUGGCCAGCUGCUGUCCAAAGUUAUCAAAAACUCUAUAUAUGCCAUGUUUGAUGUUAUAAACAAAUGGUCUAAUGGUAUCGAAAUGAGCUGCAAUUUUUAUACAUUAAACUUUAAUAUGUCUUUCAAUUAUGGAAAAUUUCAUGGUAAUUGAACUUGUGGUUUAUUUUUUAUGAUUUUUAAAACUUUGCUGCUUCAAUUGUAAGCCCCUUUGACAGAGGUGUUCUCUUAAUUUUGAUCUUAUGAAACAAUAGCUCAAUGAUAUCGGAAUUAUAUGAAAUUUUAAUAUGUUAUAUAAUCAUAGAUCUAUCUAUGUUCUGGAAAGUUUUAUCCCAAUAUAUUGAGUAUUUUAAUUUUAAUAAAUCACUAAAUCUCAGCUGUUUCUGUGUAAAUUAAAAGGUAAUUUUGAUUGGUUUAGUUUAAUCAUGUGAGACCCUGUUGUACAGUUGCCUAAAUGGCUUCAAAUUUUGAUAUGGAAAUAUAUUAUACACUAAGGCUGAGUUAGAUAAAGCCCAUUUUGAGUGACCGUACCAUGUUUCUGGAAUAAUUGUUGUUGUGUUAGUUAAGCCUUAGCUGGUGUUAUGUAUGGGUGCCUUAUGCCAAACGGAUGACUAGGUUAUGCUAGGGAAACACUUGUACGUGGCUUGUUACACCAGCAGUGUAAACUGAUAUAGUCCCCAUUUAGGUUGACCAUCAGAAUGUAUGUCACUGGUUUCCCGCCUAUAUAUAGUGAAUCCCUAAAAAUCUAUUUAUGUUUCAGGCAAGUCACAUUCAGUGCACAAACAUUUACCUAAGUUUGAUCCGGAAUUGUACCCACACUAUUAACACAAUUUCCAAAAACAAACAAAAUGACAUCAAAAUAGAUACAAACUAUUAUUAAACAAAUAUAAAUGAAACAGUUAAUAAUUUAAACCCAACAACAAAGCAUUUGGUAUAAAAUACUGAAGAAACAAACAAACCUAUUACAAAGAGCAAUCACAUAAGCAUAUGGGGUAUAUAUAGUAACAGGAAAAAUGUUACCUGCCUCGUAAAGUGUGAUAAAACUAGGUCGAUGAACAGAGAAUUAAGUGAAGAAACCAAAGUGCAUUUGAUAGAAACAUAUAAAACAUAGUCAAGUCUUUACAUAUAAGGCAAAGAGAAUCAAAACAAUGUGUUUAACCAAAGAUUUACGCUACAAGACAGAUAAUACCGUUAAUAAAAAAUAUUAGAAGAACAUGCAGCUUCAAUUUUACCCACAUGGAUCUAUCUAUCCUCCGAUAUCCACGACAGAUAAUACCAAAGAUUUCCUAAAUGAGAGUUAGGGUUACCUUAAGAACUAACUUAAUUUUGUUUGCUUGGCUGGUGCUCUUUAUGCUGCGAAGGCAAUGACAUACGGUUUCAAAACGAAGAGACAAUGGUUUAAUUAGGAAAAUUUAAAACAAAAUGAAAGAAAUUGACGGUAUUAGGAGACAAAGCGAAACUGAAGAGGUUGAUGGCUUAAAAGGGGGGAGGCUGAAUUUUGUAUGACGGUAAUGACAGUGUGUGAAUGGUAGAAGAGCAGGAAGAAUUAGGGGUUUCAGAAAAGGGUUUGUGAACGGCGACACAAAUGAGCAAAAGAAAGAGCACUUAGGGUUAGGGAUUUGGAUUUCUCAUCAGUAUAACGUGGAUGUUUAACACUUAGUAAAAAAAAAAAAAAAAAGCUUAAGUACUUCAAACGGUAGCGUUUUGAUGGCUAUUUUUGUUUUAUUUUUAAAACACAUCCUUUGUUUUUAAAUAAAAUAAUACAUCAAAUUUGGGUCAAAUGUAGUCAAACUCAUUUUUCUAUCAUACUUUUUGAUAGAAUAAAUUUAUAUAACAAUUCUAUCAUAAUUUCAUGAUAACAAAUAAUCCUAUCAUAAAACCAUCAUAAUUUAUUGAUGGCAAAUAUUUCUAUCAAAAGCCCAUCAUAAAUCUAUGAUAGAUUCAAAAUUCUAUCAUAAUUCUGUCGUAAUUUUAUGAUAUACCUAUAAUCUAUCAUAAAGUUUUUGUCAUAUAUUGCCUGUUUUCUUGUAGUGAUCAUAAAGGAAAGCAAGUUCUCUUGAAUUGAAGACAUCAUCUAAUUGAAAAGCUGAUCUGUUCUGAUCCAAGCAAAGAAAGUAUGAUUAUUAUCUUGAUCCAGAUCCAUUGUUUAAAGAGCCAAGGUCAUCUAUAUUUUGAAUAAGAUACUAAUACGGACACUUAUUUGCACUAAUAAUGAAUCUUUCCAAGCCAUUACUUUUGAUUGAAGCAGGAACUCGAGUUCUUCAAAUAAUGAAGUUGUUUUGAUUGAGUUUUAUUGGUUUUACAAAGUUAUAAAAGGUGUUAUUUUGAUUAGAAGCAUUAGCUAGCUGUGAUAUCAUGUUUGAAAUAAAGUAAAAUUAUGUUUGGGUACUGAGAGAAUAAGCCAGAAAGUGAAAAAAUAAAUUCAGAGUUUAUUCAUUUACCUGAGCUUACAAAAUAACUCUCACAUAUGGUAUUUAUACACACAAUUACAUAUAUGAAUCAGUUAUUGGAUCCAUCUAAAAAUACUCAUACGAUCAGACCAGCUAGGCACAAUUGAAUCUUAUUGUAACUUACUUGACAUGUCAGCACAACGGAAUUACUAGGCUACUGAUUAAACUACCAAGCUUGUCAUGCUCUGCAUUUAUCAUGCUCUAAAUCAUCAUCACUAUAUAUUCUAACAAUGAGUAGCUAACAAAACCCAUCAAAGUAUUUCACCAAUGUAAAGAACAUGAGAAAUAAACAUUAUAAACCAAAUAAAUAAAUCAAUUAGCAAAUAUAUCCUUUGAUCAAAUCAAAGACGCUGCUUGCUCUGCUUCUCUAGUUUUAAGCUUAGAAUCAAGAAGAGGAGUGAAGAUGAAAUUUUCAAUGGAGUUUGUAGAGAAUGUAAUUCUGAGGUUGAUGGAGGACCCCAAAAAGAGGGACAAAAAGAACGAUUCAGAGUAGAUGCCUGGCAAAAGGGACCCUUACAACGAUAUUCUUUAACACAGCUAUGAUGCCACUUCCAUCUCUAAUUGAAUGCUAGAAAAUCCAAAAGCAACGGAAGAAUGAUUCAAGGUUUGUCAAAAAAGGAUGGUGAAUUAAGCUAUUGUUAUUAGGCCAGUGGCCAGUAGCAUCAUCGUCAACUAACAGAGUAGAUGUUAAAAGAAAAAGAACAAGAAGUAAAAUUAUAGAUGCCAUAAAAGAACACAAUCCUUAGCUAAAAAGUAAGAAUCUAUUUUCUGUAGUUUUAGGACCCUACAAAUGAGACAUAUGCUAGCCCUGACAUUAUACUUCAAAAUUGAAUUUCAUUUGUUUAAAAAUAGAGAAGAUUGGGGGGUGGAAUAGGGAAGGAAGAUGGUUGAUUAUUAAAGAUUCUUUAUGAUGUAAACUAGAAAAUCAAAAAGAUCGCAUAUACCUCAUUAAAGUUAAAAUCUUGACAUAUUAAGUUCCCUCUGUAAAUAUCUGUUUAAGGUACUCAAAAGGAAAAUUUUAAGAUUUUAAAUAGUAAGAAAAUUUAAAUGAGUGCUCAAAGUAAUAAUAUUAUAUAUGUGCAUAAUAAAGUGUCCUUAAAAAUAAUUUAUGUCAGGGAUAUUUUUGUAGUAAAUUUUUUUAUAGAAAUAUAAAUAUUAAGAGUAAUUUUUAGAGUACAUAUAGCCCUGCUAGGGAUGGCAAUGAAGGCAGAUAUGGGUUGGAUUUGCUCUGCUCCAGAUUCAGAUUCAUAAUGAUAAUCAAAAUCCGUAUCUGCUCUAGAUCCGUCAUGAAUCCAUAUUUCUCGCUCCAUAUCCAGAUUAAAAAAAGAAAUAAAUAUCUAUAUCUGCUCUAAAUCCAAAAAAAAAAAUCCAAAUCUACUCUAGAUCCGUCAUGAAUUCUAAAAUUUAGCAAUAAAAAAGUAAUAAUUUUUUAGAAUGAAAAUUGAAGGCCAAAAUGUAUUGAUAACAAAUAAAUUAUAUAAUUUUCUAAAAAAUAUAAUAAAUAUUGUAGCUUAUACUUUUACACCAAAACAACAAAUAAAAAAGAUUAUAAAAUAUCAUUAAAAAAUAAUUGCAGAAAUAAGAUCAAUCUAAUAUUCUAUUAUCUCCUUCAUCAUUCUAAUAUCCACGACACAACCACCCUCAUUCCUACAACAUUAGAUAAUGACAUAAAUUAAAUAUAAUUUAUAUUCAGUUUUUUAUUAUUUUAUUAUGACCAUAUUUGACUAAAUAUAUGAAUAACUAUAUUCCUUAAAAAUUAUUUGGCCAAUAUAAUAAAAUAAAUUGUCAGGUUGUAUUACUUGGCUUGCAAUUUGAAUAUUACAUGUACAUGCUUUGGGGCUGGCUGACCUUUAAAUUUACAAAACUAACCUUUAAGUUUUAAGAGUUUAAAUGCAUGGUAAAUACCACUAAUAUGCUAUGAAUAAAAUUUAUUAUCAUUAUAAUUCCACAAUUGUUAAGAAACUUUUAAAAUAAAAUAAAAUUAAAAGAUGGGUGGAUAUGGAUAUGGAUUUAGAUAUUAAGAUAUAUCCAAAUCUGCUCCAGAUUCGUGUUAGAUCAGCACAUCGAUAUUUAAAUUCGAUCCAGAUUCAUUUUAAACAAACCCAAAUCCGAUCCGAUUAGAUUUGGAUCACAUGGAUCUUGGGUUAGAUCCAAUCCAUUACCAUCCCUAAACCGUGCCCUUAAAAGAAAUAUAUGGUAAUAUUUGAUUUUAAAAAAUAAAAAAAGAUGUUGGGAAUACAAUACCGUUUUGCAAGGACAUAAAGGGGCACACUAAUUAUUCUCACUCAUACCCCUUGCAACUUCUAUUGGUAGCUCUAGAUGAUCAGAUUUUAAGGGGAAUGUAGAUAUAAUUCGAUUGGUUUUGAGACACAUUAUUGUAUUCAUUUAUUUAUUUUUCCUAUGCUUUGCCUAAUGAGAUUCAAACCUUUCCCACUCACGUGACGGGCUCAAUCAGGAUCUCUUGAGUCUUGAUCUAUCGGCAUCACUACAAGAUUUUACUAUUUUUUUGGAUUAAAAAUUUUUAUUUAGUUGAAGGAAAAAUCCCCUACACCCUCAAAAUUUUGUUAAAUGAUUACAUAGUCCUUUUGAUUUCAAAAUGAUCGUAUAGAUUUUUUUUUCCUGUUAUGUCCUUUAAUAGUAGCCAAAAUUUUGAAAUGAAUACAAUUACAAUACUAAUAUAAAACAAAAAAUAAAAUAGCAAAUAAAUAUAAAUAAUUAAAAAAAUAAACAUAAUAAUGAAAUAACAUAUAUAUUCAUCUAUGAAACAAACGCAAAUACUCAUUAAAAUAAAUGCAUUUAAAAUUGAAAAUAAGUAAUAAAAUUUACUUAUAUUCUUUAUAUAUUUUAUUUAUAAUAUUAAACAAUAGAUUAAUAUUAAAAUUGUUUUUAAUAAUAUGUUUUAAUGUUAUUAUAUUUAUUAUAGAAUUUUAUUUAAAGUCAAAUUUUGGAUUAUCAUAAUUGAAGGAUAUAUUUAUAAAAAAGAGAUUUACAUGAUCAUUUAUGAAACGAAGGGCUAUUUAUUUUUUUUGACUUUAUAACUUAAUUGACUUAAUUUCUAUUUAUUAAGUCAUUAAAUCUGUUUAUUUUUUCCUUUUAGUUAAAAUUUUUAGUCGCUAAGUCAUUAUGUUACUAAACCAAUUUUUGUUUUUAGCUUUUUACUUAAUUUAAAAGUCUGAAUGAUAUCAUUAAAAUAUAUUCUCCAAACUAUCUCUAUUUAAUUAAUUAAUUUUUAUUCUAACCUAAAAAAAAUUUGAUAAUUACAUCAUUACCCAUCCCUAUAACUCGUGAAAAUAUAGUGCAUUGAUAGAAUAUUAUUUUUUAUCUUUUUAUUUUAAUCAAAUUAGCAUUAUUUAUCUUGAUUAACGUACACUACUUAGAAUAUUAAAGGAUUGUACUCAAUUGAACAUAAUUUAUGUUAUUGUAAAUAUUAUCUUUUUUAUGUUCUUUGAGAUAUUUAUUAUUUGUUUCACAUUUAUAAUUUGGACGAACGCAAACAUAAAAAUAUUAGUUUUCAGAUUUUUAAGUUAAAAUGUAAAUAACUUAAUAUUUAUUUUUCGCUAUUCGACAAAAGAAUAUUAUUCAAAUUCAGACAUUAAGUUCUAUUUUGAAUUCAGACUAAUUGAGAUAUGUUCAGAUUUUAGACAAGAAAACAAAUUUUAAGAGAAUUUAUGUAACUAUUUAAGAAAACUUUAAUGGUGGGGUGGCUACUUUCAUUAAUUAAAUUGCUAAUAUCUUGAAUUUUUUUGAGUUGAUAAUAAUAGAGGUGGGUACUGUGCCCGAACCAAUUGGCUCUGUUGCGUAUUAUAUAAUUCAACAAUUGGAUUUUGUUGAGAUGAUAACAGCAGCGCGCCGUGGCUUCCAACUAAGAUUGGAAAAGAUAAAUAUCUUGGUUAUCUUUUGUAUAAUCUUCACUAAAUAUUAAAAAAUAUUAAAAUAAACAUAAUAAUGUAAAAAUUCAAAAACAAUUCAAUAUUUAAAAAAUAUUUUAUAUUUUACAAUUUAUUAAAAUAAAUUUGAUUAUAUUUAAAGUAAAAUUUAUAAUAAAUAGAGACAUAUAUUUACUAAUUGUGAAAUUUAUUUAACCCAAAUAUUUACUUAAAAUCUUUAUAUUAGAUACAAAUAUAUUAUUUACUUUUUCUAAAUCAAUAAAUAUAAUAAUUUACUUUUUUAAAACUACUGUAACGUUUAAAAAAUAUUUUAUUGUUAUUAGUCUAAACAAAAUGAAUUAUUUAUAUUAUAUUUGUUGUUGAUGCGAAUUCGGUGUCUGCUCGUUCGCGACAAGAAUCUCUUCUCAACGCUCGAGUUCGCAGUUAACUAGAGAAACUUCACUUUGCAACUUCUAGAUGAACAAAGCUAUGACGCUUGCUACUUUUCUUCGGCAGACUCCUGCGCACACAAAAAAUGGUCAGAAAUCUCCGGCGUAAACCCUCCGACGCUCAAGUCACAAAUCUGGGCUUACAUUUGGAAAAACUCUACCACUAAUUUUGUGGCUCUAGAAUGGUUUCUAAGGUACUGAAAAUCUCUAUGAAUUUUCCUGAGGUUCCAAUUAGAAUGCCCUCUGGAAUUUCUUUUAAUCUAAGUUUUUAGUGUUUUGUCCAACCCCUUUACCUUCUUUGAUUGCCUCUUUUAUAGCCUCCCUGAGAAUUCGGUCCUCCUUGACUCACAUUCGCCACUUCACCAGAACCCUAAAAAAUGGAUGCGUGAAUGUGGUAGUUCACUUUCCGAAUGAACCCCGCUUUCAAGAGCUUCUCCAUCUCACUGUUUAUGGCUUCAUAUCUCUCCUGUUUGAAAUAUCUUGUUUUCUGCCUCACAGGUCGGGCAUCAUUCUUUAUUACCAACCUAUGGCAAGCCACCUCGGGAUCGAUCUCUGGCAUGUCAUCAUGCCUCCAAGCGAAUAUAUCAGCAUGAGCUUGCAAGCAAUGUACCAGCUCCUACUUAAGUUCUUCUUUAAGUUUCGAUCCAAUUCUAACUGUUUUUCCUGAGUCACCUUGUUCCAAGUCGACUAUUUCCAGCCCCUCAAUUGGCUUAUGUCUGCCACUCUUGACUUCUACUCGGUGUCAAGUGAGUUAAUUUGCAUUGCCUCCUUUGCAGCUGUAGAGUAACAGCUUCAAGUAAUUCUUUGGUCUCGUCAUAACACCCCAAUUACCCCAUUCACCCGGUACUUGAGAGUCAAGUAAUGAUUAGAGAGCAUUGUCUUACUUACUCUCAGAAAGGGACGGCCUAGAAUCAUCUAGUAAAGGGCUCUCCUUAUCGACAACAACAACAAAGUCCAGGAUCAUGGUUUUUUCUGAUGGGGCAGAGCCUAUCGUGAUGGGUAGCUCAACCACGCCAAGGGGCUUAGCCUUCCUCCACCGAACCCCUUUAAGGAUGUAUUGGUGUGCUCUAUCCUCAAAUAUGUUAUUCUCAUUUCCUCCAUAGUUGACUUAAAUAGAACAUCGAUCGAACUUCCGGUAUCUACCAGGAUUUGGUCAAACUUCUUGCUAGCGAUAGUGGCUUCAAUGACAAGCAUGAUCUCGUCUAGGAAUAACACUCCUUCUUCAUCUUCAUCCGUCUACAUGAUCGGCACCUGCCUGGUCCUUGCUCGUUUGGCCGCCGAAGUGUUAAAGAAUACUUAUUUUCUAGUCAUGGAAUAUCUAGCAUAGUUCUUUCUAGAUCUAUUAGAAUCCCCAGCCAACGUUGGGCCCCCAGCGAUAACUCUGACAAUGGGCUGCUCGUGGCCCGCAUUUCUUGCACUCUGCUUUGCUCUACAUGAUGAGUCUGCAAUCAGGAUACCUCCAUCUAUGAAUUCAUCCAAGUAAUGAUUCCUCACUAAAUCUUUCACCUGAUUUUUGAGAUCCUUGCAUUGGGUCGUAGUAUGACCAUGGGUGCCAUGGAAUUUGCGAAACCAGUCCCUAUCUCGUCUGCUGGUCAUUUUUGCUAUUGCAGUAGGGGGAUACAUCAAACCACGAUUCUUUAUUUCAUUGUACACCUCGUCCAGAGGCACCUUCAAGAAAGUGUACCACCCAUAACUCUAACUCUGAUCGAUCAUGUGCAUUGCCCUCUCUCUGUGGGAGGUGUUUUGAGCAGAAUGGGGCAUCGGUGCAUUUGGUUUGCUAGCUCUCAUACACUGUGGGUGGUGAGUCAUCGUGGAAUAAUGAUAAGGAUGACUGUACAUCUAGUCAAGCCUUCCCCAGGAAUCUCUAGCUGGUGAACAAGGAGGCUGAAUCCUACUACACUGAUAUUAGGGUGGCCUCUAAUAAGGUUGGUAAGAGGCGACCCAGCCUUCCGCACUGCUAGCCGGGGCAUGGUGGUCCUUCCGCUUAAUUGGCCUACUUCUCGCUGGGACUUUCUUUUCAUUUCUCCUCAACCCCUCCAACUGGUCCAUCUUAAUCCUCGCCGUUUUUUCCUCCUUGAUUUCUAUGUCCCUCUUGGCCUGUUCAUAGGUCGUGGAAUAUGACUGAACUGUUGGAUUCCUUAUAUUGUACCACGGGCGCCUUAUCCUUACUCUUUCAUUUAGCCAUGUCAAGGCUUGAGGAUGGUUGAAGGCUCUAAGAUUGAGGACAUCAUGAUGGUAUCUUUUAAUAAACUCCCAAAGAGUCUUAUUUUCUCCUUGCUUCAUACUCGUCAGCUCCAUCAUAUCAUCUUCUGGUGUCAUUGCCCCCCGAAAUUGCUCUACAAAUUCUUGGCACAUUUACUCCAAUGUCCUGAUGUUCCCCCGAGAAAGCCGUCAGUACCACUCACGUGCUUAUCCCUCUAAAGUCAGCAGGAACACCCUGCAUCUCUAGGCUUGGGAUACUCCCUGCACUCCUGUUAUGUCAUUGAAACGCUCUAUGCGCACCAAUGGGUAGGUUCGUCCCGCGUAUUUGAGGUCGAGGAAAUGGAAGUCCUUGGGGAUAACAGCACUCAUGAUUUCUGCUGAGAUGGGGGAUUCACUAUCUAGUAUUAUUCUCCAACCGGGUGCUCUAGUACACCUCUACAUGUCGUCUAUGAUUUGUACUAGUCUCCACACUUCUUUCUCUAGCUGCAAUGCUUGACUAGGAUCACGUGCCGCCACCUGGUCUCACUUUUGCUCGAUAUCACGCAGGUGUUGUCAAAGUUCCCUCUCCUCAACGUUCGCAACCCUGUCAUUAUUACUCGUGUUUUACCUACCUGGGGAUUGAUCCCCACAUUUAUGACUUCCUCCCCGUUGAGAUUGGUCAUCGACUCCACCACUAGGCCUCCCGGUGGUUCCUUCACCGUUGUUCCUUUUAUUAACGUGCCCCGGUGUAACUUCACCAUUUCUCAUCCCUUCUUCGUGAAUUCCUCUUUGUUCAUUUGUUAGCUCGUGCAAGAUGGUUUUCAGAGUCUCUAUCUGCUCUUUUAUUCGCUCCAUCCACUCAUGCAUUGCCCUUUCUCGUGCCUCGUUAGCUAUCUCUCUCAAUGUUACAGACUCGUUGAGCCCCAGAUCCUCUCCUUAGGCACUACUCCCACCUACGUCCAUAGUCACCCCUCUCUUCUUCCCUUCCUUCUCUCUAUUAACGGAAGCUUUUUGUUCAGCUCCCCACAGACAGUGGUAAAAUGUUGAUGCGAGAUUCGGUGUCUGCUCGUUCGCGAUGAGAAUCUCUCCUCAACGCUCGAGUUCACAGUUAACUAGAGAAACUUCACUUUGCUCCUUCUAGACGAGCAGAGCUAUGACGCUUGCUACUUUUCUUCGACAGACUCCUACGCACACAAAAACUUUGCCACUAAUUUUGUGGCUCUAUAAUGGUUUCUAAGGCAUUGAAAAUCUCUAUGAAUUUUCCUAAGGUUCCAAUUAGAAUGCCCUCUGGAAUUUCUUUUAGUCUGAUUUUUUUAGUGUUUUUGUCCAACCCCUUUACCUUAUUUGAUUGCCUCUUUUAUAACCUCCCUGAGAAUUCGGCCCUCCUUGACUCACGUUCGCCACUUCGCCAGAACCCUCGGAAAUGGAUGCGUGAAUGUGGUGGUUGCAGUUGAGUGGGUUUCGUGCCUGGAUUCUCGAAUAAUAGUGCAUGUCCUGUUUAACUGUCGUGGACUGGGUCUGCUGAUUUAGCCCCUAGCAGGAAGUGUUCUCGACGCCUAGCAAGGAACCUACUCAUAUUAUGGUCCCAGCAAAGGGUCUCCUCAUAGACGAGGAGAAGACUUCUGCUCUUGGACGUCACAUGGCUCCUCGCUUACGAGAGAGACGACUCCUCGUUUGGGUAUGGCAGGUCACACCAUAAUGUACCCCCAAACAUUUGUAUUUAUUUAAAAUAUUAAAGUUAAUUUCUUUGAGUUACUAUAUUUAAAAGGUUUUUGAUAAAUAAAUAAAAAAGUACUUGGUGUUCCUUUUUAAAAACAUAGAGAUUUACAUGACUAUUUUUUUAAAUUGUAAGAUGUAGGUAAUCUUUUUCAAACAAAAUGUAAUCUUCAUAUACUUAAAAAAAUUACUUAAUAUAUAAGUAAGGCUUGUGAACAUAGAAUUUUUAUCCAAACUAUGAUGAAAACAAAGAAUUAAUAUUUCACAACCUCAAUUAUGUUACUCUCAACUAUUCGGAUAGAUAGUGACAUGUUCACAAUUUUCUUCACUUCAAUCACAAAUGUUUCAAUAAUUAUUCUCUAACAUUUGCCAUGAUGGGUUUCUUGGAUUAACUAGUCAAAAGGCCUAGAUAGAUGGUGUAUGAACUAAUCAACAUAUAUUAUGAUUAGCUACAUUAUUGCUGCCAAUUUUAAGUUGAAAUAUAACAUUUUAGCUGUCAAUUUUGACAAUUUAAUAUGCAAGUUUACAACUCUAUAUUGUCUUUGUACACUUUGUAAUAAUAUCAAUAGAAUUGUAAGUGUAUACAUCAGAGGUAUUAUAUUAGUCAUUCAACAAAUAAAUAAUAUUUAUAACAUAUGUGUAUUUAUUUUGAUUAUUAUUUAUAUUAUUAUUCAACAAAUAAAUAAUAUUUACAACAUUAUUUUUAUUAUUAUUUAUAUUGAUUCAUUUUUUUCUUUGUUCUUACACUAUUAUACACUAUAAUUGCGGUCAAAAUUUUGAAAUGAAUACAGUUACAAUACUAAUAUAAAAAUAAAAAAUAAAAUAGCACAUAAAUAUAAAUAAUUGAAAAAUAAAUGUGAUAAUGAAAUAACAUAUAUAUGUUAUGCAAAUUAUUUUUAAUAUUAAGUUGUUAUUAUCAGUACGACAGAUUUUUUUUAAUACUUAAAUCCAUUAAUCUAAAAAUUAAUUUUAAAAUUUAUGCUAAUAUACACAUAAUAUUAAAAAAAUAAAAUAGGAAAUAUUGUAAACAAAAUACAUAAUAUAAAUAUUGUAAUUUUUUUAAAAUUUGAAUACAUUUAUUUUAAUAAUAUUAAUCUAUGAAACAAAUACAAAUAUUCUUGGAUUAUUAAUAUUAAAAUAAAUGCAUCUAAAAUUGAAAAUAAAUUAUAAAAUUUAUUUAUAAUAUUAAACAAUAUGAUGGAUCAUUAUUAAAAUUAUUUUAAUAAUAUGUUUUAAUAUUAUAUAUAUUCAUUAUAGAGUUUUAUUUAAAGCUAAUUUUUGGGUUAUUGUUAUUAAAGGGUAUAUUUGUAAAAAAUAGAUUUAAGUGAUGGUCUAGAAAACCGAGAGAAUUUAUGUUAUUAUUUACGAAAACCUUAAGGGUGUGAGUGACUUUUUUUCAUUAGUUAAAUAAUUAAUAUCUUGCAUUAUUUUGAGUAGAUAAUAGUAGGGGUGGGUCGCAUGCCCGAGCCAAUUGGCUCCUUGUGUAUUAUAUAAUUCAACAAUUGGUUUUUGUUGAGAUAUUACUAGCAGCGCGUCGCGGCUUCCAACCAAGAUUGGAAAAGAGAUCUUGGUUACCUUCAAGAUGAGAUUAACAAACGAGAGGAAUUAAUAAAUUUGUGAUAUGUGAAUUGAUAAUUUUUAGUUAUUUUAUUUCCACAUCUAAAGGAAAAAAAAAGGUGAAUUAAAUUGUCGAUGAAAUCAUCAUCCAUUCAUUAUGUAUCGCAUUAGUCAAUUUGGACCUACGUUUUUUAAUAAGUCAUUGGUAAUAUAUUGGUAGAUUUGACGGGGUGCAUUGAAUCCAAUUCUACUAGUAAAAUUCAAAAGGUGCUAAAAAAAAGUGUUUAAGUCGAAUUUCAUUAAGUUCCAUUGUGAAUAACUGUAACAUAUGAAAGCAAAACAAACACCUUACACACUAUCAAUUUUGCAGGCUCUUAUCUUGGGAGCAACAGACACCACAACAAUAACACUGACAUGGGUUAUGUCUUUGCUUCUCAAUCAUCGUGAUAUUCUAAACAAGGCUCAAAAUGAACUAGAUAUUUAGGUGGGCAAAAAAAUUAAAUACUAACUAGGCAACUCAAGAGGGGGGUGAAUUGAAAUUUUAAAAUUUAAGUUAAGCAAACCACACAACAAUUUAAUCUAUUGCCUUAAUUAAAUUGAAAACAAUAAAUUCAAUCAUGCCCAAUAUUAAAAGAGUAAGGGAAGAGAAAACAAACACAAAGAUUUUUACGUGGUCCGACAAUCCCCUUCUACGUCCACGCCUCUAAGCUCACCCGCUUGAGGAUUUCACUAUCCAAGCCUCCUAAGGCUUCAAGUUUUUACAAUUGAUUUCCAAGGUGUCAAAGAACCUUUACAAUCAAGAGAUUAUCUCCCCAAUCUCUUCACCCCAAGUGUUUCUCAUACUUGUACACUCACAAUUUGAUGAGAAAUGAAAAUUACAACAAUAAAACUCUCUUUAAGAGUGGAUAUACAAAUGAUAGCUCAAUGAAGAUUUAAUCUAUGAUGAUUUUCGAAUUUGAAGCUCAAUAUAAGUUGUGUGCACUUGUUUAUGCUUGCUUAGGUUACCAAAAAUGAAUUGGAUUUGAGUUUAUAUAGUUUGAGCUCAAAAACUAGCCGUUAUUCACUUUUUAUUCAUAAUCGGCUUACCAUUUAUGGAAUCCGAUUAGCCGCUUGUAUGUUACCGUUACAGCCAAAAUUUGAAUUUCUGAACAUCCGGUAUGCCGCUUAUGAAAUCCGAAUAGCCGUUUAUGCUCCGUUUAUGCUCCAGAAGCUUACUGCCCAACAACCGGAUUACCGUUUGUCAGGAUCCGGUUAGCCGCUUUCAAUUCGGAUAGAUUCUACCCAACAUCCGGCUUACCGGUUUUUCACAUCCGGUUAGCCGCUUACUAUAGUGAACUAUUUUCCAAAAUUACAAUUUAGCCCCAAAACUUUUCAUAACUGUACUAGGGCCCAAAACGUUAUAAAUUUUGUAAAUAGGUCCAAUUUCAGAAUCUCUAAAUAAUACUUGCUAUUCCCAAAACUUUCUAAAAUUAUGAUAUGGCCCAAAAUGAUAUGAAACUUUUCAAAUAAGUCAUUUUCCAAAAUUUCAAGCAAUACUUGUUGAUUUCAAAGUUUUCAAAAUUCUUUCAAUUAAACCAUAAACUUGAAAAGCAACCAAUUUCAUAAAAUCAUUUUUCCAUUAAAUAUGAAACCUUUAUAAUGAGAAAAUAAUGAUUUAUUUAAAAAGUAUAAAAAAUAAUUUGAGCUUAAAAGAUUAAUCAUUCUUAAUUUUGUUUGUUAUCAUCAAAAUCAACAUUAUGGAAACAUAUAUGUUAACAAUCUCCCUAUUUUUUAUGAUGACAAACAUUUCAUGUAUUUAAAGAAUGAUUCCACAAAUUGCUCCCCCUAAAUGUAAUCUUCUCUUACAAUUUGCCAAUUAACUAAAUUAACAAAUUUAAAUACAUGCAUAUUUCUCCCCCUUCAUCAUCAAAAAGAAAACUUAAUUGGCAAAUAAAAAGAGUAGCAAAUUUGUUACCCAUGUUGUCCAAGUAGAAAUUUUGAUAGAAUUUCCCCCUAACAACAAGCAUCACCUCAAAUACAAGUUUAGUAAUAUUACUCCCAAAUUAUUAUAAAUCAUGAUACAAGCCAACUCCAUACACAAAUCAUCACACAAAAAUAUCAUGAACCAUUAUUCCAUCAAUUACCAAGUCAACAACUCAUAACAUAAAUUUAUCAUAUAAAACACCCAUGUAAUCAAAUCAUCAUCAUAUCUCAAAAUCAUCAAGUCCUCACCAUAAUCACAUAUCAAUUAUCAAAACAAUUACUCAAAAUGCAUAUUAUUCUCCUCCUUUUGACAACAUCGAAAUGAUAUAUUACUUUGUCUCCCCCUUUGGACAACAAAAAAGUUCAAAAUGCAUAUUAUCCAAAAGCAUAUUAUAUGCUCCCCCUAAAUAUAUGGCCAAUUUAAAAUUUUAACCGAAAUGAUUUUCUCCAAAAACAUAUCAUAUUUAUCUCCCCCUUCAUCAUAAAAAGGAAAGAUAGAUGCACUCGAAACAAUAUCAUUAAAAAUAAUUCGAUGAAGAUAUUACCCAUUUUGUGGGAGCAAAAUUUUUGACAGAGUUUUCCCUUAAAAAUGAGCAAAUCCCUAAAUAAAAAAUGGUUAAAAACACUUCCAUAUAAGCUUAAACAAUUAUAACAAAUCAACAACUCCAUCAAUUCAUCAAGUAAUGCACAUAUAAUCAUCAAUCAUCAAAAUCAAACAAAUCUAUCAUGAUGAGUUGACAAGCUAUCAUCAUAAAUAUAUAACCAUGCAUCAUGAUAAAGCACUCAAUGUUAAACACAAUGAUAAUUCAAUCAUGUAAACAUACAAGUAUACUUUCACAAAUUCAAGCUAUUAUCCAUUUAUCAUGAUCCACUCAACAUAAUAAAUAGGCAAGAUAAACUUAUCCACUUCAUGUUAAUGCACUUAAUGUUAUGAUACCAAAUGAAAUGUUAAAUAUUUACUAAGAUUAAAAGACCAUCACUUAUAAUCAAUAAAGCAAUAAUAGUUACCAAAACAAUUAAAUCAUCUUGCUUCAUUAUUUUUGCUUAGACCAUGAUCAAGUGAUUAUCCUCAUAAGCUUCAUCAAGGAACUCUCCACCAUUCAUUGUUUGUGGUACCUACAAAACAAAUAUUCAAGUUGUGUGCUUUGGUACCCAAAUACUCUUGGGUCCUUGAACGUUAGAUUUAGUUCCUUUUGGGACCCAAAUACAUUUGACUCCAUAAUAUACAUUUCUCUUAACUGGACAUCUAAAACUCAUAUGACCAUUUCCAUUACAAUAAUGACAAACAAUCUUAUGAUCACUUGUGGAGGUAGCCUUAACAAAAUAAUUCUUAUAAUAUUUUUGUUUCAAGUAAGGCUUAUACCCAAGUCCUCCUUUAUCAAACACACAUUUUUGAGUGCUUAGUAAUUUUUCUAAGUUCUUUUGACCAUUUGUGAAUUUUAACACAAUUUCAUUGAGCUCAUUACUCUUUUUCUUAAGCAAAUCAUUUUCUUUCAUCAAUUUAUUAACAUGUGAUUUUUCAUGCUCAUACGAAAUAUUUUGUUUAACUUUAAAUGAUGCAAUUCUAUCAUGCAACAUUUUAUUAUCUAACUCUAGUCCUUUAAUCUUUUCAUUUAAUGAAUCAUUACAUUUUUGUAAAGUAUCCUUUUCAUUUUUCAAGUUAUCUACAUGUGAUUCUAGAUGCUUGUGUGAAGUGCUAAAUUUCUCAUUUGAUAAUGCAACUUCAUCAUGCAAUGUUUUAUUCUCUAAUUCUAAUUCCUUUAUCUUCUCAUUCAAUAAAUCAAUGCAUUUUUGCAUGGUAUCCUUUUCUUCUUAAGGCAUGCAUUCUUUUUACCAAGUUUCAUCCACUCACCAUGCAAUUCUUUAAAAGCGUCAUGUAAUUCAUCAUGAGUAUGAAGAUCAUUUACCUUAUCAAGUUCAUCAUCCGAUUCAUCUCCAAUUGGCAUAAGUGCCAAAUUCGACACUUUAUGAAAUUCCUCGCCGUUUGUAGUCUCCUCAUACACAAUUUCAAGUUUUCUCCAAAUUUCAUAAGCAUUAGAACAAUUUAAAACUCUAUAAAAUUCCUUUUUAUCUAAAGCACAAAAUAAAGCAUUCAUAGCCUUGGAAUUUAAAGACAUGUUUUUCUUAUCCAACUCACUUAACACAUUCUUCCUAGGAAUGAAUGAACCAUCACAAACUAUUUCUCAUAUUUCAUAAUCUAAGGCUUGUAAAAACACUCUCAUCCUAGUUUUCCAAUAAGGAUAGUCAUUACCAUCAAAGAAUGGAGGUCUAAUAGUGGAUUUGCCUUCCAUGAAAGUUGAACUAAUUUGGGUUGCUAUUAAUCUUUAACUCUAGACGGUUAAGUCUACACAAGAGCGCAUUGCUCUGAUACCAAAUGAAAUACUAACUAGGCAACUCAAGAGGGGGGGUGAAUUGAGAUUUUAAAAUUUAAGCUAAGCAAACCACACAACAAUUUAAUCUAUUGCCUUAAUCAAAUUGAAAACAAUAAAUUCAAUCAUGCACAAUAUUAAAAGAGUAAGGGAAGGGAAAACAAACACAAGGAUUUUUACGUGGUCCGGCAAUCCCCGCUUACGUCCACGCCUUGAAGCUCACCCGCUUGAGGAUUUCACUAUCCAAGCCUCCUAAGGCUUCAAGUUUUUACAAUUGACUUCCAAGGUGUCAAUGAACCUUUACAAUCAAGAGAUUAUCUCCCCAAUCUCUUCACCCCAAGUGUUUCUCACACUUGUACACUCACAAUUUGAUGAGAAAUGAAAAUUACAACAAUGAAAUAUUGAGUGUUAGAAAAUGCAUAUUUAUAAAGGAGAAAACUGUCAUUUUACGUUUCAAGUCUUACUAACAACCCUUACUUUUAUGUAUUUAACCUUCUUGUGAUGUAAUUACGUGUGUGUUAUUUUAAUUAAGUAUUUUAUGUAUUUUAGGGGCAUUAUAGUCAUUUCACAAUAAAGGAGAGAUCAGACGGCAAAACGGACAUCACUUUUGAACUCAGGACGGUCGAAAACCUUAGGAGGAGCAUAAAAGGAAAAAUGGCACUAUUCACAUGUACGGUACUAUUCACGUAUACGGUAUUGUCUACGUUACUGUUCACGACACUGUUCACAUAGACGGAUCGAUGACGUGGCAUUGACCGAUGAUGUGGCAUUGACUGAUGAGGUGUCACGAUCCUGUUGGACUAAAAUUCUUAUGUACUGUUGAUGGUGACGUGGCAGCAUAUCAGUUGACAAAAAAUCUCGCGUACGGUGCAUGCAUCACACAGGAUUAUUUUCAACCAAACUGCGUUACUGUUCAUCCGGGUCAAACCGUGUUACUGUUCAUCCACGUGGUCAAACCGUGGACUGUUGACUGAUGACGUGGCGCAAUCCUGAGCGUCCAAACUGUUUUUAAUCCGAUGGCCAUGAUUUACUCCAUGUAUCUAUAAAAAGGGGGCCUCCCCCCCUAAUUUGAUAUCUCUGAAUCCAUUUUUGGGAUCCAUUUUCUGUAAUUCCUUCUCCAUCUUGUAUUUUCUUCGUAUUUUAAUAAAUUUCCAUUUUGCCCCUAGUUCAAUUAUGAGUAGCUAAUUUUCUUUCAAGCUUGGGUUGAAGGUGAAGUCUCAACAUGUGUCAUGGGCUUAAUUUGGUAAAUUUAUUUUCUCUUCCCCUCUAGUUUUUGUGGAUGUUUUGACUUCUUGUCGACAAAUAAUAAUAAUCUUGUCUAGAUACCGCCUUGGUUACACCGGCUCUCUAGUAUAAGGUUAUUAUUAUUUGGCACGAUAAGCCCUUAGCACCAUAUUGAUUAGAGCGUGGUUCAUGAGGUGUGGAUUCCCCCCUCAUGAUUUAAUUGACAUUAAUACGGAUUAUUUAGCCCAUGAUGCAUGUUGAUACGGAUCCAGAUACCCAAGUACGUCAAUUUAAUCGAUUUUCUCUACAAUUUAUUCUCGCCAUUGCAAUUCCAAUUUUAGCAUAUUUUAAAUCACUUCCACCACAAUUCCAACCACCCAUUUACAAAAUUAAUUCUAUAUAGAAUUAAAAAUCCACCUCCUCGUGGGAUCGACACUCGUCACCAUUAGUCUAUACUAUAAUAGAUUCGUGCGCUUGCGAGUACAUUAAAAUUUGCACAACAAGUUUUUGGCGCCGUUGCCGGGGAGGUAAGUAAUUUUAAUUCAUAGAAUUAAUUUUUGUGAAUAAUUUCUUUUAUUUGUUUUCUUGUAUUUUUUAUAAAAAAAAAAAAAAGUGAAUCCGCAUUUUGAGGUUAGUAUUUCUUUUCUUUUUCUCUUCUUUAAAAUUCUGUAAUUUAAUUUUUAAUUUAUUUUUCUUUGUAAGUUUUGUUUAUCUUAUUAAUUUAAUUUUUAGUUAAUUUAUUUCACGUAUUUAUUUUUUGUGUAUUUUUAUAGUAAGGUUGUAAUAGCGCAAUAAGGUUAGUAUUGUAAUUUCUCCCUCUUCUUUAUUUUUAUUUGUUUUGUUCCCAUCUUUAUUUUAUUUGUUUUGCAUGCAUGGUCGUAGGUCAUUAUUACCUAAUCUUGAACCUAUAGACCUUGAACUUGAGAAAACACUUCGCACACAAAAGCACAUUAAUAAAUUUGGAAUGGAUUUACAAGCACCACAGGAGAGGCCAUUUAAGGAUUAUUUUAGUCCUUUAGCUAAUUUGAGCACAUCAUGUAUAAGAUACCCAAAUGUAGCUGCUAGGAGUUUUGAAUUAAAACCUAGUGUGCUAAAUUGUCUCCCCACAUUUUAUGGCCUAGAAAAUGAGGACCCAUAUAAUCAUCUGAAUGAUUUUCAUGCUAUUUGUCAAACUUUUAAAUACGAGAAUUUUUCAGAUGAUGAUGUAAAGCUUAGAUUAUUCUCAUUUUCUUUAAAGGAUAGAGCUCGUUCAUGGCUUAAUACAUUGCCUGCUAAUAGCAUUGCAUCAUGGGAACAAAUGGUUACAAAAUUUCUAAAUAAAUAUUUCCCAGUGCAUAAAACCAAUUCUAUUCGCAGGGAAAUUUCAGAGUUUACACAAAGAGAGGACGAGCAGUUUUUCGAAACUUGGGAGCGAUUCAAUGGACUACUCUUGAAGUGUCCACAUCAUGGGUACGAGAAAUGGCACCAAUGCCAAUACUUUUUGGAGGGAUUAUUGCCGAAUGUGCAAGAAUGGCUAAUGGCAACAAGUGGAGGAGAGCUAAUGUCAAAAAGUGCAUCAGAAAUUUGGGAGUUUUUCCAGCGACAAGCGGACAAUUCCCAACAACGGAGUCGAUCACUCAGGAAUACUAGAAGGAUUAAAGGAGUGAAUGAGGUUCACAUUGGCGAGUCAACUUCGGGAAUCAAAGAAGUCAAGGAGAUGGUUGAAGGUCUUGCUCGACAAAUAGCAUCGUUAUCGACUGCUAAAUCAACAGAAUCACAUGACCCUGACUCAUAUCCAGAUCAAGCCAAUGCCAUAGGUGUAAUGAGAAAGCCAUCUAAUUACAACCCAUACUCCAACACAUAUAACCCUGGAUGGAGAGACCACCCCAAUUUUUCAUGGUCUCAAGGAUUCCAACAAAAUGGACCAGCAGCUCCAGCUCCACCAAUGCAACAAAUUCCUCAAAAUCCUCAAGCCUCUCAGCCCCCAUUUAGACCAUUCAAUCAAAACCAGAACUAUUCUCAACUCAGACCAUGGGAGGAUGCAUUCCAGAAUUUCAGGAAUGUUACUCACUCCAUGAUUGAGCAACAGAACCGCACCAUUGAUGAACUACGAAAUGAGUUGAGAGCGGGCUUCAACUCACAAGCCCAAUCAGUUUCAAGCCUCGAGAAGAUGGUGGGACAACUCGCUUCUUCAGUUCAAACCUUGGCAAUGACUAUUGAGAAAGGCAAGUUUCCAAGUCAACCAGUGCCUAAUCCUAAAAGAGUACAUGAAGCAAGUACCAGUUCACCACAGCAGCAUGGAGAGGUCAAAGCAGUCAUAACCUUGCGAAAAGGAAAAGAAGUCGACAACAAAGUGGAGAUGCCAGUGACCAAAGAAAAUCAAAUUGUACCUGUGAAUGUUGAGGACUCACUACCGGAGGAAAAAGAAACCAACCCACGAGAAUAUGUUCCGAAAGCUCCAUUUCCUCAAAGGUUAGCUAAAGGAAAAAAAGGAAAAUCCACAGGUGAGAUUCUUGAAAUCUUCAAACAAGUAAGUGUUAACAUCCCUUUACUUGAUGCUAUUAAACAAGUUCCAUCUUAUGCCAAGUUUCUUAAAGACCUUUGUACUAAAAAGAGAAAUAUGCAUGUUCAAAAGAAGGCAUUUUUAACAGAAAACGUUAGUUCUAUACUCCAACAUAAAAUUCCUUUAAAAUGCAAAGACCCAGGCUCCCCCACUAUCUCAUGUAGUAUAGGGAACCACACAAUUGAGAAUGCUUUGUUGGAUUUAGGAGCUAGUGUAAAUCUUUUGUCUUACUCUGUAUUCGUGAAACUUGGACUGGGAGAAUUACACCCAACUCCAGUGGUGUUACAGCUUGCAGAUCGGUCCACGAAAAUACCUCGUGGUAUUGUGGAGGACGUGCUUAUCCAGGUAGACAAGUUUUAUUUUCCUGUUGAUUUCAUUGUAAUUAACACUCAACCAAUACAGGAUUCAAUGAAGCACAUCCCUAUUAUUCUAGGCCGACCUUUCUUGGCAAUUGCGGAUGCUCACAUUCAAUGCAGGACUGGAAAUAUGCAGUUGUCCUUUGACAACAUGACUAUGGAGCUAAAUAUUUUCAACAUUGCCAAACAACCUCACAGUGCUGAUGAUGGAAUUGUUGAUGUUGAUUUAAUUGAAGCAUUAGUUGAUGACACUUUUAUUUCAAACCUUAGUGAUGAUCCUUUACAGACAUGCUUAACUCACUUUGGUUUUGAUUUUGAUAUUAACAGAUCGGUCGAAGAGGUCAACGCCUUACUUGACUCAGCACCAUCCAUGGACACUAAUACAUGGAAAUCAAGAGUUGAACAACUAGCACCAUCAGAAAAGAAACUCAUCCCAUCAUCUGAAUCACCACCGAAACUCGAGCUCAAACCAUUACCCAACACUCUGGAAUAUGCAUUUUUGGGAGAAGAAAGUACUCUACCAGUAAUCAUCUCAUCAUCCUUAAAUGACGAACAAAAAGGUAAGUUGUUGGAUGUUUUAAAAGAGCAUAAAGGAGCAUUAGGAUGGACUAUAGCGGACAUAAAAGGUAUUAACCCAGUAGACUGCAUGCAUUACAUUCACCUUGAUGAAAAUGCUAAAUCUACUAGGGAAAUGCAACGUCGGUUAAAUCCUAAUAUGAAAGAAGUUGUUAGAACUGAAGUCCUUAAGCUAUUAGAUGCAGGUAUCAUUUAUCCAAUUUCUGAUAGUUCAUGGGUCAGUCCUGUACAAGUUGUCCCUAAAAAGUCAGGAGUCACAGUAGUUACGAAUGCUGAUAAUGAAUUGAUACCCACUAGAGUGACUACAGGAUGGCGUGUAUGCAUUGAUUAUAGAAAGUUGAAUUCUGUCACACGUAAACAUCAUUUUCCUUUACCAUUUAUCGAUCAAAUGCUUGAUAGAUUAGCAGGCCAUGAAUUUUAUUGCUUUCUAGAUGGCUACUCAGGAUAUAAUCAGAUUCCCAUAGCACCAAAAGAUCAGAAGAAAACUACUUUCACUUGCCCUUUUGGCACAUUUGCAUAUAAGAGAAUGCCAUUUGGAUUAUGUAAUGCACCUGCUACAUUUCAACGAUGCAUGUUGAGCAUUUUUUCUGAUAUGGUUGAACGAUUCCUUGAAGUCUUUAUGGAUGAUUUUUCUGUCUUUGGUGACUCGUUUGAUCAAUGUUUACAUCAUCUAACACUAGUUCUGCAGAGAUGUACCGAGAAGAACUUAAUCUUGAAUUGGGAGAAGUGCCAUUUUAUGGUAAAACAAGGUAUUGUUCUCGGUCACAUCAUUUCGAGCAAAGGUAUUGAGGUUGACAAAGCCAAGGUGGAUCUCAUUUCUAAUCUUCCUCCACCUAAAACAGUCAGAGAAGUAAGAUCUUUCCUUGGGCAUGCUGGUUUCUAUAGACGUUUCAUUAAAGAUUUUAGCAAAGUUUCUAGACCCUUAUGCAAUUUACUUGCUAAGGAUGUACCUUUUAUCUUUAAUGAUUCAUGUCUUAUGGCUUUUGAAAAAUUAAAGCAAUUGUUGACAUCAUCACCCAUCAUUCAGGCCCCAAACUGGAACUUACCAUUUGAGCUCAUGUGUGAUGCAUCUGAUUAUGCAGUAGGAGCAGUAUUAGGACAAAGAGUUGAUCGAAUUCCCCACGUUAUUUACUAUGCUAGUAUGACAUUGAAUGAUGCACAGUUGAAUUAUUCAACUACUGAAAAAGAAAUGCUAGCAGUAGUGUUUGCAUUAGAGAAAUUUCGAUCUUAUCUCAUUGGUUGUAAAAUAAUUAUAUUCACAGAUCAUGAUGCUCUUAAAUAUCUUCUCACAAAGAAAGAUGCAAAAGCUAGACUAAUUCGUUGGGUGUUACUUUUGUAGGAAUUCGACUUGGAAUUCAAGGAUAAGAAAGGCACAGAAAAUGUUGUGGCGGACCACCUCUCUCGUCUCCAUUUUGACACAAUUACAGAGCCAUUAAUAUUAAAUGAGUCAUUUCCAGAUGAACAAUUAAUGAGUGUGGAAGUAUUACCUUGGUAUGCUGAUAUAGUUAAUUAUCUUGUUACAGGUAAGCUUCCAGAGCAUUGGACCAAGCAAGACAAGGCUAAAUUUUUUGCGGAAAUAAAGAAUUUAUUUUGGGAUGACCCAUAUUUGUUCAAGUAUUGUGCAGACCAAUUUGUUAGACGAUGUGUCCCUGAAAAUGAAAUUCAGAAUAUUCUUUCAUUCUGCCAUGCACAAGCUUGUGGAGGCCACUUCAGUGCUAAGAAAACCGCGACUAAAGUUUUACAAUGUGGUUUUUAUUGGCCAACUAUAUUUCGAGAUGCUUACACUUUCUGUUCUUCAUGUGAUAGGUGUCAAUGAAUGGGGAGCAUUACACGAAGGAACAUGAUGCCACUAAAUCCAAUUUUAGUGGUUGAGAUUUUUGACGUAUGGGGUAUUGACUUCAUGGGACCCUUUCCCCCUUCUUUUGGCCAUCAAUACAUAUUGGUUGGUGUUGACUACGUAUCGAAAUGGGUGGAAGCAAUUCCAUGCAGAACCAAUGAUCACAAAGUGGUGAUAGGAUUUUUGAAAAGCAACAUUGUUUCACGCUUUGGAUUCCCUCGAGCGAUAAUCAGUGAUGGUGGUGCCCACUUUGGUAACAAAGCAUUCAAGGCUCUUUUGACAAAGUAUUCAAUCACACACAAAGUGGCGACCCCUUAUCAUCUGCAAACCAGUGGUCAAGUUGAGAUCUCUAAUCGAGAAAUAAAGCACAUAUUAGAAAAAACAAUGAGGCCAGACAGAAAAGAUUGGUCAUUAAGACUUGAUGAUGCAUUAUGGGCAUAUAGAACGGCUUUCAAGACCCCGAUUGAGAUGUCACCCUACAGGCUAGUGUAUGGAAAAGCUUGCCACCUACCUGUGGAACUCGAGCAUAGUGCAUAUUGGGCUAUCAAGAAAUUCAACUUUGACAUGCAGCAAGCCAGCUCAGAAAGAAGAUUACAGCUGGCAGAACUUGAAGAAAUUCGCAAUGAUGCAUACGAAAAUGCCAAAAUUUACAAGCAACGAAUGAAAGUCUUUCAUGACAAGCACAUUAUGAGAAAAUCUUUCACUCCAGGUCAGAAAGUGCUUUUAUUCAAUUCUCACUUGCACCUAUUCCCAGGUAAGUUACGCUCUCGAUGGUCUGGUCCCUUUAUUGUUCAUACUGUUUUUCCACAUGGGGCAAUUGAAAUUAAAGACCCAAAGAACGGUGUCACGUUUAAAGUUAAUGGUCAAAGAUUAAAGCCAUAUCUAGAGUACCAACCACAUGGAAAAGACACCGAAAUAAAUUUGAGUGACCCACCAGAUUUGAAUUGAUUUUUUUUUCUUUUCGUUGAUUUGAUUUUGUUUUCUUUCUUUAUAUUAUUCUUCUGCUAAUUGAAAUUAUUUUUGCAUAAGUGUGUUUGUUUAACUAUUAAGUUUUCUCUUAUCAUUUUUAAUCAUGAGUACCUUGCUUAGACCGUUCCUCCUGAACAUUCUUAAACCACUUCAACGUGUCAAAACUCAUCUCAAAAGGCAGAUUCAAUUUUGUAAAACACAUCGCAUUUGGGCUCUACAACCACCAGAGUUAGUAGCCUAUGUUGAGAAUCUAGAAAGCCAACUCCGAGAUAUUGAGAAAAGUGUUUACGACAUCCAGUUGGAGCUUGAGGUAAAUUCAAUAAGAGGACGAUUUUAAUUUUCUUUGUGUGUUUUGAUUUGUUUUUCUGUUUGUGUGCUUUAGUUUGUUACCCCGGUGAAGUGGCGGAUAACGGUACUCCGUGACAAUCAAGUCGGUUACUUCGGUUUCCCAUAAUAACUGAUAUUCUGAGGCAAAUGUAUGGACAGAAACGAGAUUCUAGCGAAGCUUCACAAGCGAUUCCCUUCACUUCCUCAGAAUGCCCUCCUUACAAUCUAUAAAGCCCGGUCCGAACGCAUGCGAUUGCUCAUGAAGAAUAACAUACCUGCUGACAUCCGUUGGUUAAUCGAGGCUAAAGUACGAUCGGCAGGUGAGUUACCUCCAAAAUUUAUUGCAUUCAUGCCUGGUUGUGGUAAAGGAAAUUAUGCAAGAAAACGACGAGCUCGAAGAAUUUAUGUUGCUUGUCAUAAGUGUGCCAGAAUGAGUUGCGAUAGAAACCCAUGUUCUUUAGGAAUAGUGUCUGAUAACAGGGAAGAUAAGAUUCAAUUCAUUAGGGAUGGCUUGAAUAAGGAGUCAUUGGAUGAUAUCCUUUUGUCUCUUGAAACACAUCCCAGUGGAUCUGUGCAAGGAGCGAUUCUCCAGUUAUGGCCAUUAUUCCAGAAAGAGCAUGCACGAUAUAGUCUCGGGAAUCUGACUAUAAACGACCCUGUUUGCCAGUUUAUAAGAAAACUGGAUGGGAAGCCUAUCCUCGACCCAUAGAGGGAGUUCAAGCCGUUUCUGGACGUAAAACCAGAGGAAGAUGUGAGCCACAGUCGCAACUACGUGUAAAUAUCCUUUUACUUUACUGUUAUUUUAUUUCAUUUCACUGUUGUUUUAUUGUUUACAUUAUUUUCUUUAAUAAUUUUAUUACUGUUUGCUUUUUUCUUUUUACUGUUUUCUUUUUGACUCGCGAGCCAUGUGCUUCACGCGUUAUUUGACACUGACAUGUUACCUCAUACACAGCUGUGACCCACUGUCACCAAGACUCUUAAAUGUGAUUUCUUUUGUCAAACACUCACAAAUUAUUUUUGAGAAAUAUUCCAAUGGCAGCUACUCCCAAUAGACAAUUCAAGAACAUUUGUGUGCUUUCUGGAUUUACAUAUGGCAAACAUAAAGAGUUCGUUGAGGCAGCCAUAGAUCUUGGUCGAAGCAUAGCAGUGAGAAAAUUACAUUUGGUGUAUGGAGGAGGUAACCGAGGGUUAUCAAAAAUUGUCUCAGAAGCAGCUUUUAUCAGAGGAAGUCAAGUGUUAGGCAUCAUCCCAAGAGUCCUAAAACCAUUGGGCAACUCGUCUGACUCAUCAACUGGAGAAGAGUUAGUCGUCUCAGGUAUGCAAGAAAGAAUAACUGAAAUGCUUAAUCAUGCUGAUGCUUUUAUUUUCCUUCCAGGAGAUCUUGCAACACUAGAGGCACUUAUGACACUAGCAUCUUGGGCCCAUCUGCACAUCCACCAGAAACCUAUUGGUUUGUUAAAUGUCAAUAACUUUUAUGAUGGCUUUAUCGCAUUUCUUAACCAUGCAAUAAAAAAUUAUUUCAUUCCUUCUAAUGUGAAAAAACUCUUUAUUUGUGCUCACACUGCUAAUGAGCUACUUGAUAUGUUACAAGCUUGAUAUGUUUCUAGAUUUACAUAUGGCAAACAUAAAGAGUUCGUUGAGGCAGCCAUAGAUCUUGGUCGAAGCAUAGCAGUGAGAAAAUUACAUUUGGUGUAUGGAGGAGGUAACCGAGGGUUAUCAAAAAUUGUCUCAGAAGCAGCUUUUAUCAGAGGAAGUCAAGUGUUAGGCAUCAUCCCAAGAGUCCUAAAACCAUUGGGCAGCUCGUCUGACUCAUCAACUGGAGAAGAGUUAGUCGUCUCAGGUAUGCAAGAAAGAAUAACUGAAAUGCUUAAUCAUGCUGAUGCUUUUAUUUUCCUUCCAGGAGAUCUUGCAACACUAGAGGCACUUAUGACACUAGCAUCUUGGGCCCAUCUGCACAUCCACCAGAAACCUAUCGGUUUGUUAAAUGUCAAUAACUUUUAUGAUGGCUUUAUCGCAUUUCUUAACCAUGCAAUAAAAAAUUAUUUCAUUCCUUCUAAUGUGAAAAAACUCUUUAUUUGUGCUCACACUACUAAUGAGCUACUUGAUAUGUUACAAGCUUAUAAACCGGAGCCAGACCCAUGGACCUUUGUGUUAGAGCGACCAAAUAAUGAUGGUAACAGUAGCCGCAGUAAGAAGUACAAAUUAGAUUUAACUCUCCGCCUGUAAAUAUUUUCUUCUGUGUUGCACCACCCAGGUGAUGUCUUCUAAACUCUACUUCUUUCCUUUAAACAUUGAGGACAAUGUUUCGUUCUGGUUGGGGGGAGGGAUUAGUCGACAAUUGUGGAAUCUUGGUUAAGUUUUUACUGAUUUUUUGUUGUAGAAACUAACUGUUGCUAAUGUUUUGUGUUGAAGAUGGCUGAAUAUGGAGUGUAGUUACUCUAGAAACGCAUCUUCAUCGUUUAAAAAAAAAAAAAAACAUGUUUUCUUCCUCUUUCUCCUUUAUAAAUAUAUUUUUUCAAAUUUUUGAGUCGAAGAUGGCUGAAUAUGGAGUAUAUUGCCUCUAGAAACGCGUCUUCUUAGUUAAAAAAAAACAAAAAUUGUGUUUUUUGUUUUAACAUUGGAUGACAUGAUUAAUUUCAAAUUUUAGUAUUUGUAUUAUCUUUGGUCUUAAGUGAUGUUACGCUAUGUUUGCUACUUUACAUGUUGAUGUCGGAGACAAAUAUGAGUUGCUUGAAGGAAUGAACAUGUCAUAAAUAAGUGCCAAGUGAGUUGUUGAGCCUAUCAUUUUCUUAGAGAGUAACCCUUUAGCCCAUUCUCUAUACAGCUUAGCAGUUUAUUAUUUUAUACACAAUCUCUAGAUUUCUUUUGAGUUAACCCUUUAAAAAAAAUAGUAAAAUUAAAAAAAAGAAAAAAAGAAAAAAAUGUGUGUUGCUACAUUGGGAGGCCCAUCAACUAGUAGAUAUGGAUAAUUAUUUAGAGCCCUAAAAGACGAUGGAAAGGCCAUCUUUGAUCCGUUUGAGCCUUUCUAGCCAUCCCUGUUAUUAAAUAUCCAUAGUUACCCCUUUUGAGCCUUUAAAAAAAAAUAAAAUAAAAUAAAAAAACAUUUUCUUUGUCAACUUAUCAUCUUGACCCACUCUGAUUUGGAGUAUUACCCGAUGUCUUAUAAGUUCCAUCACCAAUUUAUGUUUGAGAAAAUGUAAAUAAUUAUGUUAUUCAGUGAAGUUAUGCCAAAUAAAAGCAAAAAAAAAAAAACAAAAAAACAAAAGUUGUUGUUUCAAAAUAAUAAAAUAACAAUAAUAGGUGAAAUCCACCUUGCAACUUCAAAAAAAAAAAAAAAUAUUUCUGCAUUUUUCUCAAACAUACACUUUGUUUUCCUUAUUUCCUUUCUUUGUUAGCCAUAUCCCUAGCCUACGUUACGUCCUAAUAAAAGUCCUUCUUGAUUUUAGGGAACUAUAGUUUGAAGUAGAAGCUAGUUAUAUGGGCUAAAAAGAUGUAGUGGUGCAUAUAAAAAAAUAAAUAAAUAAAUUGGGUUGACUAACGUUUUUUUUUAUUUGACUUGAGAUCGUAUUAUUUCUAAGCUGAGGGCAUAUUUAUUUCAUCUUGGUGAGAGCAUGUGAUAUCACUUUUUCAUUAUUUUCUCUCAAUUACGAUUCAUUGGAGUGACUAUUUUUUGGGUUUAAUUUCUUUGUGAGAGUGUCACUACUUCCAGUGAGAUUUUGGGGUUUGACAUGUCAUUCUUGAAAGUAACUAUAACAAAGUCUACUGGGCCGAUUCAUGUGGAUGGUUGAUGUGGGUGUGAUAUUGCUUUAGACUGGAGAUAAUGCUUAUAUUUUUAUUUAAUUGUUAUCAUUAAUCUGAUUGAAUAAACACGAGUGUUUCUAAAAAAUAUAUAUAUAUAUAUUUUGAAUUUGAAUUUUGUUUUCGCUUUAUUUGCUAGGGACUAGCAAUAAGCUGGUUGGGGGGUGUGUUGAGUGUUAGAAAAUGUAUAUUUAUAAAGGAGAAAACUGUCAUUUUACGUUUCAAGUCUUACUAACAACCCUUACUUUUAUGUAUUUAACCUUCUUGUGAUGUAAUUACGUGUGUGUUAUUUUAAUUAAGUAUUUUAUGUAUUUUAGGGGCAUUAUAGUCAUUUCACAAUAAAGGAGAGAUCAGACGGCAAAACGGACAUCACUUUUGAACUCAGGACGGUCGAAAACCUUAGGAAGAGCAUAAAAGGAAAAAUGGCACUAUUCACAUGUACGGUACUAUUCACGUAUACGGUAUUGUCUACGUUACUGUUCACGACACUGUUCACAUAGACGGAUCGAUGACGUGGCAUUGACCGAUGAUGUGGCAUUGACUAAUGAGGUGUCACGAUCCUGUUGGACUAAAAUUCUUAUGUACUGUUGAUGGUGACGUGGCAGCAUAUCAGUGGACGAAAAAUCUCGCGUACGGUGCAUGCAUCACACAGGAUUAUUUUCAACCAAACCGCGUUACUGUUUAUCCGGAUCAAACCGUGUUACUGUUCAUCCACGUGGUCAAACCGUUGACUGUUGACUGAUGACGUGGUGCAAUCCUAAGCGUCCAAACUGUUUUUAAUCCGAUGGCCAUGAUUUACUCCAUGUAUCUAUAAAAAGGGGGCUUCCCCCCCUAAUUUGAUAUCUCUGAAUCCAUUUUUGGGAUCCAUUUUCUAUAAUUCCUUCUCCAUCUUGUAUUUUCUUCGUAUUUUAAUAAAUUUCCAUUUUGCCCCUAGUUCAAUUAUGAGUAGCUAAUUUUCUUUCAAGCUUGGGUUGAAGGUGAAGUCUCAACAUGUGUCAUGGGCUUAAUUUGGUAAAUUUAUUUUCUCUUCCCCUCUAGUUUUUGUGGAUGUUUUGACUUCUCGUCGAUAAAUAAUAAUAAUCUUGUCUAGAUACCGCCUUGGUUACACCGGCUCUCUAGUAUAAGGUUAUUAUUAUUUGGCACGAUAAGCCCUUAGCACCAUAUUGAUUAGAGCGUGAUUCAUGAGGUGUGGAUUCCCCCCUCAUGAUUUAAUUGACAUUAAUACGGAUUAUUUAGCCCAUGAUGCAUGUUGAUACGGAUCCAGAUACCAAAGUACGUCAAUUUAAUCGAUUUUCUCUACAAUUUAUUCUCGCCAUUGCAAUUCCAAUUUUAGCAUAUUUUAAAUCACUUCCACCACAAUUCCAACCACCCAUUUACAAAAUUAAUUCUAUAUAGAAUUAAAAAUCCACCUCCUCGUGGGAUCGACACUCGUCACCAUUAGUCUAUACUACAAUAGAUUCGUGCGCUUGCGAGUACAUUAAAAUUUGCACAACAUGAAACUCUCUUUAAGAGUGGAUAUACAAAUGAUAGCUCAAUGAAGAUUUAAUCUAUGAUGAUUUUUGAAUUUAAAGCUCAAUAUAAGUUGUGUGCACUUGUUUAUGCUUGCUUAGGUUACCAAAAAUGAAUUGGAUUUGAGUUUAUAUAGUUUAAGCUCAAAAACUAGCCGUUAUUCACUUUUUGUUCAUAACCGGCUUACCGUUUAUGGAAUCCGGUUAGCCGCUUGUAUGUUACCGUUACAGCCAAAAUUUAAAUUUCUGAACAUCCGGUAUACCGCUUAUGAAAUCCGGAUAGCCGUUUAUACUCCAGAAGCUUACUGCCCAACAACCGGAUUACCGUUUGUCAGGAUCCGGUUAGCCGCUUUCAAUUCGGAUAGAUUCUGCCCAACAUCCGGCUUACCGAUUUUUCACAUCCGGUUAGCCACUUGCUACAGUGACUGCUACAGUGAACUAUUUUUUAAAAUUACAGUUUAGCCCCAAAACUUUCCAUAACUGUACUAGGCUCAAAACGUUAUAAAUUUUGCAAAUAGGUCCAAUUUCAGAAUCUCUAAAUAAUACUUGCUAGUCCCAAAACUUUUUAAAAUUAUGAUAUGGCCCAAAAUGAUAUGAAAAUUUUUAAAUAAGUCCUUUUCCAAAAUUUCAAGCAAUACUUGUUGAUUUCAAAGUUUUCAAAAUUCUUUCAAUUAAACCAUAAACUUGAAAAGCAACCAAUUUCAUAAAAUCAUUUUUCCAUUAAAUAUGAAACCUUUAUAAUGAGAAAAUAAUGAUUUAUUUAAAAAGUAUAAAAAAUAAUUUGAGCUUAAAAGAUUAAUCAUUCUUAAUUUUAUUUGUUAUCAUCAAAAUCAACAUUAUGGAAACAUAUAUGUUAACAAAAAAGGCAAGUGGAUGAAGAAGAUAUAAAAAAUUUAGUUCACUUGCAAGCCAUUCUCAAAGAAGCAUUCCGUUUGUAUCCUGCUGUGCCAUUCUUAGUUCCUCAUGAGUCUAUGGAAGAGUGCACAAUUAAUGGUUACCAUGUCCCUGCCCGCACACAACUUUUUAUCAAUGCUUGGAAAAUUCAACGUGAUCCAAGUGUUUGGGAAGAGCCAUCUAAGUUUCAACCAGAAAGAUUUUUGACAAGGCACAAGGAUAUUUAUGUUAAGGGACAAAAUUUUGAAUUGUUACCUUUUAGUAGUGGCAGAAGAAUGUGUCCUAGAGUGUCAUUUUCCCUCCAAGUUAUGCAAUUUACACUUGCUUCUCUACUUCAGGGAUUUGAUUUUGCAACCCGAUCUAAUGAACCGGUGGACAUGGGUGAAGGAUUGGGGUUGACCAUGGAGAAAUCUCAAUCAUUUGAAGUACUUGUUACUCCAUGUCUUUCUGCUGCCUUCUACGACUAAAUUGAUUAUAUAUAUAUAGAUUGACCAAUAAAUAAGUGACAAGUGUGUGGUGUCACAUGUAGUGAGUUGUAAAGUCAAUUCCUUAAAGAUAAGGAUGUACUGUGUGAUAUAAUGUAAAUAAGUUAUGAGUCAUAAAGUAGAUUCCCUAGAGAUAAGAUGUAAUGAUGUAAAUAAUAAAAAAAGAUUCCCUUAGUGCCUAUAAAAGGGACUCCCUGGGAGUGUGUUGGAUCAUUGAAAUCUUAUAAUAUAGAGUUAUAGUAAGAAUACUUGGGUGAAACCUUGUAUUCUCUCUUCCAGUAAUAAAACCAUCCUUUGUAUUUUCUGUCUUUAUAACUUGGUAUCAGAGCCAGUACUCCCAAAAGGAGUUUUCUAAGCCCUUCUAUAAUAAAGUAUGCUCUGUGGUCGCCGUUGAAAUGAAUCUUCCACAACAGAAACAUUAUAGAAGACUAGAAAGCAUGUGUUCCCAAAACUAGGUUAUUUGAUCAAGAGCUACAUAGAAAAGAUUUCUUUGAAAAGGCGUGGCACCUUAUUUUUAGUAAGUGACAAGAGUGUUGUGUCACAUGUAGUGAGUUGUAAAGUAGAUUCCUUAGAGAUAAGGAUGUACUAUGUGAUGUAAUGUAAAGAAGUGACAAAAGUAUGGUGUCACAUGUAAUGAGUUGUAAAGUAGAUUCCUUACAGAUAAGGAUGUACUGUAUGAUGUAAUGUAAAGAAAUGAUGAGUCAUAAAGUAGAUUCCCUAUAGAUAAGUUGUAAUUAUGUAAAUAGUAAAAGGAGAUUCUGUCAGUGCCUAUAAAAGGGACUCCCUAGGAGUGUGUUGGAUCAUCGAGUCCUGGAGUCUUGUAAUAUAGAGUUGUAGUAAUAAAACCUUUGAUAAGGCAUGAUCCAUCCUUCUUUAUAUGGGAGUGAAACAAAAUAAUUUUCUCUAGAUCAGAACUUGUUUGGAAUAUCUGCACAGCACUGUAAAAGUUCUUUGUGCUGGAUUUCAAAUUUCUAGAAUUGAGAUUUUUGGAUUUACCUCUUAUCACCCCUCCAAAAAAUGGACUGUUGCUCAACCCAUGGAAUCAUGAAGAAAUGGACUUUUGAUCAACAGGAUUGGUAAUUGUAUAACCAAAACCUUCUGGAUGGAAAGUGAAUGAGGCAAUAAGACUCAAGAAAUCUGUUCUAAGUAGUAGAUCUUCUCCUGAAGAGUUAUAAGUGAAGAAACUAAUCACCACUUGUUGCUGCAAAGCUAACUUGUAUCAGUACAUGGUACCUUUUGGGUAGAUAAUUUCCACAGAUGAUUGAAGAAACAGCUCCAGUAUCAAUUAAGGUAGUGAAAGCAAUCUGUUUAUUAUCUGAUAACUAGAGGAUGACUUUGACAUAGGGUUUGAAUGCUGAUGUUGACUGCAUUUUUAGAUCAAUAGGCUAUUCUUUAGAAAUAUUUAGAACUUGUUCAUCAUUUGAAGAUUCUUCUGGCUCGUUUGACUCGCUGGAUGUAUCAGACUUUUGAGACUGUGAGUCAAUUGCGAGUAAUGCCUGUUUAGGAUUGUCAGACUAUUCAUAGUACUCAUCAUCAAACUCUGGAUCUUCAAUGAGUUGAAGUAGCUUGGUCAAACUCCUCUUCUUGGGUUUGCAUUAUUUUGCAAUAAUGUCCUUUCUUGCCACAAAUGAAACAUCUGCAUGACCUUUUCUAGAACUUUUUUCUUUUGACAAAGCGGAGCUUCUUGCUUUUGUAUGGUCUCCAGGGUUUUGUUUUCUUGCUGUGAAACUUCUUCGAACAAUAACAUGAGCUGCUUGUUUCAUGGCAACUAAAUUUGUUGCGUUUGUCAUUGCAGUAUUUGGACAAAGAGGAUUUCUUUAUCUGCUUCAUGUACUUCCUUAAUUCUUGAUUCCUGCAAUGAUUCUGGAUCGACAACAUAGUAUUGUCAUUGCAGUAUUUGGACAAAGAGGAUUUCUCUAUCUGCUUCAUGUGCUUUCUUAGUUAUUGAUUUCUCUAUCUGUGGGCUUUUGGAAGAUAUAGUAAAGUCGUUGCUGCUCCAUGUAGUAUUCUUUAAGCUUUUAAACAUCACAGCAAUUGUUCUAGAGGAAUUGUUUUUCUUGGCAACUGUGUUUUUCUUGGUCCGGAUCUAAAGAAAUCUGUUGUAAAAGUUUCUAAAACAACAGCACAAGGGUCUGGUCGGGAUAACAUACAUUCUCGUUGGAUUGGUGUCAAGAUGUUACUCCACUAUAACCUAAGCGAUCCAGUAAAGCCUGCUACUAAUCUAUGCAUAGUUGCUCUUCUGGUUAGCUGUGGUGUCUUUGGCAUUCUCCUUCAUACCAUGCUAUCAUUUGUUCAAUGUAAGGAAUUUUGUCUUGUAGUUUGAUAUUAUAAAUAUUCCAAAUGACUUUUCCUUGAGGAGAAUGUGAAAUCUGGACUCGUGUUUCCUAUUCUUAGCAUUGUUCUUCUUCUUCACCCAUUUGUUCUUGUUGAUGUUCUUACCGAGAUUGUUGUGGCUGUCUUUUUGGAGGAUCUGAAGAUGUUACUCCUGAGUGUUGGCCUGUCUCGAAGGUAAAUGGUACUGUGAACCUUGUCCUUGUGUCAACAUAUCUUGGAUUGGCAGGAUAUUGAGGUCUUCCUUCCAUUAUUAUUGGUCUUCUAAAAGAGCAAAAUGAAUCUACAGUUGGAUUGGAUUCAGAUGAACUUUCUGAAUCUUCCUAACUUGUAACUAUAACCGGCCAUGGUUGUGCUGGUGGCAUCUCAUAGCUUCUUUAGAAUGCUUUGGUGUUGUUGCCAAUGGAGCUUUCUUCCAAUAUAUAAGCUGGUUUGGAAGGCUUGUCAUUUUUCCAGGAAGUUUUCUUUUGUUUUCUUUUAUAGUAGUCCUGGUAGCAUUACACGGCUCUCCUUAUUUCUUCUUCACUAUCGGCUCAUGUCUGAGCAAACAUUGUUAUUCUUCUGGGUUUUUCAUGCCAUUCUGACAGCUGUCUGUUUGUGAAUCUUUGGGCUUUUUCGAGUUUUCUUGAUUUGUUUCUGCAGUUUCUGUAUCCGGUUUCAUGGUUAAUCCAUUUAUCUAGACUAACACUUUUAUGGUUUGAGGAAGGGUUGGCUUGUGUAGGUCAAGGGUAAAAUUUGGUUCCACCUGCUCAACUACAUGUCCUUGGUUGAGUCCCACCUCAACUGCUGAGAUUAAAGCCUUUCCAAAAGUUUGCCAUCUUGGAUCAAGAAUGGCGAGAAAGCAAGUGACAUUUUUGCCUGCAAGAAAUAAAGGCUGGAUUCUAAGUCUGAUUGCACCAAGAUGCAAUCCUCUAUAUCCUUCAAUCAUAUAUUUCUUGACGUCUUGAGGAGAGAGAAUAUAAAGAUAGGUUUCUAUGGAACUAGAGGAGAUAGAUUAUACUGCAACUUCAGAAGACUUAUAUACAGACUUGAGUUUCGGCUGACGAAAAGGAACAACAUAUUUAAACAGGACAUCCAAACACUUCUGGACCUUAAGCUCAUCAGGCCCUCUAAAUCUCAUUAGGCCAGCCCAGAACAAGCAUUCGGAGCAAGUUCGUGGAAAGAAAAGAUUAGUGAUUGACUACAGGAAGCUGAAUGAUUGCCUAGAAUACAUUAGGUAUCCAAUAACUUUGCUUCCACUCAACUAGUGCUGCUUCUCUCUAUAGACGAUGCGAGGUGACACCAAUCGAACGAGAAUAUAUGUUAUCCCGAACAGACCCUUGUGCUGCUGUUUUGGAAACUCUUACAACAGAUUUCUUUGGAUCCGGACCAAGAGAAACACAGUUGGUAGAAAAACAAUUCCUCCAAAACAAAUCUAUGCGUUUGUCUUCCAACCCAAUUUAUUCUUUCAUCAUGUCAUUGAUAAAGACACAAUUUGGGGACAUUAUGUGAUUUGUGAUGCUAUGCCACGAGCAUAUUAUUCUUUCUGGCUACUCCUCAAAAUGUAUUCCAUGGCUAUUCUAGAAGAGAGAAUACAAGGUUUCACCCAAGUAAUCUUACUACAACUGAUAUAAAGACCCUAAUUUCCUCCAUAAAAUCAGUUGUUCCUUUUCGUUAGCCUAAACUCAAGUUUGUAUAUAAGUCUUCUGAAGUUAUUGUACAAUUUAUCUCCUCUAGUUCUAAAGAAACGAUCAACAAGACUGGUAAUUAUAUAACCAAAUCCUUCUAGAUGGAAAGUGAGUAGUGUUAGCCUAAAGGGCAACACAUAAUGUAAUUUUGAUGAUAACAAACAUGUGUCUUGAUUGAUUUAAUAAAUAUUGUAUUUCACAUUUUCACUAGUUUUUGAAGGAUAAUAUUUAUGCAAGUGAAAUUAAGUUGAAGACACUCAACGGAUAACGAUGAAAUCAAGAAUAAAGUUUAGAGCUCAACAAACAAAUUAUUGCAAUAAAUUCUUGUAAAGUUAGUAUGAUUUAAUUGAUGCAUGAUUUAACAUUUGAGAAGCUCAGGAGAUUAAUUUAAAUAAUUACUUUUCAUAAACUAAAAGAUUUUAUUUUUAUAAGAUAGAGUAUUUUGUGGAUUUAAGUAAUUUGGACUUAAAUGAAAAGUUUGGCAAUCUUUGAAUUUAAUAAGUAUUAUUUUGAAUUCCGAAGUUGGACUUUUUUGCAAACAUUUGAAAUAUUUUGGGCCAUAUUAUAAUUUAUAAAAGUUUGAGGACCCGAAUAUAAUUCAAACAUUUGAAAUCCAAAAUUGGACAGAGAGUGAGCAGCUAAUAGCCUGAGGCUAGCGGCUAGCCGUCUGAGGAAAGUCUCAUAUUUUCAAAUUUUGACUAAAGUGAAAGGUUUUGAGAACUUUGAAAGAUAUAGGUAUUAUGUUGAACUUUGAAAAGGACCUCUUUCAAAAGUACUACUAUAUUUGUGGCCAUAUCACAAUUUCAUAAAGGUUUGGUACGACAAGUAUUAUUUAAAAAUUCCAAAUUUGGACUUGUUUGCAAACGUUUAUGAUGAUUUGGGUCAUAGUAUAAUUAUAGAAAGUUUUAGGCCAAAGUGUAUUUUGGUGAACAGUGUUACUGUAGCAAAAUUCAAACAUAACGGUAAUAUCACUGUUACAAGUGGUUAGCCGGAUAAAUCAAACGGCUAACCGCUUGGUUGCAGGAAUUUGCUUAUAACGGCUAGUUUUUGGGUUUUAACUAUAAAAACUCAAUUCCAACUUCAUUUUAAACUCUCUAGCAAGCACAAACAAGUUUGAACAACAUAUUUUGAGCUUUUAAUUCACAAAUCAUCAUAGAUUAAAUCUUUAUUGUGCUAUUAUUUGCGUAUCCACUCUAAAAGAGAGUUCUUUGUUGUAAUCAUUAUUUUCCCAUCAAAUUUGUGAGUGUGUAAGUGUGAGAAACACUUGAGUGAAGAGAUUGGGAGACAAUUUCUUAGUUGUAAAGGUUUAUUGACACCUUGGAAGUCAAUUGUAAAGAACUUGAAGCCUUGGGAGGCUUGGAUAGUGAAAUCCUCGAGCUUGGUUUGCUUGGCGGCGUGGACGUAGGUCGGGAUUGCCGAAUCACGUAAAAAUUAUUAUGUUUGCUCUCUCUUCCCUUACUCUUUUAUUAUUGUGCAUUAUUCAACUUAUUGUUUUUAAUUUGAUUAAGGCAAUAGAUUAAAUUAUUGUGCAAAUUGUUUAACAUAAGUUUUAAAAUCUCAAUUCACCCCCCUCUUGGGUUGCAUAACUUGCAUUUCAAAUAGGGCAAUGAGACUCAAGAAAUAUGUUCCAAGUAGUAGAUCUUCUCCUGAAGAGUCAUAAGCGAAGAAACUAUUUCUUUUAGCAAAUGGUAAAAUUCAAUAGGUUUAGUGUACUUAUGAUUAUAGAAUUGAUCACCACUUGCUGCUGCAAAGCUAACUUGUGUCGGUACAUGGUAUCUUUUGGGUAGACAAUUUCCACGGAUGAUUGAAGAAACAACUCCGACCAAAUGGCAUCACGUUCCAUUCAUAGUGUCCAUAUGGCACUACAAAUGAUGUCUUAUGCCUAUCGUCAUCUUUGAUCCCAAUAUGCCAAAAUCCUAACUUCAAAUCGAACUUUGAAUAAACUUUAGGACCCAAGUAUUCUUACUACAACUAUGGGAUGAUGUGUCCAUCUUUGAUGUGAAGUCCCAAAAAAUCAAUCUUGUCAAGUCCAAUCUUCAUUUUGGAUUCAGAUAACGCCAAGCCAUGUCACCGCGCAUGGUCUACAGAGAGAAGCAUUGGGGACGAGACAAACCACCUCUAGUUCGAGUUUUAUAAAACUUUCAAAAAUCUAAAAAUCUCCAAUCCAGAAAUUUGAAAUCCAGCACAAAGAACUUCUAAUGCCCACCUGUAGUUACCAUAUCUUUGCCAGCACGCAGUUUUUUAUCAAUGCCUGUCAACUUCAACGUGAUCCACGUAUCCGGGAAGAGCAAUGUAAGGUUCAACCAGAAACAUUUUUGACAAGGCACAAGGAUAUUGAUGUUAGGGGACAACAUUUUGAAUUAUUAUCUCGUGGUGGUGGAGGAAUGUGUUCUGGAGUGUCAUUUUGCCCUCCAAGUUAUGCAAUUUACACUUGCUCCUUUACUUGAAGGCUUUGAUUUUGCAACGCCAUCUAAUAAACCGUUGGACAUGGGUGAAGGAUUAGGGUUGACUGUGGAGAAAUUUGCACCACUUGAAGUACUUCAAAAUUGACUACAACACUUCAAAAUUGAAUUUCAUUUGUUUAAAAAUUUUGAAGAUUGGGGGGUGGAAUAGGGAAGGAAGAUGGUUGAUUAUUAAAGAUUCUUUAUGAUGUAAACUAGAAAAUCGAAAGGAUCGCAUGUACCUCAUUAAAGUUAAAAUCUUAACAUAUUAAGUUCCCUUUGUAAAUAUCUUUUUAAGGUACUCAAAAGGAAAAUUUUAAGAUUUUAAAUGGUAAGAAAAUAAAACAUUGAUUUCAAUGCCCUAAAUGAGUGCUCAGAGUAAUAAUAUUAUAUAUGUGCAUAAUUAAGUGUCCUUAAAAAUAAUUUAUCGCAUGGAUAUUUUUGUAGUAAAUUUUUUUAUAAAAAUAUAAGUAUUAAGAGUAAUUUUUAGAGUACAUAUAGCCCUGCUCUUAACAGAAAUAUAUGGUAAUAUUUUAUUUUAAAAAAUAAAAAAGGAUGCUGGGAAUACAAUACCGUUUUGCAAGGACAUAAAGGGGCACACUAAUUAUUCUCCCUCAUCCCCCUUGCAACUUCUUCUAUUGGUAGUUCUAGAUGAUCAGAUUUUAAGGGGAAUGUAGAUAUAAUUCGAUUGGUUUUGAGACACAUUAUUGUAUUCAUUUAUUUAUUUUUCCUAAGCUUUGCCUAAUGAGAUUCAAACCUUUCCCACUCACGUGACGGGCUCAAUCAGGAUCUCUUGAGUCUUGAUCUAUCAAGUAUCACUAAAAGAUUUUUACUAUUUUUUUGGAUUAAAAAAAUUUAUUUAGUUGAAGGAAAAAUCCCCUACACCCUCAAAAUUUUGUUAAAUGAUUACAUAGUCCUUUUGAUUUCAAAAUGAUCGUAUAGACCUUUUUUUUCCUAUUAUAUCCUUUAAUAGUAGCCAAAAUUUUAAAAUGAAUACAAUUACAAUGCUAAUAUAAAACAAAAAAUAAAAUAGCAAAUAAAUAUAAAUAAUUACAAAAAUAAACAUAAUAAUGAAAUAAAAUAUAUAUUAAUCUAUGAAACAAACGCAAAUACUCAUGAAUUUUAUUAGUAUUAAAAUAAAUGCAUUUAAAAUAGAAAAUAAGUAAUAAAAUUUACUUAUAUAUUUUAUUUAUAAUAUUAAACAAUAGAUUAAUAUUAAAUUUUUUUUUAAUAUUAUGUUUUAAUGUUAUUAUAUUUAUUAUAGAAUUUUAUUUAAAGUCAAAUUUUGGAUUAUCAUAAUUGAAGGGUAUAUUUAUAAAAAAGAGAUUUACAUGAUCAUUUAUGAAACGAAGGGCUAUUUUUUUUUUUUUUGACUUUAUAACUUAAUUGACUUAAUUUCCAUUUAUUAAGUCAUUAAAUCUGCUUAGUUUUUCCAUUUAGUCAAAAAUUUUAGUCGCUAAGUCAUUAAGUUACUAAACCAAUUUUUGUUUUUAGCUUUUUGCUUAAUUUAAAAGUCUGAAUGAUAUCAUUAAAAUAUAUUCAAAAUAUAAUUUCCAUUUAUUAAGUCAUUAAAUCUAUUUAAUUAAUUAAUUUUCAUUCUUACCUAAAUAAAAUUUAAUAAUUAGAAUCAUUACCCAUCCCUAUAACUCGUGAAAAUAUAGUGCAUUGAUAGAAUAUUAUUUUUUAUCUUUUUAUUUUAAUCAAAUUAGCAUUCUUUAUCUUGAUUAACGUACACUAUUUAGAAUAUUAAAGGAUUGUAUUCAAUUGAACAUAAUUUAUGUUAUUAUAAAUAUUAUCUUAUUUAUGCUCUUUGAGAUAUUUAUUAUUUGUUUCACAUUUAUAAUUUAGACGGACGCAAACACAAAAAUAUUAGUUUUCAGAUUUUUAAGUUAAAAUGUAAAUAACUUAAUAUUUAUUUUUAGUGAUUCGGACAAAAGAAUAUUAUUCAAGUUCAGAAAUUUAGUUCUAUUUUGAAUUCAGACUAAUUGAGAUCUGUUCAGAUUUUAGACAAGAAAACAAAUUUUAAGAGAAUUUAUGUAACUAUUUAAGAAAACUUUGAUGGUGGGGUGGCUACUUUCAUUAAUUAAAUUGCUAAUAUCUUGCAUUGUUUUGAGUUGAUAAUAAUAGAGGUGGGUACUGUGCCCGAACCAAUUGGCUCUGUUGCGUGUUAUAUAAUUCAAUAAUAGCAGCGCGCCGUGGCUUCCAACUAAGAUUAGAAAAGAGAAAUAUCUUGGUUAUCUUUUGUAUAAUCUUUAGUAAAUAUUCAAACUUUACUAAAUAUUAAAAUAAACAUAAUAAUGUAAAAAAUCAAAAAAAAUCAAUAUUUAAAAAAUAUUUUAAUAUUUUACAAUUUAUUAAACAUAUUUUAUUAUAUUUAAAGUAAAAUUUAUAAUAAAUAGAGACAUAUUUUACUAAUUGUAAAAUUUAUUUAACCCAAAGAUUUAUUUAGAAUCUUUAUAUUAGAUACAAGUAUAUUAUUUACUUUUUCUAAAUCAAUAAAUAUAAUAAUUUACAUUUUUAAAACUACUGUAAUGUUUAAAAAAUAUUUUAUUGUUAUUAGUCCAGAAAAAUUGAAUUAUUUAUAUUGUAUUUGUAUUUAUUAAAAAAUAUUAAAGUCAAUUUCUUUGAGUUACUAUAUUUAAAAUGUUUAUGAUAAAAAAUAAUACUUAGUGUUCCUUUUUAAAAACUUAGAGAUUUACAUGACUAUUUUUUUUAAAUUGUAAGAUGUCGGUGAUCUUUUUCAAAUAAAAUGUAAUCUUCAUAUACCUAAAAAAUUACUUAAUAUAUAAGCAAGGCUUGUGAACAUAGAACUGUUAUCCAAACUAUGAUGAAUACAAAGAAUUAAUAUUUCACAACCUCAAUUAUGUUACUCUUAACUAUUCGGAUAGAUAGUGACAUGUUCAUAAUUUUCUUCACUUCAAUCACAACUGUUUCAAUAAUUAUUCUCUAACAUUUGCCAUGAUGGGUUUCUUGGAUUAACUAGUCAAAAGGCCUAGAUAUUGUCGAUGGCGCAUGAACUAAUCAGUGUAUAUUAUCAUUUGGUACGUCAGUGCUGCCUAUUUUCCAUGUUGAAAUACAAUGUUUUAGCUGUAAAUUUUGAUAAUUUAGUACGCAAGUUUACAAAUCUAUUUUGUCUUUGUGCACUUUUUAAUUGUAAUAAUAUAUACUGAUAUACACACAUAUUGCUGCCACGAUUCGCCAAAGGCAGCUGAUCCGUAGCCGAAAAAUCGAUGUAUCGAACCCCUGACCCUAACUUGAAAUUGCUGUCGUUGCCAACUGAAUCGCUGCUCUCUGUCUUUGCUUACAUCUGGCUUCACGAAUCGCUGCCGCUGCCCGCUGCCAACUGAGUUACGAUCUAGCAGCUAUUGCUGCUCUUCGCAUCUGAAUCAUGAUCUAGCAGCCAUCGCCCAUCGGUGCUCUUCAUAGGUGACUCCCAACCUCCAUACCUACCACUUGCCUCGGGUCUGCGGGGAAAAGCUCUCACACUCGAGAUUCUCUUGCCAUCAAACUCUUCGGAAAGAAAAUCGCCUUCCAUUUGGAUGGAGAGGUUUUUGGUCAUCUUUGACGAUGAAUUGCCGUCUCCGGCGGCCAAGGAAGAAUGUAGCACAGAAGCAUAAGAAGAAAAAACAGAGGAGGUAUAGUUUUUAUACAAUUACACAAACUUUUUACGGAGUGCUUUAUAUUCGAGUCUUAAGGACCACCCAUUUGUUAAAAUGCUAAAAAUAUUACGGGGUCGGUUUUACUUUUUUUUUUUUUUUUCAAUUAGCAUGGCAUGCUAAGCACUGACAGUUUGUUCUUUUAUUUCUGUUUUUUAUUUUUGACUUUCUGUGUUAAAUUGAAUUUCAUUUUUUUGUGGAUUUUUCUUUUUUGAAGUUGGAAAAGAAUGAUGGAUGAAAAGCCUGAGAUGCAACUCCUUACAUACAAGUUGCAAGACAUCCUCCCAUGAUGGGAAAGCAUGGUGUAGCAGCUGAAGGGCUCUGGCGCCUUGACACCUUCAACUGGUGCCCAAGACCUUUAAUUCAGAUCAGCCAGAUGCUAUAGAGAUGAUUUGUUGGAAUCUUGAUUAAGAACCUAGAUGGUGAUGAAUUAAAAGAAACAGAGAACAUAUCAGAAUCGAAACGAAUAAAGAAAAAACUAAGAAUUAAAGAACAGGGGAAUAACAUAUAAAAGAAACAGAGAACAGAUCAGAAUCAAAACGAAUAAAGAAAAAACUAAGAAUCAAAGAACAGGGGAAGAUAAUGUGGUUGAGCUAAUUCUCAUUAGCUUACAUCCACGGAGGAACAAAGUGACAGACCUUUCAUUGAUUGAUCAUCAAAGUAAAGUGAGUUUUCCAGAGUACAUAUAAUUGAAUAUUAACCCUUUAAUCACAGAGUCUUUAUUCCCUUUUGUACUCCUCAGUGUAGCGUCAGUUAUUUGCACCAGAACCAGCUGCAUUCAGCAGCUUGUAACAACGUAGAUGCAAUUUCCAUAAACUCACAUGUGAGGCACGUGUGAUAACGGCUUCUAACGACCUGAAUACAAGCUUCCUUCUCCACGUGCAUCUCAUGUGCUUCAUUAAACCAGAAACGGCAAUGUAUGAAGUCGUUUCAAUGAUUAUUAAAUGUACGCAUCAAAACGCUGCAGCUAUUGUCGUUUUUACUGAAAUAGUAAGAACCCAAAACGCACUAUACACAGGCCAUUUUGAAGCCAUUGAAGUUGUUUCACCAGUUACAAAACACAUGGUUUUUCUGGGGGCUCAUAUGUAAAUCCAGCAUCAAUAGAAUCCCUACUUUACCUGCUUGAGCGGGCGAAAUAAAAUAAGCUAGGAACCGUUGCUGAACAUUUACCUAACCAAAGUCAUCGAUUCCGGUACAUUUUUACUUUGCUUCAAUACUUAUCGGUUCUUUUAUUUUGUCACUCGAACCAAACCGAAAAUUUUAGUUUUCUCCCGACAUCGAACCGACCUGAACCAAUGCCCACCCGUAGUUAUUAUAUCCUUGCCAGCACACAUCUUUUUAUCAAUGCCUGUCAACUUCAACGUGAUCCACGUAUCUGGGAAGAGCAAUGUAAGGUUCAGCCAGAAACAUUUUUGACAAGGCACAAGGAUAUUGAUGUUAGGGGCCAACAUUUUGAAUUAUUAUCUCGUGGUGGUGGAGGAAUGUGUUCUGGAGUGUCAUUUUGCCCUCCAAGUUAUGCAAUUUACACUUGCUCCUUUUCUUGAAGGCUUUGAUUUUGCAACGCCAUCUAAUAAACCGUUGGUCAUGGGCGAAGGAUUACGGUUGACUGUGAAGAAAUCUGCACCACUUGAAGUACUUGUUGCUUUACUUCUUUCUGCUGCUUUUGAUAGCUAAAUGGAUUCACGAUGUAAUCAAUUUAAUAAUUUUUUUAAAAUAAGUAUUGAUGCUCUUUUGCUUGUAUACUCUUGAAUAUUAGGCCUUCUUCUGCUUUGAAUAUAAAUGUCUGAAUUAUCAUUAGACAUAAAUAUCCAUUAUUAAACAUAUUUUUAUACCAUUUUGCAAGGACACAAGGUAACAAGUACCGCCUUCAGCACUACUCAAUGUCAUCACAAGUUCAAGAAAACAAAUGAGAAGAUCAUCCAGUUUUUCUUGUUAACCUAACUGGUUUAUUUUUACAUACAAUGUGAACUAUCUUAUAUUACUUCCUAAUAGUGACUUUGCAAUGGAUGCUACUAUUGAUUUCAACGGGGAGUAAUGGGGUUUGCAGCUAUGAUAACCAAGCCCGAAUGGUUUAGUUAUGGCUGCAGGGUAUCCUAUGGUGUUUAUUCUAAUGAUGUGGGCAUUGCUGAGGCUGAGGCCUAUUAUUUUGGUGUACGGUAUUUGCUGAGGAAGUUAAUUUAUUUCCUUUGAUUUUUGAGUCAGAUUCAUUGCGUGUUGUUCAUUUCAUUAAGAGGUAGCAAAGCACUCAUAUGAAUCAAUUUUAUGGAUUAGGAUCCUCUCCUGAUCUAAUUUUCAUCUGAGCAAAUUAUUUUAAUAUGAUUGGUGGUUUAUAAAUUAAAAGGAAAAAGUAGUUAACUUCUAAUCAUCCACUAACAUUAAAAUACAAGUGGCACAAGAUCUAUAAAAGAUCAGGAGUGCUCAAAUCAGGAGAAGAUCCUGAUCCCAAUUUUAUAUCAUUUCAAAACCUCAACACGUGUUAAUACUAAAGUAAGAUUUCAAGAUUUGUAAUAUUUCAAGGAAUCGUAAUAAAACAGGAGAUGUUUUAGCUCAUUUUCAUUUUGCUGCCUGAACAUUUGGAUUGAAGACUUUCCUAACCAUUUGAAUUGUUAUCUUCGAGAUUAUAUAUAGUUAAUGUUUUCAAGAAAUACAUGAGUUAUAUAUAAUUCAGACAAAAAAAAAAGUAAAAUAAAAAGAAGUUGGGAACACAAAACCAUUUUACAAGAACAUAAAAUGGCACAUUAAUUAUUCUCACUUUUAUUCUCACUUGCAACGUGUGGCAACUCUAGAUGAUCGAUUUUAAGGUCAGGCUAUAUUACAUUGUAUGUAGAGAGAUUGUCAGUUUCUCCCAUACUUAAAUCAAUAUAUAUCACUUAUUUUUUACUAUUUUCAUAAUAAUCAAUAACUCUCCUGUCAAUAUAAUUUUAUAGUAUUACCCUUAUUUUCAUAUGCACAUUUAUUGAUAUUUAUUAUAAAUUAAAUAAAUUAUAUAAAAGAAAAUUAAAAUAAAAAACUUAAGUACUAAAAGCAAAAAAUAUAUGUUUCAAUUUGAAUAAAAAAUAAAUAAUAAGAUAUUUUUUCUUGAACUUAUAUUUUUUAAACAUUUUUCUUGUAAUAAAAUAUAUAUUUUAUAUCUCCAAAAUAAAUUAUUAAGCAGAUGACCCAUCUACCCCUCUUUUCCUUUAAAUGUUUUUAUGUCAGGGGAACUUUUGGAUAUUAUGAAAAUAAUAAGAGUGUAAGCGGUGUAUAUUGAUUUCAAUAAGGAGAAAAUUGAUAAUUUUAUUUAUAUGUAAAAUAAGCAAUUCUUGGGUUGUCUCCCAAAAAAAAAAAAAAAUUCGGCAGGUGAAACAAUCAAAUUGUCACGGGUGACAAUUCAUGGGUUUACUGUAUGUUAUAUUUUUUGAAACAUAAUCCAGCCCCAAAUUUAAUGGUAAUGUAAACACACACACACACAUAUAUAUAUUCUGAGCUUUGCCUAAUGAGAAUCAAAUCUUUCCCGUUCACAUGAGGGGCUUAAUGCAGAUCACUUGAUCUCUAUUGUAUCACUAUAAGAUUGGAUCAAAAGAUUUUAUUAGUUGAAGGAAAUAAUCACCUACACCCUCAAAAUUUGUUUAAAUAGUCACAUAAUUCCUUUGAUUUAAAAAAUAUCAUAUAGACCGUUUUUCUUUUUUGGUUCUUACACUAUUAUACCCUAUAAUUGCGGUCAAAAUUUUGAAAUGAAUACAGUUACAAUAUUAUAUAAAAAUAAAAAAUAAAAAAUAAAAUAGCACAUAAUUAUAAAUAAUUAAAAAAUAAAUGUAAUAAUGAAAUAACACAUAUAUGUUAUGCAAAUUAUUUUUAAUAUUAAGUUGUUAUCAAUAUGACAUUUUUUUAAUACUUAAAUCCAUUAAUCUAAAAAUUAAUUUUAAAAUUUAUGCUCAUAUACACAUAAUAUUAAAAAAAUAAAAUAGGAAAUAUUGUAAACAAAAUAAAUAUUGUAACUUUUGUUAAAAUUUGAAUACAUUUAUUUUAAUAAUAUUAAUCUAUGAAACAAAUGCAAAUAUUCUUGGAUUAUUAAUAUUAAAAUAAAGCAUCUAAAAUUGAAAAUAAAUUAUCAAAAUUUAUUUAUAAAUUUUAUUUAUAAUAUUAAACAAUCUGAUGGGUCAUUAUUAAAAUUAUUUUAAUAAUAUAUUUUUUAAUAUUAUAUAUGUUCAUUAUAGACUUUUAUUUUAAGUUAAUUUUUGGGUUAUUGUUAUUGAAGGGUAUAUUUGUAAAAAAGAGAUUUAAGUAAUGAUCUAGAAAUCCAAGAGAAUUAGAAUUUAUGUUAUUGUUUACGAAAACCUUAAGGGUGUGAGUGACUUUUUUCAUUAGUUAAAUAAUUAAUAUCUUGCAUUAUUUUGAGUGGAUAAUAGUAGAGGUGGGUACCAUGCCCGAGCCAAUUGGCUCCUUGUGUAUUAUAUAAUUCAACAAUUGGUUUUCCUUGAGGGCUAAUGCUACAAUGCCGGGCAUUAAAGCCCCGGCACCAUGCCGGAAUUGGAAAAAAACCGUUGGAUUCAAUUAGAUUGAAUCCAACGGUUGAGAUUAAAUUUAUAGUAAAAAUAAAAAUAAAUGGGUUACCUGGUAAACCGUUCCCUCAAAAGAAAAUCCCACAAUUUUCUCUCACCUCAAUCCGAUUUCUUUGCUCUCUCAAAAAAGAAAUCCAUGAAAUCUCAUCUCUCUUUCAAAUUCAUAGUUUUUCUCAUCCCCAUUUUUUCACUCAUCAUCUAAGAUCAAAUCCACCGUCUCUCUCACACUAAUCAACCAAUCGGAUCCAUCUACCCAGGUAUUUGGUUUGUACAUGAGAGCUAGAGAGAGGCAGAGCCAGUAUCGUGUCCGCUGCUUCUUUUCCAACCGUCCACCGUUACCUUUGUUGCACUAUUGUCUACAACAUUAGUUCUUUAGCCUUUACUGUCGUCGUCCUGGCUUUGGCCGGAAUCAUUGCCCCGUGAGCUGCCCCAAGCUGCCAUAGAAAACCCUCAAAACAAGUUAAUUUUUUUUUGGUUGAUUUUUUUAGGUUUCGUUUUUUUUAAGUGUUAUUUUUCUAUGGGUACCCUGAUUUUUUCUUGUUUGGUUUUAGGUGUUGUUUGCUUGUUUUGAGCUCUACACUCUUUGCUAGGAAUACUAAAGAUGGGCGCUCAAUAAUUUGGUAAGAACUUACCCAUUGUUCUGGGUCCGGGUUUUUUUUUUUUUUUUUUUUUUUGGUUGUGAAUUUUGAGUUAAUUAUUUUGGGGUUGCAGAGCAAUCUUUAAAAAUCUAUGCAGUGGCGUAUCCUGGAACGAAACCAAAAAAAGAGUUGAGGUUUAUGUUUGGAGUCAUUCUAGGACAGGAAGAGCAGCGCGGAUGAGUUGCAGGAAGAGCAGUGUGGCUCGAGGUAACUCCUCUGUUCUCGUCAUGUAAAGGACCUAGUGUUUUGAUGCUAACUAGUAAGUCCUCGUUUUUUCUAUUAUUUUUUUAUCAUUUUGCAUUUCCUCACUUGCGUUCUCAAGAUUUUUGUUUGUUUCUGAGAGAUGCUUAUUUGAGUCCCAACGGCAUCCAUCAGUUUUUAAUAUUUAUCAUCAAAGAGAGGUGAAAUUAUUAUUUAAUGACUGGUAUUUUGUAUAUCACUAGCAUUAUUCUUUAUUUUUUGUGAUUUUGCUUUUUAAUUUGUUUAAUUGGGUGUAGCUAUUAUAUUGUGCCUGAAUUGGGACUGGAUGUGAACUAAUCUUAUGCAUGUUGCAAGGCUAUUCAAGAGUAUAUGGAGGCCAAAUCUCUAAGUUCUUUUCAAAAUAUUGGAUUUAUUGAUUCUCUAAUGUUGUUUUUCUUUUUCUUUUAUGUAAUGCAGCUUGGUGUGGAAAAAGAACAUGUUCUGCUUAUUCAAUCAACCAAAACAAAAAUUUGUAAAUUUUUUUCUGUCACUAUUAUUUAACAGAAAUUGUUGUUUCUAGUUUUAUGUUGUGCUAACGCUAUUGAAGUUGAUUUAGUGUAUACAUUUGAUGCAAUGUACUUUUUUCUAGUAUCUUGCUAAAAGUUUAAUUUUUUCUUACUGCUCUUCAAUUAGGGUAUGAAAUAUAAACUAGCAGCCAGUGCUAAUAAGGAUGAGGAAGAUUUAGAAGGAAGGACAACGUUGCAUUUUGCAUGCGGAUAUGGUGAGGUAAAACAAUCUGAGCUUUACCCAUUCUUACUUAUUUUUCUUGUUCCUUUUUGUUUGAGUUUUAAAGGUAGGGCGUAUGAUUUGGAUAGAAUUAAAUAUUACUUAACGUUUUGUGUUUUUGGUUACUUAGUUGAGGAAGUGCUAAUAAAGCCAAUGGAAAACUAGUAUUUGUGCUAACUGGGGCUUUCUAGUGACAGUUUGAGCUAACUUAUAUGGUUUAUGGCAUCAAUUGUUCAUCUCCUAGGGAUACUUAGGACCGCUUUCUAGUUAAUUUUUUAAUGAAAACUUCCUUGGCAAAUUGGCCAAGUUUAUGACAUGGAGUUAAUCAAAUGCACUUGAAUGCUUUAGGUGGAGUGUGCUCAACUCCUACUUGAGGCUGGAGCAAAUGUGGAUGCUGUGGAUAAGAACAAGUACUACCGUACAUUAUGCAGCUAAUUAUGACUAGAAGGAAUGUGUAGCCCCUUUGUUGAAGAACGGUGCUGCUGUGUAAGCCAACACCCAAUACUAUUUUAACUCCCGUCUCUAUUUUAUAAAAUGCUAUAUGAUUAAUUCUUUCUACUAUAUUAUAUUUUGUUACCACAGAACUCUGCAGAACAUGGAUCGCAAGACUCCCAUUGAUGUUGCCAAGCUCAAUAGCCAACAUGACAUGCUAAAGCUUCCUGCAACUCCGCAUGUGAAUGAUGGAUUUCGACAAUUUUAUAGGCAUUUUAGUGUGUUAGAUGAAUCUACUCCAGUUAGGCAUUAGGUUUUUAUCGUAACUUGAUGCUUUUGUCAAUGCUCAUGCUUAUUAAUCUGAUUGCUACCACUAAAAUUUGAUAUCAUAAACAAUCUCUUCCCUAGAUGAGUUAUCUGCGGGGAAUAUUCUUGUUAUGGCUUCUUUAAUUCUAGCUAUGAUAUAUUUUUACGUUUUUACAAUUUAUUGCUUGAUUAUGUCAAAAUAAGCACUUAUUUUAGGGUAUCCAUUUUAUAGUUUGGAAAAAGCUAUUCUUAGCCGAAGAAAAUGUGAUCUUAUUUUGGGUAUUUGCUAUCAAUUUAGAUAUUAAUAAUGCUAAACUAAUGCACAUGCCAUAUAUGUGUUGCUAGUUUUGAUUGCUUCCUUGAUACUAUUAAACUUACUUGUCUUGCCCAAUUUAACUUUUGCAAUUUAGUUAUAUAAUCUAUAGUUUUUAUCAAUACGCAUUCCUUUUAUGAGCUUAAUUCAAUUAUAAGAGACUCUUUCCUUAGAAAAUUGCAACAAUGAAUUUUACCCUUUAUGCAGAAUAAAAAAUUUAAAAAUUACCAAUGGAACUAAACAUUUUUGUUGUUUGGUAAUAUAAAAUUGUCAUCGUAGUUAGUUUUCGCUCGAAAAAUUAGACAAAUUACAAAAUAAAUGGUUCAAAUAAUAGUUAGAUUGAUAAAUUAUUACUUGGAGUAUCAAACAAUAAUCACUUGAAUUACCAAAUAAUUUUAACGCUAAGGCAACAAUUCCAUAUUUGUUUCUUAAUAGAUUGGCUUAAUUAAACUUAGUUAAUAAAAAAAAAUUAAAACUUAAUAGAUUGGGUUAAUUAAACUUAAUUAAUAAUAAAAAAAUAUUAAAAAUAAGUUUACUUAUAAAUUAUCAUUUGAAUAGUCAAGGAAUUUUGAAAUGCACUAUUAUUUUGUAUUUAGUUAUGAAUAGAAGUGUUUGAUAUUUUUUUUAUAUUAAUCAGCUUGAUAGAAAAUUAAAUAUUUGUCAAAUGCUUGAUAGAAAAUGUAACUUGCAAUUAUUCUAUGGAAUACUCAUAUUUAGCCUUUGGGUUAUUAUAAUUCCCAUCCAUAUUACAAUUAAUAAAUUAAUAACAUCAAAUAUGAGAUAAAAUAUUUCAUAUCCAUAUUAGCAAUAAAUUGAUCACAUAAUAUAUGGAUUAUCAAAUAUUCACAUUCAUAUCAACCAUCCAAGACCAAAGUAUGGGUGAACAUAAUUCACAUCCAUAUCCCUCCGGAAUGAUUCUGGAAGAUAACGGUUAGCCGUUAUCCAAAAUCGGUUCAACGUUAUCGUCGAAAAUGAUUCUGGACGUUAACAGUGAGCCUUUAUUUGAUGACAGUUCACCAUUAUCUUCUAGAAAUAAGUGUAACUGCUAAUUUGAUUCUGGAAGAUAACGGUCAACCGUUAUCUGAUAACGGCUAAUUGUUAUUUCCAGAAUUACUCUAAAAAAUAUUCAGAAAUAUUCUUUAUUUUGGCUUUAUUCAGGACAUGCAACAUCUAACGUCAAACAUGCAACCGUGACGUCCGACAUUCAAGUUUUAAUGUUAAACAUGAAACGNNNNNNNNNNNNNNNNNNNNNNNNNNNNNNNNNNNNNNNNNNNNNNNNNNNNNNNNNNNNNNNNNNNNNNNNNNNNNNNNNNNNNNNNNNNNNNNNNNNNAACACUUCACGCGAAAUAUGCCAAUUAUCACGUAAAGUUCGCAACUUCGACGUCAAACAUGAAACGGACGAGAAUAUUCCGAAAUAUUCUUUAUUUUGGCUUUAUUCAACACAUGCAACAUCUUACGUCAAACAUGCAACCGUGAUGUCCGACAUGCAACAACUGACGUUAAACAUGAAACUUGCAACACUUCACGCGAAAUAUGCAACUUAUCACGUAAAGUUCGCAACUUGGACGUUAAACAUGAAACGAACGAGAAUAUUUCACAAUAUUCUUUAUUUUGGCUUUAUUCAACACAUGCAAUAUCUAACGUCAAACAUGCAACCGUUACGUCCGACAUGCAACAACUGACGUUAAACAUGAAACUUGCAACACUUCACGCGAAAUAUGCAACUUAUCACGUAAAGUUCGCAACUUGGACAUUAAACAUGAAACGGACGAGAAUAUUUCGGAAUAUUCUUUAUUUUGGCUUUAUUCAACACAUGCAACAUCUAACGUCAAACAUGCAACCGUUACGUCUGACAUGCAACAACUGACGUUAAACAUGAAACUUGCAACACUUCACGCGAAAUAUGCAACUUAUCACGUAAAGUUCGCAACUUGGACGUUAAACAUGAAACGGACGAGAAUAUUUCAGAAUAUUCUUUAUUUUGGCUUUAUUCAACACAUGUAACAUCUUACGUCAAACAUGCAACUGUUACGUCCGACAUGCAACAACUGACGUUAAACAUGAAACUUGCAACACUUCACGCGAAAUAUGCAACUUAUCACGUAAAGUUCGCAACUUGGACGUCAAACAUGAAACGGACGAGAAUAUUCUGGAAUAUUCUUUAUUUUGGCUUUAUUCACCACAUGCAACAUCUAACGUCAAACAUGCAACCGUGACGUCCGACAUGCAACAACUGACGUUAAACAUGAAACUUGCAAUACUUCACGUGAAAUAUGUAACUUAUCACGUAAAGUUUGCAACUUCGACGUCAAACAUGAAACGAACGAGAAUAUUCGAGAAUAUUCUUUAUUUUGGCUUUAUUCAAGACAUGCAACAUCUAACGUCAAACAUGCAACCGUUACGUCCGACAUGCAACAACUGACGUUAAAUAUGAAACUUGCAACACUUCACGCGAAAUAUGCAACUUAUCACGUAAAGUUCGCAACUUGGACGUUAAACAUGAAACGGACGAGAAUAUUUCAGAAUAUUCUUUAUUUUGGCUUUAUUCAACACAUGUAACAUCUUACGUCAAACAUGCAACUGUUACGUCCGACAUGCAACAACUGACGUUAAACAUGAAACUUGCAACACUUCACGCGAAAUAUGCAACUUAUCACGUAAAGUUCGCAACUUGGACGUUAAACAUGAAACGGACGAGAAUAUUCCGGAAUAUUCUUUAUUUUGGCUUUAUUCAACACAUGCAACAUCUUACGUCAAACAUGCAACCGUGAUGUCCGACAUGCAACAACUGACGUUAAACAUGAAACUUGCAACACUUCACGCGAAAUAUGCAACUUAUCACGUAAAGUUCGCAACUUGGACGUUAAACAUGAAACGGACAAGAAUAUUCCAAAAUAUUCUUUAUUUUGGCUUUAUUCAACACAUGCAACAUCUAACGUCAAACAUGCAACCGUUACGUCCAACAUGCAACAACUGACGUUAAACAUGAAACUUGCAACAUUUCACGCGAAAUAUGCAACUUAUCACGUAAAGUUCGCAACUUGGACAUUAAACAUGUAACAGACGAGAAUAUUCCGGAAUAUUCUUUAUUUUGGCUUUAUUCAACACAUGCAACAUCUUACGUCAAACAUGCAACCGUGACGUCCGACAUGCAACAACUGACGUUAAACAUGAAACGCAACACUUCACGCGAAAUAUGCAACUUAUCACGUAAUGUUCGCAACUUGGACGUUAAACAUGAAACGGACGAGAAUAUUCCGGAAUAUUCUUUAUUUUGGCUUUAUUCAACACAUGGAACAUCUAACGUCAAACCUGCAACCGUUACGUCCGACAUGCAACAACUGACGUUAAACAUGAAACUUGCAACACUUCACGCGAAAUAUGCAACUUAUCACGUAAAGUUCGCAACUUGGACGUCAAACAUGAAACGGACGAGAAUAUUCUGGAAUAUACUUUAUUUUGGCUUUAUUCACCACAUGCAACAUCUAACGUCAAACAUGCAACCGUGACGUCCGACAUGCAACAACUGACGUUAAACAUGAAACUUGCAAUACUUCACGUGAAAUAUGUAACUUAUCACGUAAAGUUUGCAACUUCGACGUCAAACAUGAAACGAACGAGAAUAUUCGAGAAUAUUCUUUAUUUUGGCUUUAUUCAAGACAUGCAACAUCUAACGUCAAACAUGCAACCGUUACGUCCGACAUGCAACAACUGACGUUAAAUAUGAAACUUGCAACACUUCACGCGAAAUAUGCAACUUAUCACGUAAAGUUCGCAACUUGGACGUCAAACAUGAAACGGACGAGAAUAUUCUGGAAUAUUCUUUAUUUUGGCUUUAGUCACCACAUGAAACAUCUUACGUCAAACAUGCAAUCGAGACGUCCGACAUGCAACAACUGACGUUAAUAAUGAAACUUGCAACACUUCACGCGAAAUAUGCAACUUAUCACGUAAAGUUCGCAACUUUGACGUCAAACAUGAAACGGACGAGAAUAUUCUGGAAUAUUCUUUAUUUUGGCUUUAUUCAACACAUGCAACAUCUUACGUGAAACAUGAAAUCCAACCGUCGAAUAUGCAAGAACUGAUGUUAAACAUGAAACUUGCAACACUUCACGCGAAAUAUGCAAUUUAUCACGUAAAGUUUGCAAUUUCGACGUCAAACAUAAAAUGGACGAGAAUAUUCUGGAAUAUUUUUUUUUUUGGCUUUAUUCAACACAUGCAACAUCUUACGUCAAACAUUCAAUCGAGAUGUCAGACAUGCAACAACUGACGUUAAAUCUGAAAUACUAUUUUUUUCAUUUUCAAUUUCUUUAUUUUUUGCCAUUCUAUUUAAUUAUAUUAUAUUGUAUUAUAGGGUUUCUAUUAUAUUAUUUAAUUUCUUUAUCUUUUGCUGUUAAUUAUAUUAUAAAAAACUAUUUUUGACAUUUUAUUUAAUUUUUUUAUUUUUAUAUUGUAUUUUUAAUAUAUUUUUUUAAAAAAAAUGGUGCAACCGGUUUGUUAACCGGCUGCACCAAGUCCUUGGCUGCCAAAUGGCAGCCAAAGACAGCCGGGCUCUCUUUUUGAGAGCCCGGCAUGGUGCCGGGUACAAUGCCAACGGCAUUGUAGCCAAACCCUUCUUUGAGAUGUUACUACCAGCGCGUCGCGGCUUCCAACCAAGAUUGGAAGUAAGAUCUUGGUAACCUUUUGUGUAAUCUUUGCUAAAUAUUAAAAUAAAUAUUAUAAUAUUAACGUUUUAAAACAAUUUCAAUAUUUAAAAAAAUAUUUUAAUAUUUUAAUUUUAAUAUUUCAAUUUUUUAAACAUAUGCUAUUAUAUCUAAGGUAAUAUUUAUAAUAAAUAGAAACAUAAUAUUAUAAUAAAUAUAUAAUAAUUUAAAUUAUUUUGAAUAUUAUAUGAAAUAAUAUUUAAUAUUAUUAAUUUGUGAGAUAUAUUUUAUUAAUUGUAAAAUUUAUUUAACCCUAAGAUUUACUCAAAAUCUUUGUAAUAGAUACAAAUUUAUUAUUUACUUUAUCUAAAUGAAUAUAAUAUUUUAUAUGUUUAAAAAUAUUUUUUUAAUUUUAAAAAAUAUUUUAAUAUUAUUAGUCUAGAAAAAUUAAAUUAUUUGUAUUAUAUUUGUAUUAAUUUAAAAAUAUUAAAGUCCAAUUCUUUUACUUACUAUAUUUAAAAGGUUUUAUGAUUAAAAAAAAAGGUAUUUGGUGUUCUUUUUUAAAAACUUAGAGAUUUAAAUAACUAUUUUCUAAAACUUUUAGGAUGUAACCGAUCUUAUUUAAAUAAAAUCUAAUCUUCAUAUACUUAAAAAAUCUAAUUAACAUAUAUAAGCAAGGCCUGUGAACAUAGAAUUGUUAUCCAAAUUAUGGUGUAUAGAAAGAAUUAAUAUUUCACAAUCUAAAUUACGUUACUCUCAACUGCUCGGAUAGACAGUGACGUGUUCAUAAUUCUCUUCACUUUAAUCACAAAUAUCUCAAUAAUUAUUCUCUAACAUUUGUCAUGAUAGAUUAAUUUCUUGGAUUAACUAGUCAAAAGGCCUGGAUAGAUGGCGUAUGAACUAAUCAACAUAUUUUAUGAUUAGGUACAUUAGUGCUGCCAAUUUUAAGUUGAAAUAUAACAUUUUAGCUGUCAAUUUUGACAAUUUAAUAUGCAAGUUUACACCUCUAUAUUGUCUUUGUAUACUUUGUAAUAAUAUCAAUAGAAUUUUAAGUGUAUACAUUAGAGGUAUUAUAUUAGUCAUUCAACAAGUAAAUAAUAUUUAUAACAAAUGUGUAUUUAUUUUGAGAGAUCACAUAUAAAUGGUGGAUAUAUAAAAUUUAAUUAGACGUAUCAUACAUACAUCAAUUACUUGUAUUACAUUUGACGUAUUCUAUUUGAUGUAUUCUAGAACUUCUCGUAUUUGAAUUUAUCUAUUGUCACUUUUUUCUUCCACGUUAAAACAAUUGAAAGCCUUAAGUCUUCAUAGCACAACAUUAUUUUUAUUAUUAUUUAUAUUGAUUCAAUUCUAAAACUUGAACAGAGACCUUUCUUGGUAUAGUCUAUUUAAAGUUCAGAUCAAAAAUCUGCUCCAAAAAGAUAGAGAGAGUUACUCAGAAAUUUUAUAACUGCUGUAAAAGUUUACAACUACUGCCACUCAAAUUUUAGAGCUAGCGGCCAUGGGCAUUCUUGUUUCAUCUCAAACAAGUGCUGUAGCUGCAAUUUUAAUCACCCUUUUAAUCAUUCUAUACACGUCGUUUCUAGUUUCAAGAAAUUUGCUUAGAAAAUGCAUAGGCAAGAAGAAAAGGGGAGCACCAGAAGCAGGUGGAGCUUGGCCAGUGAUUGGCCAUCUACACCUCUUACGAGGGCCAAAACCUCCUUACAGGGUGUUCGACAAAAUGGCUGACAAGUAUGGACCAAUCUUUAUUAUCAGGAUGGGCAAAAAUCCAGCUUUAAUCGUGAGUAAUUGGGAGAUUGCUAAAGAGUGUCUCACAACACAUGACAAAGUCUUUGCCAACCGUCCUAAAACUCUAGCCAUGGAGAUUUUAGGCUACAAUUUUUCCAUGUUUGGCUUCAGCCCAUAUGGCUCCUACUGGCGCGAGACACGCAAGAUAGCCACACUUGGGCUUCUCUCAAACCAUCGGCUUGAGAAGCUGAAGCACGUACGAGAAUACGAGGUGAAGACAUGUUUGAAGGAGUUAUAUGAGUUAUGGCACAAGAACAAAAGCACUAAUAAGAUAUUGCUAGUAGAGAUGAAGAAAUGGUUUGGGGACACCCUCCGUAAUGUGGUUUUAAGAAUGGUUGUUGGAAAGGGGUGCAAUUCAGUGGAUAGUGAAGAAUGGAAAGAACUACUGACGAGAUUUUUUGAAAUGAGUGGUAAGUUUGUGGUGUCAGAUGCGCUACCGUUUAUGAGAUGGUUGGAUAUAGGGGGUGAUGAGAGGUCAAUGAAGAAGAUUGCCAAAGAAUUAGACGUUGUUGCUCAAGGAUGGUUAGAAGAGCACAAGAGGAAGAGAGACUCUCAGGAGAUUAAAAAAGAAGAAGAUUUUAUGUAUGUCAUGCUUUCAAUCCUAGGUGAUACAGAGCAAUAUUUGGGUCGUGAUGUUGAUACAAUCAAUAAAGCUAUUUGUCUGGUAAGCCUUUCCUAACCGACUUUUUUUUAUUAUUUUAAUUAUAGUCUGAGCUCGACUCAAUCACCUCUACAUUCUCUGCAUCCACAUGAGUGGAGUAUUCGAACUUAGAACUACUUUUUCAUGUUUUAGUAUUUUAUAUUUUUAUUUUUAAUGUAGACACACUAGUAAGGUGAACUAAUCCUAAGCCUUAACAAAGUUAUUUCUUACCAAUGAAACUAGACCUUACCUUAGACCUCUUCUUUUUACUCAAGAAGUUUUACUAAUUUGUACAUAACAUUUAAUAUAAUAUUCUAUCUUUUUCAAAACAGUUUACGCUCAUAGUCAUUAAAACUGUUGUACACAUCUUUCUUCAAGAUAAGAUUAACAAACCAGAGCAACUAAUAAAUUUGUAAUAUGUGAAUUAAUAAUAUUUAGUUAUUCUAUUUCCACAUUGAAAGGAAAAAAAAGUGAAUUAAAUUGUUGAUGAAAUCAUCAUCCAUUCAUUAUGUAUCGCAUUAGUCAAUUUGGACCUACGUUUUUUAACAAGUCAUUGGUAAUGUAUUGGUAGAUUUGACAUGGUGCAUUGAAUCUAAUUCUACUAGUAAAAUUCAAAAGGUGCCAAAAAAAUAAGUGUUGAAGUCGAAUUUCAUUAAGUUCCAUUGUGAAUAACUGUAACAUAUGAAAGCAAAACAACACCUUACACACUAUCAAUUUUGCAGGCUCUUAUCUUGGGAGCAGCAGACACCACAACAGUAACACUGACAUGGGUUAUGUCUUUGCUUCUCAAUCAUCGUGAUAUUCUAAACAAGGCUCAAAAUGAACUAGAUAUUCAGGUGGGCACAAAAAGACAAGUGAAUGAAUCAGAUAUAAAAAAUUUAGUUUACUUGCAAGCCAUUCUCAAAGAAGCAAUGCGUUUGUAUCCGGCUGGGCCACUUUUAGUUCCCCAUGAGUCUAUAGAAGAAUGCACAGUUAAUGGUUACCAUGUCCCUGCCAGCACACAACUUUUUAUCAAUGCUUGGAAAAUUCAACGUGAUCCAAGUGUCUGGGAAGAGCCAUCUAAGUUUCAGCCAGAAAGAUUUUUGACGAGGCAUAAGGAUAUUGAUGUUAAGGGACAAAAUUUUGAAUUGUUACCUUUUAGUAGUGGUAGAAGAAUGUGUCCUGGAGUGUCAUUUGCCCUCCAAGUUAUGCAAUUUACACUUGCUUCUCUACUUCAGGGAUUUAAUUUUGCAACCCCAUCUAAUGAACCAGUGGACAUGGGUGAAGGAUUAGGGUUGACCAUGGAGAAAUCUCAACCAUUUGAAGUACUUGUUACUCCACGUCUUUCUGCUGCCGUCUACAGCUAAAUUAAUUAUUUAUAUAUUGAUUGACUAAUAAAUAAGUGACAAGUGUGUGGUGUCACGUGUAGUGAGUUGUAAAGUAGAUUUCUUAGAAAUAAGGAUGUACUGUGUGAUGUAAUGUAAAGAAGUGAUAAGUCAUAAAGUAGAUUCCCUAGAGAUAAAAUGUAAUGAUGUAAAUAGUAAAAGGAGAUUCCCUUAGUGCCUAUAAAAGGGACUCCCUAGGAGUGUGUUGGAUCAUCAAGUCUUGGAGUCUUGUAAUAUAGAGUUAUAAUAAGAAUACUUGAGUGAAACCUUGUAUUCUCUCUUCCAGUAAUAAAAUCAUCCUUUGUAUUUUUUGUCUUUAUAAUUUGGUAUCAGAGCCAGUACUCCCAAAAGGAGUUUCCUAAGCCUUACUAUAAUAAAGUAUGCUCUGUAGCCGCCAUUGAAACAGAUCUUCCACAAUAGAAAUAUUAUAGAAGACUAGAAAGUCUGUGUUCCCAAAACUAGGUUAUUUGGUCAAGAGAUACAUAGAACAGUUUUCUUUAAAAGGUGUGGCACCUUAUUUUUAGAAAGUGACAAGUGUGUGGUGUCACAUGUAGUGAGUUGUAAAGUAAAUUCCUUAAAGAUAAGGAUGUACUGUGUGAUGUAAUUUAAAAAAGUGACAAGUGUAUGGUGUCACAUGUAGUGAUUUGUAAAAUAGAUUCCUUAGAGAUAAGGAUGUACUGUGUGAUGUAAUGUAAAGAAGUGAUGAGUCAUAAAGUAGAUUCGCUAGAGAUAAGAUGUAAUGAUAUAAAUAGUAAAAGGAGAUUCCCUUAGUGCCUAUAAAAUGGACUCCCUGGGAGUGUGUUGGAUCAUCGAGUCCUAGAGUCUUGUAAUAUAGAGUUAUAGUAAUAAAACCUUUGAUGAGCCAUGGUCCAUCAUUCUUUAUAUGAGAGUGAAACAAAGUAUUUUUCUCUAGAUCAUAACUUGUUUGGAAUAGCUACAUAGUACUGUAGAAGUUCUUUGUACUAGAUUUCAAAUUUCUAAACUAGAUUUUUUUUUUCCUCUUAUUACCCCUCCCAAAAAUGAAUUAUUGCUCAACCCAUAGAAUCAUAAGGAAACGGGACUUUUGAUUAACAAGAUUGGUAAUUGUAUAACCAAAUCCUUCUGAAUAGAAAGUGAAUGGGGCAAUGAGACUCAAGAAAUCUAUUCCAAGUAGUAGAUCUUCUCCUGAAGAGUCAUAAGCGAAGAAACUAUAUCUUUUACCAAAUGGUAAAAUUUCAAUAAGCUUAGUGUACUUAUGACUAUAGAAUUUAUCACCACUUGCUUUGCAAAGCUGACUUGUGUCAGUACAUGGUACCUUUUGGGUAGACAAUUUCCAUGGAUGAUAACAGUAUCAAUUAAGACAGUGAGAGCAAUCUGUUUAUUAUCUAAUAACUAGAGGAUGAUUUCGACAUAGGGUCUGAAUGUUGAUGUUGACUUCAUUGUUACAUCAAUAGGCUGUUCUUAAAAAAUAUUUAUAACUUGUUCAUCAUUUGAAGAUUCUUCUAGCUCGUUUGACUCGCUGGAUGUAUCAGACUUUUGAGAUUGUGAGUCAAUUGCGAGUAAUGCCUGUUUAGGUUUGUCAGACCAUUCAUAGUACUCAUCAUCAAACUCUAGAUCUUUAAUGAGUUGAAGUAGCUUGGCUGGAAUCCUCUUCUUGGAUUUGCAUUGUUUUGCAUAAUGUCCUUUCUUGCCAAAAAUGAAACAUAUGCCUGACCUUUUCUGAACUUUCUUCUUUUGACAAAGUGGUGUUUUUUACUUUUGUAUGGUCUCUAGGGUUUUGUUUUCUUGUUGUGAAACUUCUUUGAAUAAGAACAUGAGUUGCUUGUUUCAUGGCAACCAAAGUUGUUGGGUUUGUCAUUGCAGUAUUUGGACAAAGAGGAUUUCUCUAUCUGCUUAAUGUGCUUCCUUAGUUCUUGAUUCUUGUAAUGAUUCUGGAUCAGCUCUGUAGCUAUCUGAUACAAUUGUGCCAAGCUAUUGUUUGUCAAAUCCAUAACUACAUCAGAUUUGAAUUUAGCUUCCAUCAUCUCUGCUACUGGUCCAGGCAUGUUGAGAACAAACAUCCGGUGAAUUAUAUAUGUGGGCUUUUGGAAGAUAUAGUAAAAUUGUUCCUACUCCAUGUAGUAUUCUUCAAGUUUUCGAACAUCACAACAUUUGUUCUGAAGGAAUUAUUUUUCUGUCAACUAUGUUUCUCUUGGUCCAGAUCCAAAGAAAUCUAUUGUAAGAGUUUCCAAAACAGUAGCACUAGGGUUUGGUCGGGAUAACAUAUAUUCUCGUUGGAUUGGUGUCAAGAUGUUGCUCCACCAUCGCCUAAGCGAUCCAGUAAAGCCUGCUACUAAUCUUUACAUAACUGCUCUUCUGGUUGGCUGUGGUGCUUUUUGGCAUUCUCCUUCAUAAUGUAAGGAAUUCUGUCUUUUAGUUUGAUAUUAUCAAUAUUCCAAAUGACUUUUCCUUGAGGAGAAUGUUAGAUCUGGACUCGUGUUUCCCAUUCUUAACCUUGUUCUUCUUCUUCACCCAUUCGUUCUUGUUGCUUUUCUUACCGAGAUUGUUGUGGUUGUCUUUCUAGAGGAUCUGAAGAUGCUACUCCUGUGUGUUGGCCUGUCUCGAAGGUAGAUGGUACUGUGAACCUUCUCCUUGUAUCGACAUAUAUUGGAUUGGUAGGAUAUUGAGGUAUUUUUUCUAUCAUGAUUGGUCUUCUAGAAGAGCGGAAUGAAUUUGCAAAUUGAUUGGAUCCAUAUGAACUUUCUGCAUCUUCCCAACCUGUAGCUAUAACCGACCAUGGUUGUACUGGUGGCAUCUCAUAACUUCUCCAAAAUGCUUUGUUGUUGUUGCCAGUGGAGCUUUCUUCCCAUACAUGAGCUAGUUUAGAAAGUUUGUCAUUUUUCUAGGAAUUUUUCUUUUGUUUUCUUUUAUAGUAGUCCUAGUAGCAUUGCAGGGUUCUCCUCAUUUAUAAUUUGGUCUCAGAGCCAGUACUCUCAAAAGGAGUUUCCUAAGCCCAUUAAUCUAGACAAAAUAUAAAUAAAAGAUUAGCAUGUUAAACUGGUUUACCAUUAAUAGCAAGUGCAUCUGCCAAUCUCUUCAUCUUAGUAAAAUAGCCACUCAUAGUAAUUCAUCCUUUUUUAGUAGUUCUAAUUGCAUUUAAUACGCUUUAUAUAAGCUUGAAUUUUAGAAACAAACAAAUGUGUCAAAGAAUCCCACAGCUUUUGUGAUAAAACAAAAGUUGGUUUAUUCUUAUCCAAGCAAAGAAAGUAGGAUGAUUAAUUCUUGACCCAUAUCCAUUGUUUAAAGGCUAACAUCAUCUAUAUUUUGAAUAAGAUAUUAGUACAGACACUUAUUUGCACUAAUAAUGAAUCCUUCCAAGCUAUUACUUUUGAUUGAAGUAGGAACUUGAGUUCUUCAAACAAUAAAGCUGUUUUGAUUGAGAUUUAUUGGUUUUACAAAGUUAUAAAAGGUUUUAUUUUGAUUAGAAGCAUCAGCUAGCUCUGAUACCAUGUUUGAAAUAAAGUAAAAUUAUGUUUGGUUACUAAGAGAAUAAGGUAGAAAGUGAAAAAAAUAAAUUCAGAGUUUUAUUCAUUUUCCUAAGCUUACAAAAUAAGUCUCAUUUAUGGGACUUAUACACACAAUUACAUAUAGAAUCAGUUAUUGGAUCCAUUUAAAAACACUCAAAUGCUGCGUUUACUUUUUGGAUUGGAGUGGGAAUUCUGAGGAGUGGGAAUCCUUGGAUUAGGAGUGUGGAGUGGGAGUGGGAGUAGGUUGUUUACUUACACUAGAAUGGAAGCAUGGAAUAGAGAUCAGAAUCCAAUUUAUGUGUUUACUUUGUCUUAGAUUAGGAGUAAAUAGUUUCAAAUUACAAUUUUAUCCUUAUUUAAAGAAUUAUAGUUUUUAAUUACAAAACUAAUAAAAAAUAUAUUAAAUGAAUAAUAUUUAUUUUAUUUGUAAAUUUAUUAUAAUUAUUAAUAUUCUUAAUUAUGAACAAUAAAUUAUUAAUUUUAAUAUAAAAUGAAACCUUAUUUUAUUUUAUUUAAUAUAAUUAUAUUAAAUUUAUUAUUAUAUAAAAUAAUAAUAUAAUAUUAUUUAGUACAAAAUUAAUAUUUUAUUAGAAUAAACUAUUUAUUAUUAUUAAUAUUAAAUAAAUAUAGUACUAUUAUUUUUAAAAUAAAUAUAAUAAUAUUAUAUUUAUUAAUUCUCUAUUAAUAUAAUAAUAUUAUUUUAAAAUAAUUUUAACUUAGAAUCAAUGUAAAUUAUUAUUUAGUUAAAUAUAUUAUUAUUUAGUUAAAUAUAAUAUUAUUAUUCAAAUAAAUAUUAUUUAUUUUAUUUUAUUAAUUAUAAAAUAUUAAAUUAAAUUAAAUUAAAUUAAAAAUGAAAGGGUAAAAAGGGGAGAGGUGGGAGUGGAUUCCCACUCCCACCUCCCCCAAUGGGAGUCCCACUCCCACUCCCCACUCCAAAAAUGAGUGGGGCCCACGGAGUGGGAUUCCCAAUCCGUGGCCAUUUUAAUCAAGUAAACGCUGGAGUGGGAGGAAUCCACACUCCUCACUCCCACUCCAGCAAGUAAACACAACCUAAAUCUUAUUAUAACUAACUUGCCAUGUCAGCAUAAUGGAAUUACUAAGCUACUGAUUAAACUUCCAAGCUUGUCAUGCUUUGCAUUCAUCAUGCUCUAAAUCAUCAUCACUAUAUGUUCUAUUAAGGAGUAGCUAACAAAACCCAACAAAAUAUUUCACCAAUGAAAAGAAUGUGAGAAAUAAACAUUAUGAACCAAAUAAAUAAAUCAAUUAGCAAAUAUACCCUUUGAUCAAAUCGAAGACGCUGCUUGCUCUGCUUCUCUAGUUUUAAGCUUAGAAUUAAGAAGAGGAGUGAAGAUGAAAUUUUCAAUAGAGUUUGUAGAGAAUGUGAUUUUGAGGUUGAUGGAGGACCCGAAAAAGAGGGACAGAAAGAAUGAUUCAAAGCAGAUGCCUGGCAGAAGGGACCCUUAUAACAAUAUUCUUUAACACAACUAUAAUGCCACUUCCAUCUCCCAUUGAAUGCUAGAAAAUCCAAAAGCAGUAUAGUUAAAAAAUUACUUAAUAUAUAAGCAAGGCUUGUGAACUUAGAAUUGUUAUCCAAACUAUGAUGAAUACAAAGAAUUAAUAUUUCACAACCUUAAGUAUGUUACUCUCAACUAUUCGGAUAGACAGUGACAUGUUCAUAAUUUCUUCACUUCAAUCACAGAUGUUUCAAUAAUUGUUCUCUAACAUUUGCCAUGAUGGGUUCUUGGAUUAACUAGUCAAAAGGCCUAGAUAUUGUCGAUGGUGUAUCAACUAAUCAAUGUAUAUUAUCAUUUGGUACAUCAGUGCUACCUAUUUUCCAUGUUGAAAUACAGCGUUUUAGCUAUAAAUUUUGAGAAUUUAGUACGCAAGUUCACAACUUUAUUUUGCCUUUGUGUACUUUUUAAUAGCAAUACAAUUAUAAGUGUAGUCUACUUAGACAUAAAUUUUAGAAUGAAUCAGAGGUAUUAUAUCAGCCAUACAACAAGUAAAUAUUGUUAUGAUAUGUGUGCAUUUAUUUUAAAAAAUCACAUGCAAGUGAUGAUUAUAUGAUAUUUAAUUAUACAUGUCAUAAAUACAUACAUCAGUUAAUUAUAUUACAUAUGAUUUAUUCUAGAAUUCUUCUUAAAUUUAUGUAUUGUCACUUUUUUCUUCCACCUCAACUGAAAACAUUCAGUCUUGAUAGCAUACCAUCAUUUUUAUUAUUAUUUAUACUAAUUCAAUUUAAAAAGUGAAUAUAGAUAUUUUUUUAUAUAAUCCACUCAAAGUUCAACUUGAAAAUCAGCUUCAAAAAAGAGAAAUAGACUUACUGUGAAAUUUUAUAACUGAUGCACAAUUCGAUUCGGCUUGAUUUUUUUGGUUUCGAUUUGGUAUUUUUUAUUAAAAAAAAAACUGAAUAAUUUUAAUUGGAAACCGAACUGAUUGGUUCGAAUCGGUUUUUGGUUUAAAGUUUCAAAACCGAAACCGAAAUCGAACCGAUAUCCAAUGGCAUUUUCACAUAAUAUAUGUACACACAUAUUGCUGUCACGAUUUGCCGAAGGUAGCUGAUCCAUUGCCCAAAAAUCAAGGUAUCGAACCCCUAACCCUAACUUUAAAUUGCUGCCAUCGCCAAUUGAAUCGCUGCCUCUGUCUUUGCUUACUUCUGGGUUUAAGAACCGCUGCCGCCGGCCGCUGCCAACUGAGUCGCGAUCCAGCACCCAGUGCUGCUCUUUGCCUCUGAAUCAUGAUCUAGCAGCCAUCGCCCAUCUGUGCUCUUCAUAGGCGACUCCCAAACUCCAUACCUGCCACUUGCCUCGGGUCUGUUGGGAAAAAGCUCUCACACUCGAGAUUCCCUUGCCAUCAAACUCUUCGGAAAGAAAAACACCUUGCAUUUGGAUGGAGAGGUUUCGGUCAUCUUCGUCGAUGAAUUGCCGUCUCCGGCAGCCAAGGAAGAUUGUAGCAGAGAAGCAUAAGAAGAAAAAACAGAGAAGGUAUAGCUUUUAUACAAUUACACAAACUUUAUACGGAGUGCUUUAUAUUUGAGUCUAAGGACCACCCAUUUGUUAAAAUGCUAAAAAUAUUACUGGGUCGGUUGCACUUUUCUUUUUUUUGAUUAGCAUGCAUGCUAGGCACUGAAAGUUCGUUCUUUUAUUUCUGUUUUCUAUUUUUGACUUUAUGUGUUAAAUUAAAUUUCCUUUUUUUGUGGAUUCUUUUUUUCGAAGUUGGAAAAAGAAAGCUCUCCCAGUAUGUCAUGCCCUUAUUUAGGAAUGUCUCCCUGCGCUUAAAGCUGAUUUGAAAAAAAUGAUGGAUGAAAAGCCUGAGAUCCAACUCCUUACAAACAAGUUGCAAGACAUCCUCCCAUGAUGGAAAGCAUGGUGUAGCAACUGAAGGGCACUGGGGCCUCGACUCCUUCAACUGCUGCCCAAGACCUUUAAUUCAGAUCAGCCAGAUGCUAUAAAAAUGAUUUGUUGAAAUCUUGAUCAAAAUUGAUUACGAACCAAGAUGGUGAUGAAUUAAAAGACACAGAGAACAUAUCAGAAUCGAAACGAAUAAAGAAAAAACUAAGAAUCAAAGAACAGAGGAAGAUAACGGAGUUCAGUUAAUUCUCAUUAGCUUACAUUCACGGAGGGACAAAGUGACAAGCCUUUCAUUGAUUGAUCAUCAAAAGUACAAAGAGUUUUCCAGCGUACAUAUCAUUGAAUAUUAACCCCUCAAUCACAGAGUCUCUAUUCCCUUUUAUACUCCGCAGUGUAACUUCAGUUAAUUGCACCAGAAUCAGCUGCAUUCAGCAGCGUGUAACAGCCUAGAUGUAAUUUCCAGAAAUUCACGUGUAAGGCACGUGUGAUAACGGCUUCUAACGACCUGAAUUCGAGCUUCCUUCUCCACGUGCAUCUCAUGUGCUUCAUUAAACCAGAAACGACAAUGUAUAAAGUCGUUUCAAUGAGUAUAAAAUGUACACAUCAAAACGCUGCAGCUAUUGUACAUUUUAUUGAAAUAAUAAGAACCCAAAACGCACUAUACACAGGCCGUUUUGAAGCCAUUGAAAUUGUCUUACCAGUUACACACCACAUGUUUUUUUCUGGGGGAUCAUAUGUCGAUUCAGCAUCAAUAGAAUUCCUACUUUUAUCUGCUUGAGCGGGCCAAAUAAAAUAAGCUAGGAACCGUUACCGAACAGUUACCUAACCAAAGCCAUCAGUUUCGGUACAUUUUUACUUCGUUUCAAUGUUUAUCGGUUGUUUUAUUUUCUCACUCGAACUAAACCGAAAAUUUUAGUUUUCUCCCGACAUUGAACCGAGUUGAACCAAUGCCCACCCGUAGUUACCAUAUCCCUGUAAGCACACAACUGUUUAUCAAUGCCUGUAAACUUUGACGUGAUCCACAUAUCUGGGAAGAGCAAUGUAAAGUUCAGCCGUAAACAUUUUUGACAAAGCAUAAGGAUAUUGAUGUUAAGGGACAACAUUUUGAAUUAUUAUCUAGUAGUGGUGGAAGAAUGUGUCCUGGAGUGUCAUUUUGCCCUUCAAGUUAAGCAAUUUACACUUGCUUCUUUACUUCAAGGCUUUGACUUUGCAACCCCAUCUAAUGAAUCGUUGGACAUGGGUGAAGGAUUAGGGUUGACUGCGGAGAAAUAUGCACCACUUGUAGUACUUGUUGCUCUACAUCUUUCUGCUGCUUUUUAUAGCUAAAUUGAUUCACGAUGUAACCAAUCUGAUAAAUAUUUUAAUAAGUGUUGAUGCUUUUUUGCUUGUUUACUCUUGAUAUUAGGCCUUCUUCUGCUUUGAAUAUAAAUUUCUGAAUUAUCAUUUGACAUAAACAUCUAUUAUUAAACGUAUUUUUAUCCUGAAUGAGCUGAAUCCUAUACCAUUUUGCAAGGACACAAGGUAACAAGUGUUGGGGAAAGAUCAGUUUUUUAAAUUUUUUAUAAAACCUUUUUAAGAUCGCUCUCAUAUAAUAUAUAAGAAUUUGUAAUCUAGAAAUCGUACCUUAAAAAUUCGAUUUAGAUUUUUCCGCUGAAGUGAUUUAGGCUCCUAGAUCACGAUCCGUCACCACCACGCCUAUUAGAUUACGAUCCAUCACCACCACGCUUGUUAGAUCACGAACUGUCACCAAUGAUCUUCCAGGUUAUGACUCGGGUUUAAUCUGCACUUGACGUGUGGGCGCCUUUAUCACUACCAAAGCAACUAGCAUGAGAAAAUUUUUCUCUCAACAAUAGAGAGAAAAAUAUUUUUCUCUGAUCUGUAUAAAGUGGUUGCACUUUUUCUUUAGAGAAAAUAAGCCUUUUAUAUCUCCCUUUAGUGAAAACCCUAGACUCCAAAUAAUCAAAAUCAAAACUCACGUUACUUACUUUUCUAUAGGGGACCCACCUUAUAAAAUAACAUAAGGCCCCUUACACACAAACUAAUUAAAUGGAGCCUCCCACUAAAUGAUAUAUUUAGGCUUUUGACCCAAAUAGCUAGUUAUCUUGCUUAUUAAUCCAGUAGUGGUGCAGUCAAUUAAAUGAGCUAACUAGGGGAUCAUUUGGGAACAUACACUAGUGACUACAAUAAUUAGGCCUGUAAUUAAACUAGCCCAAUUAUUUAAUUCCAAAUCUACUCCACUAAAAGAUUGGAACUGACUUCCAUAAUUGUAUGCUCGAAUAAUAAUUCGUCCCAAGCCACAUUGAUUUCUUUACUGCACAAUCCUUUGUACCACAUCGUUAAUUAAAUUGAUAUCUCAACUGUCCAAUCAAUUUAAUAACAUCUUGUUCCUUGAUACUUACUGCUUUUCUCUAAUGAUCAUUUUCAAUAUACUAAAUAUGUUGACACACUCUGACCAGAGAAUUCUAUGAUCAAGUGCCGAAAACCCAUCAAGAGAUGUGUUGUACAAAUUCUAUAUUGUUAAUCCAUAACUCCAAUACUCAUAAUUACUCCCACCAAGAUACCGGGUAAUCUUGACCACAAGAAUGUGUCGUGCCCAUUGGUAACUCAAAUGGAAUAACAAUUACAAUCAUGAAAUCAUAAUUAACUCAAGAUUAAGAUUAUAGUAAAAUCAAUGCCUAUGAGAUUUAAUAAGCCUGACAGUCAUUUCAAGGUUAAUUAAAUCUCAUAUGUGAUCAUGUUCAAUGUAGUCGUACUACAUUAAUAAAUUCAUACAUGAUUAAGGCAAAUCAUUCAAUGAAUUCAUUACAGUCUAUACCUAAAUAAAGUGUCCAACUUUAUUUAUCAACUGCGAACUAAUCUUAUUUAAUCAUAAGAUAACUUAUAUUUAUGUCUUCUGUGAAUCCACAUGGUGAUCACAUAAAUACAUAUAAUAUGAUUAAAUGGACUUUGAUCAAAAUAUUAAUGCAAUUAAGAUAUUUGAAUAAAAUACCUCAUUAAUUUUAUUAAUCAGAAAAAAUGUUUAUUACAAUUAAAUAAACACAUAUGCUUUUAAAGAGCAUAUUUUCCCAACAAGUACCGCACUACUCAAUGUCAUCAGAAGUUCAAGAAAACAAAUGAGGAGAACAACUCCAAAGGAAAGUUGCUUCUUCAUUAUGUAUAUAUACAUACAUACAUAAAUUGCUUCCUGAAUCUGUUGUAACGGGCUUGGUGAAGGACUUUAAUAUGCAUUAAGCAAUAUAUGUAGAGGUGACAUGAAUAAGCUGAAUUCCACAAAAAGUCAAUGUUUUAAGAAUUCACUACAACAAAUUGCUGCAUUACCAACCAAAUUUUUCGGAAGUCGCAAUUUCCUCUCAGUAACAAGGACUGUUUACAAAGGUAUGACAUAGCCGUCGGUUAAACAUGAAAAAUAUGAAAUGUUUUUUUUCAGGACCUUUUGCCGGCGAUGAUAAUGAAUAUAUCGUUGAUAACACUUUAAAGUCAGUUAAAAUUACUUCGAAAUUUGUAAAGGAAGAGUGAUUUAUUUGAAAGAAUAAUACUUAAGUCAUUUUUUUUCUAAUCACAACUCUAUGCUUUUUUUUUUUAAAUUUAGUAACUCUCUAAAUGAAUUCAAAAUAAUCCUAAGUAGAAACUAAGUAACGAACCAACAUGAGUUAAAAUUACUAUAAAAUUAAAUAUCAUUGAUUUUUAAAAAAUAAACCUGGACUAAAAAACAGACGAACAGACACGGAUAAAAGGGAAAAAAAAAUUGCACACUCCUCCUGGACAAGCAUAAGAUCUCGAUCUCGCAACUAUUGGUUUCAUCUCGCUACUCAUUCAGUUAUUGAAUCUCUAUUUGCUACUUGUUUGUUUGUUCUGUAGCAUUUUGAUCUCGUUUUCACAAAGUUUAAUAGGUAAGUUUUUGUUGAUGCAACAAAUUUUUGCUCAAUGUACAGUGAUUGAUUUGCGUUCCGACCUUUCUUCUAAUUCAAGCUUUAUAACAUUUUUUUUUCCUUGAGAUGAGUGUCUCAAAUCAUAUCUCCUUAUGAUUAAUUAUUCUGCAAAAAGUGUUAUGUGCGGAAUGCGGAAUCAAGCACACCAAAUAAUCACAGAAAAAUAAAAGACACAGAAUUUUACAUGGUUCGGCAAUUUACCUACGUCCAUGUGAGUAAGAGAAUAAUUGCAUUACUAACAAUUAUUAGAGUACAAUAUUUGAGUAAAAACAUCGCUUCUCAAAACUCAAAUACACCCAAUACUCCCUCACACAAUUGAAAGGAAAAACUUCUCAAUUGCUCACACUCUCCAAUUGCUCACUCUGAACAAUUCUACAAAUAAAUUUUUAUUCACUCUCAAAUUUUGGGAUGAUGUCGAAUGGCUAGAGUAGCUUUAAUUUAUAAGAGUCUCUCAAGCAAUUUGUCAAUGGUACCUAUCAAUUUGUCAAAUGUGCCCGUAGAUAAAUUGGCCAACAUUUUGCUAAUCUAAUUUUUCAAAAUUGUUAGACGCAUUUUAAAAAAACAAAACAUGCAAAUGGCUCACCUCCAAUUUUUCAACCAUGCAUGUGGCUCAACUUAUGUUUUUUCAACCAAUUCAAAUAAACAAAUCGCCGAAUUUGACUUUUCAACAAUUCUCCCCCUCAGUGAAGAUUUGUUUAAAUCUGAACCGACUACCAAUAAACCAUCAUUCCUAAAGUGGCUGCAUCUCUGUGACCACCUAUGUACCCAUAACCUGGGAUCAAGCUAACCAUAGUUCAAAAAUUUCCCACACUCAACACAUUAGAAGGAUUUGAAUUAGUUGCAAGUAAUGUUGAAACUUUACUCUAGAAAUUAUCUUUGUCAACAUAUCUAACGAAUUAUCUUUAAUAUCAAUCUUUCUCAACAAUACAACACCGCCCUCGAUAACCUCUCUCACAUAAUGAUAUUUCACAUCUAUGUGCUUUGUUCGAGCAUGAUAUUUUUGGUUCUUCACUAGAACUAUCGCACUUUGGCUAUUACAGAAGACCUCAAUGUUCUCCUAGACUACUCUUAAAUCUCCUAACAAGCCUUUCAACUAAAUAGCUUCCUUUACAGUCUCAGUUGCUGCCAUGUACUCUGCUUCCAUAGUGGAAAGAGCAAUUGUCGAUUGUAGAAUCGAUCUCCAACUAAUUGGACCUCCACCUAAUAUGAAUACGUAGCCCGUUGUUGAUUUUCGUUUGUCAAGGUGUCCGGUAAAAUCAAAAUCACAAUACCUAACGCAUCGUUGAUCACAAUCCCUCUUAAACAAUAAUCCAACAUCAAUUGUCCCACACAGAUAUCGGAGAAUCUACUUCACUACAAGCCAAUGAUUUUUACCUAGAUUAUGCAUGUAUCGACUAACCAUACUCACGGCUUGAGAUAUGUCAGGCCUUGUGUACACCAUAGCAUACAUAAAACUACCCACAGCAUUAGCAUAUGGAACACGGGCAAUGUAGUCGCGCUCCUCUUGAGAAGAAGGAAAUGAAGAAGAGCUUCAUUUGAAAUGAGAAGUUAAAGGAGUUGAAACUGGUUUGGUUUUGUCAUCCAUACCAAACAUUUUUAGCACUUUCUUCAAUAAAGACUUUUGAGUUAACCAUACACUCAUAUUCUUUUUAUCUUUAUGAAUCUCCAUCCUAAGUAGUCGAUGUGCUUCACCCAAGUCUUUCAUCUCGAACUCAGAAGUCAGUUACUUUAAUCUUUCAAUCUCACCUCUAUUCUUUGAAGCUAUAAGCAUAUCAUCAACAUAAAGUAAAAGAUAAAUGAAAGCUCCAUAUUGUAGCCUUUUAAAAUAAACACAGUGAUCGUGUUCACUUUUAGUGAAUUUCUAUCCUUGUAUGAAUUGAUCAAAUCUCUUCUACCACUGCCUUAGUGAUUGCUUCAAUCCGUACAAAUAUUUAAUCAAUCUGCACACAUAAUUCUCCUUUUUAGCGACUUUGAAACCACAGGGCUGAAUCAUAUAGAUUUCCUCCUCCAAAUCUCCAUGCAAUAAUGUCGUCUUAACAUCCAAUUGAGCCAACUCUAACUCAUAUUAAGCUACCAAAGCAAGUAGAAUACGAAUGAAAGUAUGCUUUACAACUGAAGAGAAUACUUCAUUAUAGUCAAUACCUUCCUUUCGAGCAAAAUAUUUUGCUACAAGCCUUACCUUGUAUCGAAGAGUUGUUUGAUUUAGAGAUCCUCACUUCUUGAUGCAGACCCAUUUAUUUCCAAUAACCAUUUUUCCCUUAGGUAACUCUAUAAGUUCCUAAGUCUAAUUUUGAUGAAAAGACUUCAUUUCUUCUUCUAUGGCUAACUUUUAUUGACCACUUUCACUACUGUUUAUAACUUCGUUGAAAGUGUUGAGGAUGUCAUCAUUAAUAACUAGAAGUGCAUUGGCUACUGCCAUAUCUUUAGCAAGUCAUCCAGGAUUCUUUAUCACUCCUUUUUGUCUCCUUGUUGCUAUAAUAUCAUUUUCAUGUUCUACAUCUAUAGUUGCUUCUUCCUGUUGUGGAACAUCAUCAAAAACAACUUCUUUGUCAACUUUUAGGGUCUCCUUUAAAGUUGAUUUCUUCUGUGAUGUACAACUAACUGGUACAUAUGGAGUUGCAUCAAACUCUACCCGCUGUAAUAUUUCAUUGAUCUUGUUCUCCACCUGCUGAAAACUUGAAGCCUUCAGCAUAGAAGAUUUAUUAAAAGUGACAUCUCUAUUAUAUACAAACUUUUUAUCUUCGAGAUCCCACAGUUUGAAACCUUUAACUCCACCGUUAAAUUCCACAAAGAUAACUUUUCUUGCACGAGGAGCUUAUCAUUUUUUACAUGAUAAUAAGUUUGACACCCAAAUACACGAAUGGAGUUAUAAUCUUAUGCAUGCUUUCUAGACCAUAUUUCCAUAGGAGUUUUACCUUCAAUUGCGGCAGAAGGCAACCAGUUUAUUAAGUGACUUACGUAGCUCGCAGCUUCAGCCCGAAACUUUUUAUCUAAACCAAUAUUAGAUAAUAUACAUCAUACUUUCUCUAAUAAAGUAUGAUUUAUACGCUCAGCCACACCGUUCUGUUGUGAAGUAUGUCUCAUCAUUAAAUACCUUUUUAUACCCUCACUCUAGCAUACUUGCAAGAAUGGAUCGAAAGUAUAUUCAUCCUCAUUAUUAGAACACAAUGCUUUGAUCUUUCCAUCAAUUUGAGUCUCCACCAGUUUCUUCCAUUUCAAGAAAAUCUCUAGAACCUCAUCCUUUGCUCGCAUGGUGUACACCCAAACACAUUUAGAGAAAUCAUCAACAAAUGACACAAAAUAAUGGCUUCCACCAAUUGAUGCAGUCUUGGUUGGUUCCUAUACAUCGUUAUGAACAUAUUCAAGGAUCUCAAGAGUAUCGUGAUUAGCUGUACCAAACUUGACCCUCGUUUUCUUACUAACCACACAAUGUUUAUAGAAUUUAAGUUUGCAGGUGUUUGUACCUUUUAAAAGUCCAUGCUUCAUCGGAGUUUACAAAGAUUUUUCCCCAGCAUGUCCCAGUCGUACAUGUCAUAGCUUGGUGGUGUCACUGUGUGCCUUAGAAACAUUAGCUUCAUCGGUUAUACCUCUUUUCAAAUAAUGUAAAUUGUGACGUUGAACCCCUUACAGAAUCACAAUAGCCCUAUGUGUGAACUUUAUUGUGCCAUCUUCAAUGGUAACUUUAUAGCCUUUAGCCUUUUAGCCUUUAAAGCACCUAUAGAAAUUACAUUUUUCUUAAGAGUUUAACAUAUCUAACUUCUUUCAGUUCUCUGAUCAUUCCGUUGAACAUUUUGAGCCGAAUUGUUCAUAUCCUCAUUGUGCGACAAGAUUUAUCAUUUCCCAUCAUAACUACACUGGAUCUCAGAUCACGAAAAUAUGUAAUUCAUUUCCUUAUGGGACACAAAUGAUAGAUUGCUCCCGUAUUAAGUAUCCACUCAUUCCAAUUAGCCACGUAUGCUGCAAGCGUAGUACUUAGUGAAUAAUCAGAGUUUUCAUCUUUACAUGUCAUAUUUGCUACUACUGGUUUCUACCUAUCUCUCUUCUAAGUCUUCGGACAAUUUUUCUUCUAAUGGCCUCUCUCAUGACAAAAGGAAUACUCAUCUCAAGCUAUAUUUCUAUUUCUCGAUUNNNNNNNNNNNNNNNNNNNNNNNNNNNNNNNNNNNNNNNNNNNNNNNNNNNNNNNNNNNNNNNNNNNNNNNNNNNNNNNNNNNNNNNNNNNNNNNNNNNNUUCUCUUUCGGAAUGUUUAUCAUUAUUCCGAAUCUCUAAAUUGGUCAAUGUUAUGAAGACAUCCUUGAAGAUAAUCACACUUUUCCCAUAUAGUAAAGUAGUCACAAAAUGACUAUAUUCUUUUGGAAGGGAUUGCAGUAGAAUCAUAGCCUUGACUUCAUCCUUAAUAUCUUCAUCAAGAUUCUUCAAAUCUGCAAGUAACUUUUAAUAUCUUGAUACAUGAUCGAGCAUUGACAUUCUAGGCUUCAUUUGGAAGCCAUAUACUUGACUCAUUACAUGAAGGCUAUUUUCAGGACUUUUUAGCAGGUACUUCUCCUCCAAUGUACGUCAUAAAGUCAUCGUUCACUACUUAUCUUUCACCAGAUAUUUCACCUCCUUGGUCAAGCAAGAUCUGAUCUGAUCUGACCACAGGCUUUUUUGUUCAUAUGAUCCCAAGUUUCUUCGUCGUAUAUGUGUCUUUUAUUUUUCAGAACAACAUCGAGAUUGAUUUAAAUAAAAGCAUCCAUAACUUCGCACCUCCACAUGCCGAAAUUGACUUUCCCAUCAAACGUUUCAACAUCGAUCUUCUGGCCUCCUAUUACAAGUGUCGAAAGACGAUGUGACAAAUCUCGUCUCCCAAUGAAGUAUCUCCUGAAAUAUUCUGGGUAGAUCUCUCCCCACUCCUAGAAGUUUAACCUUCUACCAUUUUCUCAAUAAAUUAUUCCCACUUUAGAAAUCAGUACCUAUAGAAAAAUGUACCAAGAAAGUUACUAGGAAAGACUGGAGAUGUCACACCAAUCCCACUUAAGACCCAGUCCCCUUAGGCUCUUAUUGCCUUUGUGACAGAACUUUUCUAGAAAUGCACAAAUCCAUACUACUGCACAAGCUGUUAAUCCUCCCGAGUACGAACUCUUGGCUCCACCGUAUUAAGAAACAGUACCAUACAUGAAUAGUAUCGUACUUGAAUAGUACCAUAUAUAGGAAUAAUACCGUAAGUAUGAACAGUACCGUAUGUAUGAAAAAUGUCAUCUACUCCAAAGAAAGAUGUGGGGAAAAUCGUCAAUCACAAAUCAAAAAAUUGAAAAAACCUUCAAAAGUAAUUUUAAUUAUCUUUUGUCUAUAAUCUCUAAUUUCCCUUGGAAACCUAAAGUCACCGAAAGCUCUCCGUUUUCUUCUCUCCAUUAAGUCCCUUGUCUCCUAGAUUUUGAAACCUAAUAUCCUUAUCUCCUAUAAUUUCUUUAGAAAUCAUUUUAACCAACUAGCCCCUUUAACUUACUGAGCAAUUGUAUCCCCAGAUGGCUCUUGUUUGACAGAAGAAAUUGAUGGGUCUUGAUUUCCUCAAAUAUGGGUUGAAUGCAAUAGAGGUAAUUUAUGGGUUUUGCUUUUGUGUUUGUUAAUUUUUAUUAUCGAGACUCAAGAUGAUGGGGAAGUUGCUUAGAGAAAAUGGUAUAAUUUUGAACAGAUUAAAGAGUGACGAAGAGGCUACAAAUUUUUGCAAUUAGAAUAGUAAGUCCAUUAGAUUGAAAAUAUUUCGUCCCUAGAGAGAGAAAGUGAUUGAAAAUAUUAACAAUUUGUAUGACAGUUGAUGCUAUGUUAAAUUUGGGGAAUUUAUAAAGUAUCAAUUUCAACUAGCUACCGUUUUACUCAAAUAUUGUAUCCUGAUAAUUGUUAGUAAUGCAAUUAUUUUCUCUUAUUCCUGUGGGCGUAGACAAAAUUACCGAAUCACUUAUAAAUAUGCUACUAUAAAAAUAUUAUUAAAUAUAACAUUAAUUUGUAGCAUUUUUAAAGUGCUAUAAUGUUUAAAAUAAAAUGUAGCACUAACAAUAUGCUACAACCUAAAUUUAAAAUAUAAUAAAAAAUAAAGUAGCACUAUUGAAUAGUCAAUUGUGGCUUUUUUUAAUAAAGUGUUAUUGUAGAACAACAUUUGGUAACAUUAAAAGAAAAAAUGGUACCAUGAAAUGCUACUAUAAAUGAUAUUUGUUGUAGUGUUUUUGUUAACUAGAAGAGAGAGAUUGUUAAAAAAAAAAUGGUUAAUGAACAACCUCUAAUGGAGGAAUUUGAGAACUGAAAAAGAAAUGGGCCAAUGGGCUAAAAAGAUAAAGCAAUAGGAUUAAAUCAAAUUUCAACAGUUUUGGGCAAACUUCAGUACUUCACUAACGAUUUCAUUUUGAUGAACAUUAAACUUUGCAAUACAAUUCAAACUACGAUAUUUCAUAAACACGUAACAAGUUUGGAUGAGAUUGAUACUAUGUUGAGAUAAGAAAAAAUAUCAUUUGGAUUAAGGCCCAAGAAGACGCCCACUCUAUGCCCCCGUUUACUUAUGUAUAUCUUUUACUUUCUUGUAUAAAGGUUAUCAGAAGUUAGAGCUCAGUUACUGUCAGCCACAAGAAAAAUGUUAGCAGGUACAGCAGCCAUGUACUUUCUUGUUUCAUCUCAGACAAGUGCUGUAGCUGCAAUUUUAAUCACUCUUUUAAUCAUUCUAUACACGUCUUUGUUAGUUUCAAGAAAUUUACUUCGAAAAUACACAAGCAAGAAGAAGAGGGGAGCACCCGAAGCCGGGGGAGCUUGGCCGGUGAUUGGCCAUCUACACAUCCUAGGAGGGCCAGAACCCCUUCACAGGGUGUUGGGAAGCAUGGCCGACAAGUAUGGUCCAAUCUUCACAAUCAAGAUUGGCAUAAAUCGAGCUUUAGUUGUGAGCAGUUGGGAGAUGGCUAAAGAGUGUCUUACUACAAACGACAAAAUCUUUGCCAGCCGUCCAAAAACUCUAGCCAUGGAGAUUUUAGGCUACAAUUUUUCCAUGUUUGGCUCCAGCCCAUACGGCUCCUACUGGCGCGAGACACGCAAGAUAGCCACACUUGAGCUUCUCUCAAAACAUCGACUUGAGAAGCUCAGGCAUGUACGAGACUACGAGGUGAAGACUUGUUUGAAGGAGUUAUACGAGUUAUGGGACAAGAGUAAAAGCACAAAUAAGAUGUUGGUAGAAAUGAAGAGAUGGUUUGAAGACACCAUCUGUAAUGUGAUUUUAAGAAUGAUUGUAGGAAAGGGAUGCAAUUCAGUGGAUAGUGAAGAAUGGAUGGAACUACUAAUUUGAUUUUUAGAAAUGAGUGGCAAGUUUGUGGUGUCAGAUGCGCUGCCGUUUUUGAGAUGGUUGGAUAUAGGGGGUGACGAGAGGUCAAUGAAGAAGACUGCCAAAGAAUUAGACAUUGUUGUUCAAGGAUGUUUAGAAGAGCACAAGAGGAAGAGAGAUUCUCGGGAGAUGAAAGGAGAAGAACUAGAUUUUAUGAGUGUGAUGCUUUCAAUUCUGGGCGAUACAGAGAAAUAUUCGGGUCGUGAUGUUGAUACAAUAAAUAAAGCUGUCUGCCUGGUGCGCCUUUCUUAACUCGUUUUUUCAUUUUUGCGCCUUUCUUAACCCGUUUUUUCAUUUGUACUCAUACUCUAGAGGACGGCUUAAUCCCUCUCUACCCGGUCCAUCGAUUUGAGCAGAGUUCAAAAAUCUUAUACCUCUAUUUUUGUGUUUUAUUUAUUUAUUUUUUAUUUUUAUUAACUUGCACACAUUAGUGAGGCCUGAAUUUAGAUCGCAGGUCUUAGGAUAUUUACUCCUUACUGGUGGAAAUAGACCUUAUAUCUUUUAACUCAAGAAAUAUUACUUGGCACUUUUCUCUUAACAGAAUAUUAUUCUGUGCUUUUAAAAUAAAUUAAGCUUAUGUAUCAAUAUUCAGGAUGAGAUAACCUAAUGAGAGCAAUUAAAAUUGUAAUUCGUCAAUUGAGAAUAUAUAAUUAUAUUCUGUUUACGUCCAGUUGGUUGAGAGGAUAAUGGUGAAUUAAAAAGUCGAUGAAAUCAUCUUCUAUUCAUUAUUGAUUUAGUCAUUUGGGACUUACAUUUUCAGAUAAGUUUUUGGUAAUAUAUUUGUGGAUUUGGGGAAGUCUUGAGUGCUCCAGGAGCUCUGCUCCUUUUCCAUUCAUUUCUUGUUACGUUCAUACUUCAAACAUUCAUGAUACUAUGCAUAAUCCAUGGUCAAGAAUGAAUGGUUAACGACCAAUAUUUCAAGAACAUCAAAGACCUUCUCGUGGAUUUAACAUGAUCCAUCAGCAAGAGUCAAAAGGUCAAAAAAAUAGUCUUUAAGUUGAAUUCAAUUAAGUUGGAUUGUGAAUGAGUGUAACAUAUGAAAGUAAUAGAACAACGCUUUGAGCACUACAAAUUUUGCAGGGUCUCAUCAUAGCAGGAUUAGACACCACAACAGUAACUUUGACAUGGGUUAUCUCUUUGCUUCUUAACCACCGGGAUAUUUUAGACAAGGUUCAAAAUGAACUAGAUAUCCAAGUUGGCACAAAAAGGCAAGUGAAUGAAUCAGAUCUAAAAAAUUUAGUUUACUUGCAAGCCACUCUCAAAGAAGCUAUGCGUUUGUAUCCUGCUGUGCCACUCUUAAUUCCACAUGAGGCUAUAGAAGAGUGCACAGUCAAUGGUUACCAUGUCCCUGCCGGCACACAACUUUUGAUCAAUGUUUGGAAGCUUCAACGUGAUCCACGUGUUUGGGAAGAGCCGUGUAAGUUUCAACCAGAAAGAUUUUUGACAAAGCACAAGGAUAUUGAUGUUAGGGGACAGCAUUUGGAAUUGUUACCUUUUGGUAGUGGCAGAAGAAUGUGCCCUGGAGUGUCAUUUGCCCUACAAGUUAUGCAAUUUACAAUUGCUUCUCUACUUCAGGGCUUUGAUUUUGCAACCCCGUCAAAUGAACCGCUGGACAUGGGUGAGGGAUUUGG
rnacentral:lncRNA from 1 species